UCAAAAGUUAUGAGGUUUCCAAGUUUAGACUCGUUUUAGGAAGAAAAAUAAAAAAUACAAAAUAAAAAGGGGUGCAACACGAGGACUUCUCGGGAGGUCACCCAUCCUAGUACUAGUCUCGCCCAUGCACGCUUAACUGCGGAGUCCUGAUGGGAUCCGGUGCAUUAGUGUUGGUACGAUCGCACCCGUUAGUACAUCACUCGCGUUUCCAUAUACCUUUGUUUCGGCCAAUCCAAGUGUAAGGCCAUGGGGCCCACAUGAUUUUCUGAUUUUUUCCAGCGAAAGAGUGCAUCGAGGUUAAUUGCGCUAAGAAAGCAUCAAAAAGACCCUGAAAAUCCGACUGGGAUCCUUUUUAACCGCCCGUAACUUUUUGAAGCCCUUUUAAUGGUCCAAACAGCUGAAUUUGGGUCCGAAACAUUUUGCCGUCUAUUGGCCGCCCUUUAUGGUUUUUGGGCCUUUCCGAAAUGGUGCUAUAGGCGACGUAGUUCCUUACGGUUCAAAAGUUAUGAUGUUUCCAAGUUUAGACUCGUUUUAUGUCGAAAAAUAGAAAUAAAAAAUAAAUAGGGGUGCAACAAGAGGAAUUCCCGGGAGGUCACCCAUCCCAGUAUUACUCUCGCCCAAGCACGCUUAACUGCAGGGUUCUAAUGGGAUCCGGUGCAUUAGUGCUGGUAUGAUCGCACCCGUUAGUACAUCACUCGCGUUUCCAUAUAUCCUUUGUUUCGGCCAAUCCAAGUGUAAGGUCGUGGGGCCCACAUGAUUUUCUGAUUUUUUCCAGCGAAAGAGUGCAUCGAGGUUAAUGGCGUUAAGAAAGCAUCAAAAACACCCUGAAAAUCUGACUGUGAACCUUUUUUACGGCCCGUAACUUUCUGCAGCCCUUUUGAGGGUCAAAACGGCUGAAUUUGGGCCCAAAAACUUGCGCCGUCUAUUCCCCGCCCUUUAUGGUUUUGGGCUUUCCCGAAAUGUUGCUAUGCGCGACGUAGUUCCUCACGGUUUCAAAGUUAUGAGGUUUCCAAGUUUAGACUCGUGUAAGGUAGAAAAAUAAAAAAUAAAAAAUAAAAAGGGCUGCUUAAGCACGCUUAACUGCGGAGUUCAGAUGGGAUCCGGUGCAUUAGUGAUUGUAUGAUCGCACCCGUCAAUACAUCACUCGCGUUUCCAUAUAUCCUUUGUUUCGGCCAAUCCAAGUGUAAGGCCGUGGGGCCCACAUAAUUUUCUGAUUUUUUUUAGCAAAAUAGUGCGUCGAGGUUAAUGGCGUUAAGAAACCAUCAAAAACACCCUUAAAAUCCGACUGGGAUCCUUUUUUACGGCCCGUAACUUUCUGCAGUCUUUUUGAUGGUCAAAACGGCUGAAUUUGAGCCCGAAAAAUUGCGCCGUCUAUUCCCCGCCCUUUAGGGUUUCAGGGCCUUUCCGAAAUGGUGCUAUGGGCGACGUAGUACCUCACGGUUCAAAAGUUAUGAGGUUUCCAAGUUUAAACUCGUUUUAGGCCGAAAAAUAAAAAAUAAAAAAUAAAAAGGGGUGCAAUAAGAGGUCUUCUCAGUUGGUCACUCAUCCCAGUAUUACUCUCGCCCAAGCACGCUUAACUGCGGAGUUCUAAUGGGAUCCGGUGCAUUAGUGCUGGUAUGAUCGCACCCGUUAGUACAUCACUCGCGUUUCCAUUUAUCUUUUGUUUCGGCCAAUCCAAUUUAAAGGCCAUGGGGCCCACAUGAUUUUCUAUUUUUUUUCAGCGAAAGAGUGCAUCGAGGUUAAUGGUGUUAAGAAAGCAUUUAUAAACACCCUGAAAAUCCGGCUGGAAUCCUUUUUUAAGUCCCAUAACUUUCUGCAGCCCUUUUGGGGGUCAAAACGGCUGAAUUUGGGCCUGAAAAAUUGCGCCGUCUAUUCUCCGCCCUUUAUGGUUUUGGAGCCUUUCCGAAAUGGUUCUAUGGGCGACGUAGUUCCUCACGGUUCAAAAGUUAUGAGGUUUCAAAGUUUAGACUCGUUUUAGGCCAAAAAAUAAUAAAAAAAAUAAAAAGGGGUGCAACCAAGGACUUCCCGGGAGGUCACCCAUCCUAGUAUUACUCUCGCCCAAGCACGCUUAAUUGCGGAGUUCUGAUGGGAUCUGGUGCAUUAGUGCUGGUAUGAUCGCACACGUUAAAACAUCACUCGUGUUUCCAUAUAUCCUUUGUUUCGGCCAAUCCAAGUGUAAGGCCAUGGGGCCCACAUGAUUUUCAGUUUUUUUACAGCGAAAGAGUGCAUCGAGGUUAAUGGCGUUAAGAAAGCAUCAAAAACACCCUGAAAAUCCGACUGUGAACCCUGAAAAUCAUAUAAGUAAAAAAUAUAAUUUAAUUAAUUAAUAAGAUUAAUAUAUCUAUACACAUAUGUAUCAUUUUAAAUUAAACUAUAUACCAUAUAAAAUACAUAAAUAUUUUAAUUUUGAAUUUUACUUUGAACAUUUUUAUAGAUAAAAGCUUUGAACCAACAUUGACAACUUAAUUUUAAAACAAAUUAUAAAUUACUAAAACUAUUAAUCCCACAAUGAAAAAUUUGUUAUCAGUAAUUUAAAAGUUUUGCUAUAAAUGAUAAAAAUGAUCAAAAAAAUCAUACGAGUAGAAAGCAUCAUUUAAUAGACAUUGAUAUUAAAAAUUAUUAUGUAUGUUAAUAUCAUUUAAAUUCAAUUAUAUAUCCUUUCAAAUAGAAAAAAAUAUUGUUUGGGUGAAGAAAAAUGAUUUAUAUGUUCGCACCAAUUUAAUUAUAUAUAUAAUAUUUAAUAACUUUUAAUUAUCAUUAUAUAUUUAUUAUUUCAUAAUAUGUAAAAAUAUAUAAUACAUAAAAUAAUAUAUUUAAUGCUCAUUCGGCGCAAGACGUGGGUCUUAAUCUAGUAUAACAUUAAAAAUGUAUGAAUAGAGAACCUUAGGUUGAAAAACUAUACCUUUAGUAAAAUCCAUUUAAAACGUCAUACACUGAUCCACAACCAAAAACAAAUGUAGUCUUUGGUCAUUGUUGGGAUACAAAAUUUUCGUUAACAUUAACUACAUCUGAGUAGAUCUGGGAAUAAAAAGUUGGCCGGCAUGAACACAGACCAAUCUUUGCAAUAUGACUGAGGAUGAAAGUUGCAACAAACUAAUGGUGAUAGGUGAUGAUCAUGACUAUAGAAAGAUUUGACAGAAUCACUUGUAUAAAAUUAUUUUAAACUAGUGGUAUGUCUGCGUGAAGCAUGGGAAUGUUAUAUGUGUUUUGCAUAAAAUGUUUGUUUUUGUGGGUUCAAAGAUUUGGUUAAUUUAUAAGUAUUAAAAAAUACGUUGUGAAACAGUUUAUAGCUAUACAGGAUCUUCGUGAUUGGGAUAUUAUGGUGUCCAAUGUUCGUACUAGGUAUUUUCCCGUGCUCAUGUACAGGUUGUUGGGGUCAAAAUCGGUCACGACGGAAUCAAUGCCUGAAACUCCGUAAAAAUCGGCAUGAACGUUUUUACGAAAAGUAAUCUUCGUAAAGAAAUCUUUACGAAGAGCCUCGCGAUAAAACCUUGUUCAAGUCUCGAUUGAAUCAUAUACCGGCUGUCCCAAGGCAACUGACACGUAUCUAAACCAGCCACGGACAAGCUUGAGUAUGUCGAUCGGACCACGGACAAGCCAAGCACGAUCGCUACGAAGCGACCAAGCAUGCACACUGAUAUCCCUUGAAAGCUUGAUGCAAAUAAACGAAGUUUUGUUCCCGCUUGGUCGCCACGAUGUUGGGGUCAAAAACGGUCGCCGACAUGACUCGAGGCCCAAUUUACGAUUUCUUAACCAACAGCUCGUAAGCCGCAUGACGGUGUACGCUUGGUUCGCAAGGAAAGAUAAAUGUCAAGUUUCCGCGGAUAAAUAAGAAAUUUUGAAGAUAAUUACGAAGAUCGGGAAAAAUGGAAUAUCCCCAUUUUUAUGCUAUGACGGCUUAAGGGCAGAAGGGGAAAAGCGUAAACCGACCUAGGAGCGAGUAUAUAAGGAGUCCUAGGCGAGAGGCAUGAAGAGGGACUUUUUCAGAGAAAAACUUAGCACUUAGAGCAAUUAGGCAACUUUCCGUUUUUGUAAUUUCGAGCUGCGACUCAAUUAGGUUUAGCCGUCUUAGGGUUGCUAGAACUAGGAAUCUCGCCGACAUCUCUCGAGCCCAGGCUUAUACCUUGUUGUAAACGCUCAUACGCAAACUCGGAAUAAGACUUCUCUUUGCUCUCUUUUUACGAUUUUUAUACUUUGUCAUUGUUAUCUCGUGUUUUUAUUGCUUAGCGCGUGGUAUUAGCAGAAAUCUGGGACCUCUGGGAAAUUAGGGUUUUCCUACUUUCCUAAUUUAAACGGAAAUCGACAGUGCGAAUUUCGGUUCCCACAGUUUGGCGCUAGAAGGAGGGGGGCGACGGAUUACUCUAACUCAUAGCCGCAAAACGCUUGAUCAAAACAAUGUCUGGAAAUACGAAAGACAAAAUUGCAGUUUGCAAUAACACUGGUAAGACAACUCCAGCCGCCACUGCGCCUACGGCGAACGAUUAGGCAAACGCCACAGUUCUUGAAAAAAUCGAAAACCUAGCCGCGACUCUUCGCCACAGGAAGUGCAACGAAACGAGCUUGCAAUUUCUCUGUCUAAACGUAAAGGGAAACGAUAAAUUUUAUCAAACCCCGUAAGUUUGGCUCAUUACCGAACUAAAGAAGUCUCAACGCAUAAGGGUUUUACCAAACCGGUCAAGCAUCUCAGUGUAAAUUUCGGUUCCCACAGUUUGGUUCUACAAGAAGGGGGGGAGGGGGUACGGAUCAAUCUAAUUCUCAGCCACGAAAUGUUUGAUCAAAACAAUGUAUGGAAAUACGAAAGACAAAAUCGCAGUUCGCAGUAACGCUGGUAAGACAACCCCAGCCGCCACUGCGCCUAUGGCCAACGCCUACGCAAAUGCCACAGUUCCUAUUGGAGAGGACCGGGGCUUCUUAAGGCUGAGGAUCCUUGAGCCGGGGAAAUGGUAAGAGGGGAUUCUUGUAGUCCCCAGACUUUGGUCAAGAAUUUUGGCGGGAAAGGGGAAGCUCCUCGAUGUCUGUCUCGAGAUUUGUGUUCACACGUGGUCUCUUCCCCUGACGCGUGUAAAGUGUUUCUAGGGUUUUCGAUUCUACCCCUCCAAUUCUUUCACCUGAUUCCUUUAGUUUCCUUUUCUCUCCCUUUCGAAGAUUUCUCGCGAUCUCCAUAUCUCGACUUGGUUCCUCAUUCUGCAGGUAACUUCUUCUUCUAUUUCUCUUACUUUCGAAUCCUUUCUUCCUUCUGCUCCUGAGAUGAGGACUGAGUCGGGUCUCUCUCCAGAUUCUUCUUCCAUAGGUAGUAGAGUUAGAUCUAGUAGAUUGAGGGUUGCUCCAACGGAAUCUAUGGAUUCUUCCGAUUCUUCUCUGGAUCUGACUGCUAAAAUUGAAAAUCCCAAAGCUAUCAUUGCUAGGAGAACUUCGCCGGUAGGGGGGAGCCGAUAUCCUCCGAUUGGCCCUCCUUCGGUGAUAGGGGCUGAGGAAGUCGCAGUUUGGGGGAAGAAAUACGAGCUUCCUGAUGAUGUUGUUAUUCAAGUACCUGAUCCGGAAGACAGGGUUUCGGAUUUUGGUGUGGAUGAGGUUCCUGUAUACGAGGGUUACUUCGCGUCUGGCUUCAGGGAUCGAAUUCCCUCUUUAGUAGCUAAGAUAUCCGAAACCCUAGGGAUUUCCCCAGGUCAGCUAACCCCUCCUGCUUGGAGGACACUAAUAGCUUUGCAGAAUUUGGGUGAUCUCAACGGGCUUGUGAUUGGAGUGGCUAAGGUCUUGUAUUCCUACUCUGUCUCUCCUUUAAGUGGCUCAGAAUGGAGGUAUCACCUUCGUCCUCGAGGCAAGGAGCCCCCAGUUAGGGAAAUCCUUAAGAAGGAGACAAAACGGCUUCCGGCCUUUGAGGGAAACUGGACGGAAAAGUUCGCCUUUAUGCAUCUUCCGGGCUUUUCGUCUAUUUGGCGAUUGGAGGGUAGGCUAGUUGUAGGAAUCAAGAAGAUUAUCUAGAUAUUAGGAUACUAAUGAUCUUUUAUCUUCUUGAUGCAGAUUUGCCUCGUGUUGACUGUUCUUUGGGGAAGGAUAUCAUCGAGCAGGUGUUGAAGCUUCCUCUCGAGCGACGUCAGAUUCCUUUUCUCGUGAGAAAAGCGGCGUUAAAGCGUUGCAGUAUAUGGGGUAAGCUUUCUAUUUUCUUCCAUACCUCUUCUUAUAGUUGCUGACUUGAUUUACUUUCGUGUGCUAGGUGAGAUGUCAGGAUCCAAGGGUGAGUUAGGCGGAAUUAAUGGUUGAAAAGGUCCGUGGUAAGUGGUCUUCUCGCUCUUGUAAAAGUAGAACGAGAUAAGAUUGGGGCUGCGCCUUAUGACGGCUGCCUACGUACCCUUGUUGAAGGGAUCAAGCCUUUCGUAGUUCGUCUUGGAGUUAAGGUUCUUAUGACUAGUUUUCCAGCGAGACCUUUACGGUCUAGUUUUUAUGUAGAGGUUAUCAGGCGUGUUGCUGCCGAUGGCAUUUUAUAUGGGUGUAGAAGGAAGACUACGAGUUGUCAUCUCGUAAUCUAACUCUGUGUGAACUGCUAUAUCCAUGAUCUGUUUCGAGAAUUUUCCGCAGUGUGUAAACUUGCGGGAUUUCUGAAGACGUUCGAAUAUUGGCAAAGAGACAAAUUUUGGGAUCUCGUAUCAGGGUGUUUGAUACUAUGUCUAGAGAUGUUAGAGACCAGUGCGCUGGGUUUAAGGCAAGACCUAGGUUUACUCCUGGUUUUAGAGGGUGCGAUGACUAAUUCGACUACGUAUCCCGUUUCAGUUUCAUCCAGAUUCUAUACCGAUUUAAAAUCUGCGAUUGGUUCUCGGCCUAUACGACUUGUAUGGUUGGAACCGAGCAUCUCUGCAAGGACAAUUUUUAAGCCUCCUGGAAGUGCUGACCAAAAAUUUUGGGUUUCUUUGAUAGCGUUAUUAUCCUUGUGUCGGAUGUACGAGAGUCAUCUCUACGAGAUGGCGAAGUCUGUUUAGGACGUUAAGAGUUUGUUGUGAUCAGCAACAAACGUAAUGGUAAAAAUUACCUAUUGAGUCUUUGCGAAAGAUAUGUUUUGAGAAGAUGUUAGUGCGUAUGACUGUCUGGUCUUCCAAGAAGGUGUUUUUAUCGAGGAAGAAAAUUUCGUCGAAGAAUGAAUCUUAAAGCGUCUGCGACGUCUCGCGAUGCUGAAGAUUUGUUAUUCUUUCGUAUGCCGCGUUUCGUACUUGAAAUGUUCGCGGGGUUGAAGAUAUUUCGCGAUGUUGCAAGGGUUUAAUCUUAGCCCUGCGUUUGAGAAACAUUCUGGUUUGACUACGUAUGUUCGAAGCCAAAAUUAUUGUUCCUGUUUGGAUGCUAAUAAUUUGAUUUGCGAUCGAGGAAUUAGGACUGAGGUGUCGUGUAAAUUUGUCCAUGGGAAGAAGCAUUUUCCUUCAUAGUGCUUUGUGAAGUGUUGGCCUUCCGAGAUCUAUUUCGUGCAGUUUUGAGGAUGUUUCGUAUAGCUCUAGAAGCUUUGUUAUGAAUUUUUCCUUAAAUGCCGCGUAUUAUGGGUAAAACGUUGCGGGCUUAAAGUGAAUUGUGGAGCGUAUUGAACUCGGCCAAUUUUCGAAAAGUUUAGAUUUUCCGUUAACCGUUUGGUUGUUAGGACUGAGUUUCGUUAUGAAGAAUUUAUCAUAUGACUUCCGACCGUGGGCUAUACGAUAAUUAUUCUCUUAUUAGUCACAAGAUGUUUUUAGACAAAUCGUAGAUUGUUGUUUAGCCUUUAAGUGAUGGAGCGAUGGUUUCUCAAAUAGUUUGGCUUGGCGUGAGGGAUGUGUUCACUCAAAUAGCCAAGGAUGUUGUAGGUCAAUGAUUAGACCAUGGUACUUUAACAUUUACGGCCAUGUUAGUUUACGAUCGUCCUUAAAGGGGAUGGCAAAUAUUGGUUUGGACCUUUAGUGGAAGGCGUAAUUGACCAAGGGCCAAAGAGCGCUUGUCGAGAUUGAUAGGCCAAGUUUGCCUGGGUUAUCCAUGCUAAUAUGGCCGAUAGUCGUAGAAAAUGAUUCUCCCCUCUAGGUUUCAGUUAUACGACGAAUAUUUCGUAUAAUGUGACUUAUAGUCUUAUGAAAAUCUAGUCUUUUUUGUCUGAGGAAGACGAAGCCCAAGAGGUUUGAUACAUAACCAGUGUGGACUCAGCGGCGGGAUGACUGCCUUCUUGGAUGUGAUCGAGGUAAAAGAAAAGCAGAAGCCAGCGAGCAGCACGGUUCUUCAUAAAGCCUGUUAUGUUAACUUUAGAAAAUUUCUUCGUAAGACUUGGUCUGAUUGUACGAAGGAUUUUUUGUGUAAGUAACGGGGACCGGUUUUACGAAGGUUGUAAAUCGCUGAUAUGUAUACAUAUGUCAAAGUAGCGUUGUUUCUGCUGGUUUUUCGAGAAACGUUUCUGCUGUGAUUUCGAUCUUAGGUGAAAGUUGCUUGGAGUUACUCAUGGAGUGUUACCGAAGGUUAUUUCAAAACGAUCUAGUCGCAUAACGUUUUUCAUAGGUUUUUUGAGAGGAUUCUCAUAAGACAUUCGUUUCUUGAACAAAUUGGUCAACCAGAGGUGGAUCUAGCUAACCAUCGGGAGGAAAGUGCUCCUUUUAAUGUGCACGAUGCUACAUCAAUUCUCAAGUUUUCUUCGUCGCAAAUGUUUUCAAUGCUUUUCUGUUACUCACUUGGUACAACGGAAACUGAAAGAAAUGCUUUGGUGAAUGAAGAUUUCUCGUAGAAAUUUUUAAACGAAACUGGAUUUCUAAAGCCGGAAAGGGCUUCAAUACUUUGGCUAAUCGUCGAGUUUCAGUUUGAUAUUGGUACAGGUUUUCUGUACGCAUGAUUGCGACAAGAAAUGAUGUAUAGUCUUUGAGAUUAUGUUCAUGAUCGUCUGGAUAUGUUGCUAGCGUUUAGAUGAAUUUUAGAAUGUCGUUUGCCUAUUUGGGACGAUUUAAAGACGACACUUGGACUGUGAUUUGGUUGUUUCCGCGUUGACGACUUGGAAAAUGUCUGUUCCAAGAAAAUUACUAGUAGCGAAUUGGUUUUAAGACGACGUUCAUGUCUCUAGUUUUUUCUCUCUUUAGGAAGCGAGCUUGAUAUGCGUGGCGAUCGUUUCUCGAUUUUCGAAGUGUUUAGAUCGGUUUGAAAAAUCUGGCUGAACAGUUAUGGAACGAUAUAUCGAGACAGGAAAAAUCGCCUAAGACUUAGUUCGCUAGACUAUCCACCUAGGUUUUAAGUUCCCUAAAGUUCUAUGGCAGUCUCAAACACGUUUUUAUUUCUUAGUAAUUUCCUACGAAAAUUCCAAGUCUGAUUAAUAAAAUUUCAUGUCGGAGAAACUUUAGUUCUCUCGAAGAUGCAGUUUUGUCUCUUCUCAGUUUUGCUUGCUUAUUUUCCCUUCCUCUUCUCGUGUACGUUCGCCAUUUUCGAUAUUGGUGUUUAUCCUUCGAAACUUGACAUUUAUCUUCUGAACUUGACUGUUAUCUUCUCCUUAGAAACGACGUCAAUUUUUAUAAAAAGGUUCAAUCGUAAUCGUAUAGUUGAGGCGGCUAAGGUGUUAAGUUGACCGAUACCGUUUUAUACGAUUAAUUUGAAUCCAUGCGAGAAAACAAGUCUUUACGGAUUUUUUAUCGUAAAGUUUAAAUGGUAACUCCAAUCGAGACGAGACAAGAGAUGUUUUGAUCGAGAUUCGAAGGAGAACGCAAAGAUGGAGGUAAGGGUCAACUCCUGCUGUAGCAGAUCAAUUCUCGUGCUCAACCAGUCCACGUUGUUGUUGAGAGGGUAAGGGCGAGCAAGCCAAGGAGUUUUGACUAGUCUAACUUGUUUUCGUCGUAAAAUCUCAACGAAAACUCCGAUUUUAGCUGGCUGAAGUCCUCAAUAUAUACCGUGGUACGUACGUGUUUAAUUUAGGAGCUUUUUUAGGCCUGACAGGUCGCUAUGUAGCGAGCUGGAGGUCUGACAGGUCGCUAUGUAGCGAGUAGAAGUAAGCCAAGAAGAGUCCUACUUGUUUUCGUCAUAAAAUCUCAAUGGAAACUCCGAUUGAGACGAAACGAAAAGCGUUUCGAUGAGGAUUCAAAAGAGAACGGAAAGAAGAACUUUAUGAGGCCUUACAGGGCGCUACGUAGCGAGUGGAGGUCUGACAGGUCGCUACGUAGCGACUAGAAGUAAGCUAAGAUGAGUCCUACUUGUUUUCGUCGUAAAAUCUCAACGGAAACUCCGAUCGAGACGAAAUAAAAAGUGUUUCGAUGAGGAUUCAAAAGAGAACGCAAAGGAGGACCUUUAUGAGGCCUUUCAGGUCGCUACAUUGCGAGUAGAAGCAAACCAAGAAGAGUCCUACUUGUUUUCGUCAUAAAAUCUCAACGAAAACUCCGAUCGAGACGAAACGAAAAGAGUUUCGAUGAAGAUUCAAAAGAGAACGCAAAGGAGGACCUUUAUGAGGCCUGUCAGGUCGCUAUGUAGCAAGUGGAGAGUUGGCUUGAGAUCGGUCGCUACGUAGCAACCGAGCUGUGUGCUUGCUCGGUCGCUACGUCGACCAAGCUGUGUGCGUGCACGGUCGUUACGUAGCGACCGAGCUGUGUGCGUGCUCGGUCACUACGUAGGAUCGCCAUACUCGAGCUUGUCCGUGGCUGGUUUAGAUACGUGUCAGUUUCCUUGGGACAACCGGUAUUUGAUUCAGUCGAGACUUGAACAAGGUUUUAUCGCGAGGCUCUUCGUAAAGAUUUCUUUACGAAGAUUACUUUUCGUAAAAACGUUCAUGCCGAUUUUUACGGACUUUCAGGCAUUGAUUCCGUCGUGACCGAUUUUGACCCCAACAACACAGUAGCGGCACUCGGGAGCAGCUCGAGAGAUCAAGUAAAGCGAACAAUCCCGAUUCAACAGAUUGACAAACCAAGCAUCACUCUAUCACACGACGAGAUUGACCCUGUAGUAGCGAUCGACGCAACAUACGCGAUGGAUACAGGCGAUCGACCUGAUGAUGCACCGCUCGACUGGCAAACCCCUUUUUUCCAUUUCUCUCAGACAGGUCACUCCCGCAAAACAAAUGGGAAGCUCGUCGAUUGAAAACCAAAAGCACAAAUUACGUCCUCAUCGAUGGAAGAAUACAUCGUUGGACCUCUGCCAAAGUUCUGCUGACAUGCCUUGGAAUUGAAGAAGCAUCGCUAGCCAUGGCCGAAACUCACGAGGGAGCAGCGGGGAACCAUUCAGGCGGCCGGGCGCUAGCUCUUAAAGUGAAAAAUCUUGGUUUCUACUGGCCGACUAUGAUCGCUGAUUGCAAGGCGUACACACGGAAGUGCGACAAGUGCCAAUGAUACCACUCAAAUUACCCUAAGAAGUGAAUUACUCUCUCAAAUAAGAGGUUCAAUAGUAGUACUUAGGGAUCAAAUACACAAGAAGCUAGGGAACCUAUUAAAUCUAGUAAAUUAUUAAUUCUAAGUGUUUGUUGUUUUAUGGUUUAAAUGUAAAUAGCAAUCCUAAUUGUGCAAGUCUAUUUCUCGACUAACAAGAUGAUUGGGGGUGUAACUUAUUGGUAAGGUGUUAGAUGCAGGGUUUCUAUUCAGGUGUUGGAGAUUAUAAUCCUAUAGAUGCCUAUCAGUUGCUUGCAUGAUAUAUUAGAACUCAACCUCUUAAACACAGUGAUCAGCGAUGACAAUGUUUCACUGGUUAACUAACUAGAUCUUGGAUCUCAACUGUCGUUUAUUGAUCACAAGAAAGUGUCGAUCGAUGGUCCUAUAGGGAUAUCGAUCGAUACACCUUUAGCAAGAUCGAUCGAUUGUCAGGAGACAGUAUCGAUCGAUGCUUCUAGUUAAGCCCUAGGCGCAAGUUGAUAAUGAACACUAGCUGUCUAGUUCAGCGGUAGCCUUUUUCUGGCAGACCUAGCAUGACAGAUUAGAUUCAGGACUGGAUGGUCAAUGAUGCUUGACUCAUGCAGAUUCCUAGGCUAAAUGUUCUAGUUAGCUAAUCUAGAACAAGCAUUAAGAACAAUCAAUCAAUGAAUAUCACAACUUAGCAAAUCUAUAGUUGGGGCUAAUCCCUCGAACCUAUUUGAACCCUGAAUCUAACAAGUGAACUACUCAGACAUAGCUAAGCAUUUCAUGAAACAAAAUAUAGAUAGAAAACUGCAUAUAAUAGAAUAGAUGAAUCAAUGGAGUUCCAAUCACAAAUCUCUCUAUGAUCUUCUCUCCUAAAACUCUCUGCUGAAAAUAAUAAUACAAAGGUGGCUCUUAAGCUCUCUUGCACUAGGGAAGUAUAUAACUAUUAGGUUAAAAACUCGUCAGGGGUAAUCUUGUAAUUUGGUGAAGUCUUGGGUUUAAAGUUGGCUGCAACCAGGUCGCGCUUCCACGUCUCGACAUCGAGCGAUGGUAAAAGAUGUACAUCGAUCGAUUAUAAUCUUCACUCGUCGAGGCGUCUCUCUUGUAUCGAUCGACGGCACUGGGUGUGCAUCGAUCGAUUGCUUCUUCUUCGUAUCGACCUCUAAUGGUCAGCUCGGAUGAAAUAUCUUUUAAGCUCCUAAAUGCUCCAUAAUCAUCACUUUACUCCAAGAUACUUCUGAACCUGAAAACAUACCUAAUAGGAUAGAAUAUAUAGUAUAUAGAUAGUAAAACACUUAUAUACCAUGGAUGAAAAUGGGUCAAAUCCAUGGUAUAUCAACUCCCCCAGACUUACCCUUUUGAUUGUCCUCAAGCAAAAAAAAAACAAGCAGUCUCUCUGAAAGAGGUUUGAAAACAGCAGGGACUUAUAGAUUUAAAUAUGGAAAUCAUCACCUCUACAAUUUCGCAAACCACAUCUAAAAAGUCCUAAUCACAAAAGCACCUUUUGCAUUAUCCUAGGUUAGCAACCAAGUUCAACUAGUCUACAACUUAGCAAAUCAAGUCUGACUUUCCCCUCUACUAACCUCAUUUCCUAGCAUAAAUAUAAAAGUGCAUGCUUUACCUUGGGAGUAUCGAUCACAGGAUGCAAGGAUUUUCAGACAAAUAUCUGGAUCUGCAGGUAAAAGUUAGUUCAUGUAUUCUCUCUCUCUAAUUUAUCUCUUGAGUCAAAGUCUGCUUAUAUUGCAAGUACAUUGACCAAGAUUGGACAGGCUUCCAUGAAUCAAGUCUUAAUGGUGGUUGCCACCAAGCCCUGUUCACUUCUUUUUGACCUAUAUCCAAGAAUUCAUAUGAAGCGAGCCUUGAAGAUUGUCGCCACCAAGUCCCGUUCGAAUUCUUUUUGUUGGAAUCUUUAUGAAGCAAGCCUUAAUGGUUGUAGCCACCAAGUCCUAUUCGGAUUCCACCUAGCUAAAUCCUAAGUCCUAUUUAAAUAAUAAUUUUUGGAUUUUUUAUUUUUUUAGAUGAAUAAAUAACUACUCUAGGGUCGAAAUAGAGAGAGAAAAUGUGAUAAUUAAAUCUACACAAGGCUUUACGUUCAAGACUUCUCUGAGGAAUCCGAUCCCAUGUAUACCAAGCCCCAAGACAAGCAAUUAUGUCUGGUUUAGUAUUGGAGGUCAGCUUUGGUUCCUUCAAACAAUCAAGGCAAGUGUGUAUAGUUGACAGGUUGAUCCACUUUAGCAUCUUAAGUACUAUCUGCAAUCAGUAAAUAUAGAAUGGUGCUAAAGAGUGGUUAGAUAUUCAAGUAUAAGAUCAUAAGUCCCUUUCACAUAGCUAAGCAUAAUUUAUUAAAAAAAAUUUAUAAGAAUCAGAAUAAAUUAUAUCAGUAAACCUCCCCCCAGACUUAAAUUACACUGUCCCUGUGUAAUACAGUCGGAGUUAUAGUGGAAAUAAAUCAUAAGUACAAAUGUAACAAGUUAGGAAGAUAAACCUGACCGGAGUGGGAAUCGAUCGAUGUGCAAAGAUAUGCAUCGAUCGUCGUAUGUGAUCUAAGGUCGAUUGAUGUCGACUAAUCGUCCACAGUCGAUAUGUUGGUAUUCAUCCUACUUGGGUCUUGCAAUAAAUCUGAAAGAAUAAAAACGAAAAUAAAUACUAAUAACGAAGAAAACCAAUUGAAAUUACCUAAUAGUGGGUUGCCUCCCAUUUAGCGCUUUGUUAUAGUCAUUUAGCUUGAUUUUGGAGGUAUGUGGCUAGUUGGUGGAAAAACAACUACUUGUUGGGAAACAAGAAUCCACCUCAUCUCUGCACAUUCUGGACCAAGCUGCAAUGAAACUUCUUGUGGCUUCAUCAUUUCUGGUCCAUCUCUCAUCCAUCUUUUGUACUGCAUUUGAGAUGUUCUUUAUCGUUUCUAGGAGAUUUUCAAUGCUGAUCUGGUGCCAUCAUAUAUUGUCGUAGGCGUAUUGUGAUAGCUCGUUCAGUUGCUCCUGCAUUGACUCCAUAUUGUUCGGUAUCAGCUGCUCGUCGUCUGGUGUAGACGUGGUGUCGAUCGAUGCGACCAAGUGUCUAUCGAUCGUUGCUGGUGUCGUAUUGUCGAUCGAUUUGGAGUGUUCUCCGUCAAUCGAUGCUGAUAUCUGAUGUUGAGAUGCGAGUUGCAUCUGAAUGGCUUUGACUUAUUUCUGUAACCACUAUGUAUGGCUAUCCAAUCCACUGAGUUUGACGUCGAAUGGAAGUAGAUGUCAUCACAGCGCUUCUCAAGUCGGUCCUCCAAUGUGUCUAUAGCUUUGUAAAGCUUUGAUGUAAUCUGAUCAACUUCUGCUGCUGUGUAGCUAUUUUGUAGGUUUCUUUCCAUCGAGUGAUGUUAUGCGGAACCUAUCGAUCGAUGUUGAACCUUCUUCCUUAAAAUCAUGUCGAUCAUUAAGCUUACCAAUGUCCCUCUAGACAUUUAUCAUCUGUGCAGACAAGGUGUCCAAGUAUCGCAUGAUAGGUGAGGUGAAAUGGUUGUGCUUAUCCUCAUAAGAUUGUAACCUAUCCUCCAUGGCUACGAACUUGCUGUCGAUCGAUGUGGUAGUGCUGAUAUCGAUCGAUGUGGCUGGUUGUGGAUCCUUCUUGCGAAUGGUGUUCAACUCCUGCUGUAGCAGAACAAAUCUCGUGCUCAACCAGUCCACGUUGUUGUUGAGAGGGGUGUAUACGUUGCUAAUCCUCGUGUUGAUGUAUGCGAUCUCCCAUUCAUCCUUCUUCUAUGCAAAACUUUCUGGUUCUGCAGGAAUCUGGGAUGUCUGUGGAUUGACGUCGAUCGAUGUUGCUUUGUUGGCGUCGAUCGAUGGUGAUGUCGUAGCUUCCUUCUCAAGGUUGUGCUGCAUACUCUCAAUCUCUGUCCUCAACUCUGUCAUACUUCUGUAAAGCUCAUUGUAACCUCUGUCCAAAGGCUGAUAAGUGUCAUCUACCAAUGUCUUGAGUUCAUCUCCUAGCGUUUCUUGAGCUCCACAAAUACCAGUCACCAUCUCAUUGAUCUCAUCCUUGGUGUAGAUCUCUGGUGCCAGUUUUAUUGGUGUGAAAGAAGUGGCAUGUUCUGGAAGACAUAUGUAACUCUCCUCAAACAGGGAUGCUCUCUCCAUAAGUUUUCUGAUGUUGUCCUUGGUAACAAGAAUCUUCUCACCAGCUACGCUCCUUGCAUAUCCAGACUCAUCUCUGUAGACACCAUACUCGUCCUUCUGUUCCCAUCUGAACUUUCCGGCUCCAUUGAUGUCAUAAGCACGACGUCCAAAUUCGUAGUGCUUGUCGAUCGAUGGUAAAGGUGCCUUAUCGAGCGACGUAGGUGUUACCCUGUCGAACGAUGUAGAAGCAACCUUGUCGAUCGAUGCUUUGCCAACAGGUCUGCACGAUUGGUGUGAACCAAUUCUUGUUGUGUUCGCACUUGGAUAUUCGUCUGUAGCAUCUGGAAUGUUGUUUGGAAUGCUGCGUUGCUGUCUGAACAAGUUGUCUGGUCCAUUGGCCAAUUGAAGAAUAUCUGCUAUGUCCUCUCUGGACACUUGUAGAAUCCUUCCAUCCAUAGCUCUUGCAUAGCCAUCUGGGUCCCUAAGAAUACCAAAUUCAUCAGGCAUUAGAAAAUCGUAAUCAAUACUCAUAUUCUUCUUAGUAGAUAAAUAACGUUUAGGUUUAGAAUGAGAAUCGAUCGAUGUUGAUACUGGAGUAUCGAUCGAUGGUAGGCGAUUGUCUGCCGAAUUAGGGUUUUUGAAUCGAAUGCUCCUCCUGGAUGUUCCUUCUGAUUGGUUCUUGGGAGCAUUCAUCUUCUUUGCUUCUGUGUCGUGAGAAAUUAUCUGGGGUGUAAAACUCCUUAUAUAGGUAUUGGUAAACCUACUUGGAAUUGGAAUAUUCUUUUCUUUUUUGAAGGCGACGGUUUUAAUAUCGAUCGAUGUACAAGGUGUAGUAUCGAUCGAUGCAUAAGAUCGUUUUGAACCGCGAAGGAGGCUAUGGACCUAGAGGGUAAGUUGAUUUACCUUUGCACAUGGUAGCUUCACGUGACCCUUUUGAGAGUGCUACUGCGAGCAUCCUUUGUCUGUAUUGGGCGACGUGGUCAUCCGGAUCAGUGAUGCCGUUUACUCCUUUAUGCUGGGGAAAGAGAACUUCCUGGGCAUCUCGAUCAUGGUGAUCUUAUCCGUGCAGGGAGUAUCGGCGUAGGAGUUGGGGUUUCUCUUUCGGAUAGGAGGAGCUACCCCCGGGAGUCUCUCCACCAUGGACUGCAUGGCGUCGAGCCUAUCGGAGAACAUCUGGUGAAGGUGAGCGAUCAUAGGAGACUCCGCUCAUGCUGCUCCGAUUGAUGCUUCCUUAUCAGGCUCGGGCUCCGAGUCCAUGUCCUCCCCGUCAUAGGUCUGAGUGUCCUUGGCCUUUUUUGCGUAGAUGCAUCUCCUCCCGGCCUCGUAGUUGGGAGAUUUGCGCCUGUCCCAGAGUUAGGUGUUUCCAGAGGCGGCAUAGGGCGAACCUGAGUCCGGAAUCGGCGCUUCUUGUUGCUCGCUGCGUUAAGGGCUUUGUUCUCAUCUCGGAGGGUAAGAUUCUCCGAUUCGAGCUGGUUGAGCUUCUCGGCGCUAUGCUCCAGUUGCUUGAAGUGUUCAUUGAGCUUUUCCUUCAGGAUCUGAAACUCCAAGGACUGCCCGGGAUUUGUCUCUUCCCGAGCUCUAUGUAAUCCGGUUACUUGACCUUGCAGGUCAUCGAUUUGUCUUUGGAGUUCAGCCUCUCUCUGGGUAGCUUCAGGUAGCUCGUCAUGCUCGUCCACCGCCAUUAUCACGUAGUUUAGAUUACACCCCUCCUCCUAGCGCCAGACUGUUAGGGGAUUUUUAUGUAGGAUCUUUUUGAGUACCACGGAACGAUGGACAAGGCGUGUUUCAUAUUGAUUUGGAGAGAUAUAUCAGAGAUAAAGACUUGAAGAAACGUUUUAUUGAGUAGACAAGCUAGGAUUACAAUGAUUUGAGUAAGAACCCUAAAUCUAGCUGUCUAGCUCUAGUCUGUAAGUCUUGAAGUGUUGAUCCUCUGCUUUAGGUUUUGGGUUAUCCUUAUAUAGUCUUCCUAAGGCGGGCCUUAGUCCGUUGGAGUAGGUUAAACUCUUCCAUAUUCGGAAAUAUGGAAGGUUCUCCUUAUCGGAAGUUUUCCAUUUCCCAGAGGAAGGGGGGCGAUCCUGGGAUAGGACCCAGAAAACUCCACAGCGGGGAACCGGGGUUCCUUCUAGCGGGGAUCCUUCCAGCAAGGAUCCAGAGGCCGGUGUCCUUCCUGGGGUCUCGAGGAAUUUAAUAUCUGAGUAUUUUUCCCCAAAAGUCGUGGUCAAGAAAAAGAACGGGAAGUGGAGAGUCUGUAUCGACUUCACGGACCUCAACAAGUCUUGCCUAAAGGACCCCUUCCCGCUACCUCAUAUCGACAAGCUGGUGGACGCCACCACGGGGCACCAGCUGAUGAGCAAUCAUAUACUUAUGCAUCCAGAAGACCAGGAGAAAAUAUCCUUCAUGACUUCCAGAGGGAUCUACUGCUACAAGGUUAUGCCCUUCGGCCUAAAGAGCGCAGGAUCAACCUAUCAACGAUUGGUGAACAUGAUGUUCGCGGACCAAAUCGGAAGAACCAUGGAGGUCUACAUCGAUGACACACUGGUCAAGUCCCUGGAGGCGGAAGACCACAUAUCUCACCUACAGCAAGCCUUCUCCACCCUCAGGAAAUAUAACAUGAAGCUCAACCCGGCUAAAUGUUCCUUCGGGGUCAGUUCUGGCAAGUUCCUCGGGUACAUCGUAACCCACCGGGGCAUCAAGGCCAACCCAGAGCAAAUCAGGGCCAUUCAUUCAAUCCCUUCCCAAAAGAACGUCAAGGAGGUUCAAAAGCUAACGGGAAGGAUGGCGGCCUUGAACGUCUCACACCUUCUUUGGGACCCUCAAAAGCCCAAAGGACUCCGGGUGGACAGAAGAAUGCGAAGGCACCCUCAUUGAGUUGGAGGAGUACCUCACCACUCCUCCUCUCCUAUCUAAACCAUUGCUCGGCGAGGUCCUGCUGCUAUAUCUAGCAGUCUCCGACAUGCCGUGAGCGCCGUCCUAGUUCCCGAGGAGGGAAACAUGCAGCUACGGAUCUAUUACAUAAGCAAGGCUCUCCUGGACGAGGAAACCCGCUAUAGCAACCUAGAGAAGCUGGCCUUAGCCCUGAUUGUCGCCGCUCGCAACCUCCGACCCUACUUCCAGGCUCAUCCAAUCGUGGUUGUUACUUCCUUCCCUGUAAAGUUGGUCCUCCACAAACCAGAAGUAUGUGGACGCCUAGCCAAAUGGACCGUGAAACUAAGGGAGUACGAUGUAAUAUUUCGACCCGCCACGGCUAGAAAGUUACAGGUCCUAGCAGACUUUGUGGCUGAAUUCUCCCCUGCCUUGCUCCCAGCUUUAGAGCAGGACGUAAGCCUCCGAGGAGAAACUAAGGAAGAAGGAGAAUGGAUCCUACACGUUGAUGGAUCCAGUAUUGUCAGAGGAGCUGGAGUGGGGAUAGUGCUUACCUCCCCUACGGGGAAAACAGCCUCAAGGGCCGUGAGAUGCAAAUUCAAAUCAACCAACAAUGAAAGUGAGUAUGAGGCUCUAAUCGCAUGCCUAACCCUCACCCACCAAAUGGGGGCAGAAAACAUCAGGUCUUCGGCGACUCCCAGCUGAUAAUCAACCAGGUACAGGGGGAGUAUCAAGCAAACGACGACAGCAUGAUCCAGUAUUUGGCGGUCGCUCAGCGACUAAUAAAUAAGUUCAAGAGCUGCAAGCUCACUCAAAUCCCUCAGGAACAAAACUCGCAAGCCGAUUCCAUGGUUAAUCUAGGGUCCGCCCUCGAAACGAAUAGCCAGAUGAGUAUCCCCUUGCUCGUGCUUCAAUGGCCAGCUACCCUGGAAGAACCCCCGUCAGAGGAGGUCUCUGCCGUCGAAGAAGGCGAAACCUGGAUAACCCCCUUAGUCUGGUGCCUAGAGGCCGACAUCCUCCCGGAAGACCGUAGCGAGGCCAGAAAGAUCAAGAAGCAAGCUGCAAGGUUAUGUAUCUCCCAAGAGAAGCUGUACUGGAGAUCUUUCUCUGGCCCGUACCUGAGUUGUGUCACACCUCGAGAGGCAGCUAGAAUCCUUGUAGAACUACAUGAAGGAGAUUGUGGAUCCCACUCUAGCGGCAGAAGCCUGGUGCUCAGAGCCAGAAGGGCUGGUUACUACUGGCCCACGAUGGCCGCCGACGUCGACAGAUAAGCCAAGCACUGCGACCAGUGCCAAAGGCACGCUCUAGUCUCCAAGCUGCCCCCGGAGAACCUCAAGUCCAUAAGCUCACCAUGGCCCUACAGAUAUAGGGGCAUGGAUAUAGUAGGGAAAUUCCCUAUGGCACCGUGGCAGAAGGAACUCCUUCUGAUUGUCACUGACUAUUUCUCCAAGUGGGUCAAAGCGGAAGCGCUCAGCCGCAUAACAGAUCUCCAGAUCCAUAAAUUCCUGUGGACCAACAUAAUCACUCGCUUCGGGUCCCCCACGAGAUCGUCACCGACAAUGGACCCCAGUUCACGAGCCACAACUUCAAGGAGUUCUGCAAGGACUGGGGCAUAAAACUAACUUUCACCACACCCCGACACCCCUAGUCUAACGGACAAGCCGAAUCCACGAACAAAACCUUGGUCAGCAUGCUUAAAAGUGACUGGAGGGCUCUCACGGGAAGUGGGCAGAAGAACUACACUGAGUCCUCUGGGCCUACCGGACCACUCCCAAAACAGCAACAAGGGAAACCCCCUACUCGUUAAUCUACGGCUCUGAGACCAUUGUACCUACAAAGAUGCACGUAAGAACAACGGUCUCCGGAUCCACCUCUCGGGAGGAAAACAACGAGUUGAUGGCCCUAAGCCUCGACCUGCUCGACGAAAAAAGAGAGGCCGAUCGGCUGAGAAACUGGUCCUACCAGCAAGACGUCGCUAGAACGUACAACAAGAAAGUAAGAACCAGAACCUUUCAGCAAGGGGACUGGGUUCUACGACGAGCAGAAAAACGACGGGGAAAAUCACCCCAGGGUGGGAAGGACCUUAUAAUGUCAUCGAGGUGCGGAGAGUAGGCGCCUACAGGCUGCAAGCUAGCACAACCAAACUGCUGAACGCACCGUACCUCAAAGCCUAUCAUUUCUAAUACGGUCUCCUGACCAUGAUUUCUAUACUACUAUAUACUAUUUAAGCAUUAUGAUUUCCUACUCCUAUGUAUGCUAAACGUCUCUGGACAAAACUUAUAAUAAAAUAGUUCCGACUAUAAAAGCAGAGAGGAAAUCAUUAUAGUUAAAGGGGCAUACGAGCUGGAUCAGGUCUCCCGAGACAUCCGGUCCUGGCCAACCCUCACAAAAAUGGCACGACCACAGUGGCACGCCCACAAAGAAUCAAAACGGGUAUUAGACAUUAAGCAGUAAUGGGUAUGCAAAAGCCUGAGUAUGCUGUCAAAACUAGCUAAAACCCCUGUGCAGCCUAAGGCUCAUCAGGGUCCCUAGUGUACCAAUGUGAAAAGUACCUGUAUUUAAACGCUACGAGCUACACGAUACAGGGAACAUAUGGCAUAUAUUCAUUGCAAAAUUACUGUGAAAUAAAGGGAGCAAUCAAAUCCUGCUUCUCCAGACGUGGAAAGCAGCGUAAGCCUGGCACUUGGGUCAUAACAUCCACACCAGCACCCUCUAAGCCUGUCAGUGACUUCCUGCAGAAGUAGAAUACAGCAUAGGAACUCGAUAGUUGCCAGCUUCCGAGCAGCAGAAUACGAAAUCCAAACAGGUAUCGGUAGUAGUCUUGCUAAGGAAGGCGGAGUACAGUCCCUGUGAAAAAUAAAACUUUUUGGGUUCCCAAGGAACUCCGGGUCCUUAUGCGAUCCCUCGAUCUCAAGAGGAAACCCAAGGUUCCCCAAACGAUUCCGGGUCCUACGCAUAAAAUCUAAGGAAGAACCUCCGGGUUCCCUUAUAGCCUUCGGGUUCCAAUCAAAGCGCUCAGGGUCUAAGGAAGAACCUCGGGGUUCCUAUGUGGCCUCAGGGUUCCAAAGAUAAAAAGAAGUUAGAACUCCUGUGCAGCCUAGGGCGCAUCGGGGCCAUUACAACUUCAAAGAACCUCUGAGUUCCAAACAGCGAUCUCCGGAUCCAAAACCUCCGGGUUCCAACACGGCCUCGAUGGCCUAAUACGAUUUUAGAAAAAGGAUAGAACCGCUGUGCAGCCUAGGGCGCAUCAGGGUCAUUACAUCCCUAAAAGAACCUUCGGGUUCCCAUGCGACCUCAGGGUCCAAAUACACCAGGGUCCCGGUACAAUCUCAGGAUCUAAAGGCAAACCUUGUACUCUUACGUGACCUAAGGGUCCAAUCACAAAUCACGGAAACUUUCGGGUUCCAACCACGAUCUCCGGAUCUAUCAUAGAAUCUCCGGCAAAAAAUCUUACUUCAGAAACGAGUCUAGUACGCAAAUGAAAAACCGAAGGCGUUCUUUUAAAAGAAAGGGAGGCCACAGCAGGGCCAUUGUCUUACAAAAUAUAAAGGGGGCACGAAGGCCUGCAAAUAAGUUUUAAAUCCUCACAGAGGACAGGUACAACAAAAGAAACCCCUACAAGGGGUUAAGAGUUCUGACAAGAGAGACUAAGAGUCAGUCGGAGGAUCGUCAGCAGUAAGCUCCGGGGUCUUCUCAGCUUUAGUUUUGCUCGGAAUCACCGGCUCUCCAUCGAAAGAAGGAGCAGUAAGACCCCGAUACUCAGCCUCAGAGGUCUUUACCAUCUUGUACCGCUCUAAUGCACCUUCAAGAUCCCAGCUAUCGGUCUGAUGGUUAAGCCAUUCCCUCAUGAGCUCCCAGCGAGCCACCACUAUGGCGCCGCUCACCGCCAUAGUCUUCUCAGCAUCAAAGGUCUCUGCGGCGCAUCUCAAGUCGCAUACCUCCUCCUCUCGCUGCUCCAACUGCUCCCUCAGGGACAUGUUCUCUGCUGCAGCCAACGCCGCAGCCUCAUCUUGGUUCCUCACCUUAAGCUUCAGGGCCAUGUUCUCCUUCUCCUUGGCUAGGAUGUUGUCCUUCCCCUCACGUAGCUGGAAAGUCAACUCAGCUAGGUCAGCCUUGAGUGAAGCAUGAUCACCCAUCCUCUCACCAAGCAUGACAUUUCCUGCAAAAACAAAUCGAUCGUUAGUAAAAAAAUGAGAUACCAAAAGAAGCUAAAAGGAGGAUAACGUUUUACCUGGAGGAGAUCACCCUGGAUGAGUAGGAUGGAGGCUGAAGAACCCCCUUUGGAAGAAUCACCGGAGUCAAAGGAAACACCUUAGUGUUGAGAUUAGCCAAAACCGUGGCUGGAUCGCUCGACGACGAUGGAGAAACCUUCGGUGUAGAUCCCGAAGCCCUAGACUUCUUUUUAGAAGAAGAAGCUAGAGCAGUCGUGGCCUGACGCUUGUUCCUCUUGAUAAACUGAACCUCGUCGAGCUAUCCAGCCACGGUUUUCUUCGCCGACAUGACCUCCAAAGCCUUCUUGUACUCUGCCAACGCCUCAUCACCUUUGGAUCCUGACAUAUUACCUGAAGCAUGGCGCUAAUACAUCUCAGCAAACUGUUCGCAGUCAACAAAAAGAGAGAUCAAAGCUUACCCCAGAUGCUGCAACGCUCCAAGGCUUCUUUGCUCACAAGAAAAGGGACCUGACGACACUCGACGGGGAGUUCCAGUACCUGCUUAAUCGUCUUCUCUCCCAAUGAUGGAUCCACACUAGGAAUAUCUGCAAAAGGAAACAAGAAACGUUAAUCUCGUGUGAAAAUCAUCCACCUCAUGACUCUUUUUACCCACCAGCUGUGCACCAAACAGUGGAGAAACCCGGGAGUUACAUAAAAGCAAACUUCUCGGUCCAGUGACCAUCAAAAACCGGGAGACGCUUUCUCUCUUUCUUCACGACCUCCUGAACAGGAAGUUCUCCGCCGCGAGGGUGCAAAUGAUAUCUCCGUUCCCCACCAUUUAAGUGGGUAAUAGCGUAUGAGUAAAGAACCUCGGCAACCCCGAUGGUGAGACCUUCGAGAUCACCUAGGUUUUGCAGAGCUACCAGAAUUCUCCAGGAGGGAGGAUUAAGCUGACCCGGAGAGAUCUCCAACGCCUCCGACACCUUUGCCACCAGCGAAGGAACUCGAUCUCUGAAGCCCGACUCAAAGAAUCCCUCAUACACAGGAACCUCAUCGGCCUCCAAGUCCGAAAUCCUAUCUAUAGGACCCGAGAUUCUGAUGAGGACAUCGUCGGGAAGAUAAUACCUCACCCGCCAGCUUGCGAAUUCUUCUACUCUUACCGAACAAAGUGGGCCCACAGGGAGAAACAUGUUUGUCCUCGGAGACGGCGGAGCAACACCGGUGACUGCACGGCUUGGGUUUUCAACCUCCGCGGUAUGAUCUAACGAAGAACCGGAGGAGUCCAUCGAUUCUGAAGGACCGGCACAAGAUAUCUGCUUCUUUGACCUAACCCUACCGCCUAUAGAAGAAGAGUCUAAGGCAAGAUCGGGUUUGGAUUUCAUCCUAGAGGUCUAAGAGGAGAAUCUGGAGGAAAGAAGUCGAGAGGAAAGAGAGAGUGGAAGGGAGAUAAUACCUAAAAUGGAGAACUGAGGUUGAGCGAACGAAGAUCGCGGAGAAAUGCUAAGAGAGAGAGAGAGAGAGAGAAAAUAGGAAAGUUGGAAAGCCGCAAGGCGGCAAGAGCAGAAAGAAGGGUAGUAAACCCUAGGAUGAUUCCCACGCACCACAGGGAGAACGCCAUGCGAGGGAGCGAAUUUCGAGGCUUCAUCAUGGCCGUUCCCUUUUUUGUCACAAACGCGGACCGAAAGACUCUAGGGAACCCUGAACUCCAUCAGGAACCUCCCCAUACACGCCAGCAUUAAGGCCUGUUUCUACACCAGUUCCUCCUCUGGAAACAUCAGAGCUCCAGGCUCCACCGUCUCGUAGACGCCAUCAGAAGCCCAAAGCUUCCCAUAUCCUACAAGAAACCAGCGGUUCAAUAGCGCCAGACCCCUGUCAGGAAUAUGGGAAUCGGUCAACCCCGGGUUCAGAGUGUGGUUCCGGCCUGAGUGGAACCCGGGAUCGCAGAACUACUGGAGCGAUGUCUGAGGGAAGCCUGCUGAGAAUGAGCAACUCCGGUUGACUUGAGUGCACAGGUUAUUCCCGAGUUCGAUGACGAAAUCGAGCAAUAAGGGUCAAACUGUUGGGGAUAAAUACUCAGGUAUUGAAUUCCUCCAGACCUCAGGCAGGAUACCUGCCUACCGAUCCCCUCUAGAAGGAACCCCGGUUCCCAGGAUCCCCGCUAGAAGGAACCCCGGUUCCCCUCUACAAAGUAUUCCGGGUCCGGUCCCCAAGACCGCCCCCUUCCCCUGGGAAAUGGAAAACUUCCAAUAAGGAGAAUCUUCCAUAUUUUCGCAUAUGAAAGAGUUUAAUCUACUCCAACCUACUAAGGCCCGCCGUACGAACACUAUAUAAAGGGAACCUAAACCCUAAAGCAAGGGAUCGACACUUCGAGACUGAGAGAUUAGAGCUAGGCGGCUAGAACUAGGGUUCUUACUCAAAAUGUUGUAGUUCCAGCUCUUUGAUCUAAUAAAACGUCUCUUUCUACUUUCUAACUUGCAAAUCAAUACAAACACCAGCCUUGUCCAUCGUUAUGUGGUACUCACAAAGAUCCUACACAAAAAUCCCCUAACAGUCGGAACUAUUUUAUUAUAAGCUUUGUCCGUAGACGUUUAGCAUACAUAGGAGUAGGAAAUCAUAAUGCUUAAAUAAUAUAUAGUAGUACAAUAGAAAUCAUGUUCCAGUAGUUGGGUUGUAUUUUACCUUUGCUAUCUUGCAGCCUAUAGGUGCUUGCCCUUCGUACCUCGAUGACCUUAUAGGGUCCUUCCCACCCGGGGGUGAGUUUCCCUGUUGUUUCUUUCUGCUUUUCGUAGAACCAAGUCCCCUUGCUGGAAGGUCGUGGUUCUGACUUUCUUGUUGUACGUUCUGGCGACGUCUUGCUGGUAGGACCAGUUUUUUAGCCGAGCGGCCUCUCUUUUUUUGUCAAGUAGGUCGAGGCUCAGCGUCAUUAGCUCGUCGUUCUCCUCCUAAAAGGUAGACCCUGAGACCGUUGUUCUCACGUGCAUCUUCGUUGGUAUUAUGGCCUCAGAGCCGUAGACCAGUGUCGCUGUUUUGGGAGUGGUCCGGUAGGCCCAGAGGCCUUCAUGUAGUUCUUCCACCCACUUCCUGUGAGAGCCCUCCACUCGCUUUUUAAGCAUGUUGACCAUGGUUUUGUUCAUGGACUCGGCUUGUCCGUUAGAUUGGGGGUGUCGGGGUGUGGCGAAAGUGAGCUUAAUGGCCCAGUCCUUGCAGAACUCCAUGAAGUUGUGGCUCAGCAGCUGGGGUCCAUUGUAGGUGAUGAUCUCGUGGGGGACCCCGAAGCGAGUGAUUACGUUGGUCCACAGGAAUUUGCGGAUCUAGAGGUCUGUUAUCCGGUAGAUUGCUUCUGCUUUGACCAAUUUGGAGAAAUAGUCAGUGACUACUAGAAGGAAGACCUUCUGCCUCGGCGCUAUAGGUAAUUUCCCUACUAUGUCCAUGCCCCACUUUUUGAUUGGCCACGGUGAGCCUAUGGACUUGAGGUUCUCCAGAGAAAGCUUAGAAACUGGGGCGUGCCUCUGACACUGGUCGCAGUGUUUAGCUUGUCUGUUGGCGUCUGCGGCCAUCGUGGGCCACUAGUAGCCUGCCCUUUUGGCCCCGAGCACCAGGCUUCUGCCGCUAGAGUGGGAUCCACAAUCUCCUUGAUGUAGUCCUGUAAGGAUUCUAGCGGCUUCUCGAGGUGUGACAUACCUCAGGUACGGGCCUGAGAAGGAUCUCCAGUAUAGCUUCUCCUAUGAGAUAUAGUACCUUGCGGCUUGCUUCUUAAUUUUUCUGUCCUCGUUGCGAUCUUCCGGGAGAAUGUCGUUCUCUAGGUAUCAGACUAGGGGAGCCAUCCAGGUUUCACCUUCUUCGACAGCGGAGACCUCCUCUGUUUGGGGUUCCUCCAGGGUGGCUGGCCAUUGAAGCACAAGCAAGGGUAAGCACCAGUUUUGUUCCCAGGGGAUUUGAGUGGGCUUGUAACUCUUGGAUUUCUUGAUGAGUCGCUGGGCGACCGCCAGAUACUGGAUCAUGCUGUUGUCCUUUUCUUGGUACUCUCCCUGCACCUCGUUGAUUAUUAGCCGGGAGUCACCGAAGACCUGAGUGUUAGCUUGCGAUUAGGGCCUCGUACUCGCUUUAGUUGUUGGUUGCUUUGAAGUUACAUCUCACGGCCCUUGAGGCCGUGUUCCCUGUCGGCAAGGUAAGCACUAUUUCUACUCCUGCUCCUCUGACGUUACUGGAUCCAUCAACGUGCAGGACCCAUUCUCCCUCUUCCUAUGUUUCGCUUCGGAGGCGCAUUUCUUGCUCCAGAGCCGGGAGCAAGGUCGGGAAGAAUUCGUCCACAAAGUCUGCCAGGACCUGUGACUUUACAGCUGUGGCAGGUCAAAAGAUUACGUCGUACUCCCCUAGUUCCACAGCACAUUUAGCUAAGCGUCCGGAGGCUUCGGGCUUAUGGAGAACCAACUUUAUAGGGAAGGAGGUGACAACCACAAUUGGGUGAGCCUGGAAGUAGUGUUGCAGCUUACCAGUGGCGACUAUCAGGGCUAAGGCCAGCUUCUCUAUAUGGCUGUCCAGGAGAGCCUUACUUACGUAGUAGAUAGGUAGCAGCUUGCUUCCCUCCUCGCGUAUUAGAACGGCGCUUACGGCGUGUUCCGAGACUGCUAGAUAUACCAGCAGAACCUCACCGAGUUAGUGGCUUGGAUAAGAGAGGUGGAGUGGUGAGAUAUGCCUUUAGCUCAUGGAGAGCGGAUUCGCACUCUUCCGUCCACUUGAAUUCCUUUGGGUUUUUGAGGUUUCCAAAGAAGGAAUGAAAUUUGUCGGAGAGUCUUGAGAUGAAUCUACUCAAGGCCGCCAUUCUUGUUGUUAGCUUUUCGACCUCUUUGACGUUCUUCAGGGAAGGGAUCGAAUGAAUGGCCCUGAUUUGCUCCGGGUUGGCCUCGAUGCCCCGGUUGGUUACAAUGUACCCGAGGAACUUGCCGGAACUGACCCCGAAUGAGCAUUUAACUGGGUUGAGCUUCAUGUUGUAUUUCCGGAGAGUGGAGAAGGUUUUUUGCAGGUGAGAUAUGUGGUCCUCAGCCUCUAGGGACUUGACCAGCAUGUCGUCGAUGUAGACCUCCAUGGUUCGCCCUAUCUGGUCCGCAAACAUCAUGUUCACCACUCGCUGGUAGGUUGAUCAUGCGUUCUUUAAGCCAAAGGGCAUAACCUUGUAGCAUUAGAUCCCUCUGGACGUCAUGAAAUAUGUUUUCUCCUGGUCUUCUGGAUGCAUGAGUAUUUGAUUAUAGCUGGAGAACGCGUCCAUGAAGCUCAUCAGCUGAUGCCCCGCGGUGGCGUCGACCAGCUUGUCGAUAUGUGGAAGAGGGAAGGGGUCCUUCGGGCAUGACUGGUUGAGGUGUGUGAAGUCUAUGCAGACUCUCCACUUCCCAUUCUUUUUCUUGACUACGACGACGUUGGCUAGCCAUUCCGGAUAUUGCACCUCGCGAAUGAACCCCGCUCCGAGCAGGCUUUUGACUUCAUCGUUGAUGAUUGCGUCCCUUUUGGGAGCAAACUUCCUCCUCUUUUGUCUGACGGGUUGAUGUAGGGGAUCCACCUGCAGCUUGUGCAUGAUGAUGUUCGGGUGUAUCCCAAGCAUAUCUGCGUGGGACCAAGCGAAGCAGCCGGAGUUAGACCUGAGGAAGUCUAUUAACCUCCUUAGUCCUUCUGUCAGCUUAGAGCCGAUUUUGAGAUGUCGGGUAUGAUCUCCUUCAGUUAUUGGCAUGUCGUCAAUUUCUUCUACCUCUAGUUCCUCUGUGUGAUGAGCCGGAGGCUUGCUCUGUAAUUUGACGUCUUUCAUGGUUUUGCACUGAUAUUUGGUUAGCUUCUUAUAGAGGUCCCCGUCGGGGAGCAGGCCUCUCUAAAAGGCAAAAAUAGCAGUGGGGAUGCUGCAUUCGGGAAUAGCCACCUUCUCUUGAUUGAAGCGGGCUAUGUAGCCUGGCAGGGGUUCCGUCCGGUGUUGGACCUCGAGAGCUCUUUUAUCAGGGACCUGGGGGCCUAGGGCCUGGGUCCUGCCAGGAGGCUGGAGGAAAUGAUAGCGGGGUAUUUUUCCCCAACAUUGAGUGCACAGGUUAUUCACUAAGUUCGAUAGCGAAAUCGAGCAAUAAGGGGCAAACUGUUGGGGAAAAAUACUUAGGUAUUGAAUUCUUCCAGACCCGAGGCAGGACACCAGCCUCUAGGUCCCCGCUAAGAGGAACCCCGGUUCCCCGCUAUGGAGUUCUCUGGGUCCGGUUCCGAGACCACCUCCCUUCCUCUGGGAAAAGGAAAACUUCCGAUAAGGAGAAACUUCCAUAUUUCCAAAUACGGAAGAGUUUAACCUACUCCAACCGACUAAGGCCCGCCUUAAGAAGACUAUAUAAAGGGAACCUAAACCCUAGAGCCAGGGAUCGACACUUCAAGACUUGGAGACUAGAGCUAGACGACUAGAAUUAGGGUUCUUACUCAAAUAAUUGUAAUCCUAGUUUGUCUACUCAAUAAAACGUUUCUUCAAGUCUUUAUCUCUGAUAUAUAUCUCAAAAUCAAUACAAAACAAGCCUUGUCCAUUGUUCCGUAGUACUCACAAAGAUCCUACACAAAAAUCCCCUAACACCUCCCAUUCAACGCUUAUUUUAAGUCUUGAGCUCGACUCGAGGUCCGAUCUGUCUAAUUAUCAGGAAGAAGGCAUAAGUUUAAAGGUCUGCUAAUUGGCGGUUUACCCAAUAGUAUUUCACUCGUUGACCAUUCACUGUAAAGUUUUCUCUUUUAUCGUUUAUAAGUGUGAUGGCUCCAUAAUGUUUGACAUCCACAACAGUGAAAGGACCUGACCGACGAGAUCAGAGUUUUCUGGGAAACAGCGUAAGUCGAGAGUUAUAUAACAACACUUGAUCAUUUGGUUCGAAUUGCCUAGAAAUGAUCUUUUUAUCAUGUUAUGCUUUCGUUUUCUCUUUAUAUAUCUUUGAGCUCUCAUAGGCUAAGUGUCUUAUUUCAUCCUACUCGUUAAGCUGCAUGAGUCUCCUUUUGGCAGCUGGUUUGAUGUCGAAAUUUAAUAAUUUUAUAGCCCAUGAUGCCUUGUGUUCUAGCUCAACCAGUAAGUGACAAGAUUCUCCAUAGAGUAGGUGAAAUGGGGUUGUUCCUAGUGGGGUUUUGUAUGCAGUUCGGUAGGCCCAAAGUGCAUUGUCCUGUUUUCUAGACCAAUCUUUCCUAGAAGUUCCUACGGUCUUUUCUAAGAUUUCUUUGAUCUGUCGAUUUGAAACUUCUACUUGUCCACUUGUUGGCAGAUGGUAGGUCGUAGCAACUCUGUGGUGAACUCAGUUCUUCCAGAAUUAUCCGUCAAAAAAAUUUGUUGAUGAAGUGGGAUCCACCGUCACUUAUGACUACUCGAGGAAUUCCAAAUCAUGGGAAAAUAAUGCUUUCGAAAAAGCUUGAUAACUACAGAUGCAUCAUUUGUUGGGGAAGCUACUGCUUCGACCAAUUUGGAUACAUAAUCAACAGCGACUAGGAUAUUUUUGUUCCCGUACGAGGAAGGGAAAGGACCCAUGAAGUCUAUCCCCCAAAAAUCACAGACUUCUACUUCUAGAAUAGACUUCUGUUCCAUUUCAUGUCUUUUGCUGAUUUUUCCUCUUCGUUGGCAUCUGUCGCAUUGUGCUAUGAAUGUAUCAGCAUCGCAAAACAUGGUCGGCCACCAGAAUCCUGCCUGAAGAAGUAUUGAUAUCGUUUUAAAGGUUGCAAAAUGUCCAGCGUAGUCGGAUCCAUGGCAUUGGAAUAAAAUAUUUGGGAUUUCAGUUUCGGCGACACAGUGUCUAUAUAUCCCGUCAGAGCAAUGUUUGUAGAGGUAUGGUUCGUCCCAGUGAUAUCUCCUAAGUUCUAUCAAAAAUUUAUUUCUUGUGUAACCUCUUAGCUCUUCCGGUUCUACGUCAGCAGCUAGAUAGUUCACUAUGUCAGCGUACCAAGGUCUAUCCCUUCAACUUUUUUCGACUGCGUGCACUUCUCGACUCAGACUAUCGUUUAAGGGAGAACCAUGUUCAGGAGGCACGGUGUUGCAGGCGACGCUAACUUUUUAUAUCAAAAGUGAUGGUUAUGUGGGAAUUUUCUUGGUUUUGAUCAUCGGUAGUGUCGAUCGACAUAGCAUCCUCGGAUGCGAGACAUAUUUUACCGACGAAUGAUGAAUCCGUUUGGUAAACAUUCUCUAUCGGCAAGAAAUCGUCGAUAGGGACGUCAUCCUCUAUUUGUAUCCGGGAAAGAUGAUCUGCGACUCUGUUUUCUACUCCUUGUUUGUCUUUAAUCUCGAUGUCUAAUUCCUGAGUAGCAGGAUCCAUCGCAAGAGUCGUGGUUUCGCGUCUUUCUUCUCCAUUAAAUAUUUUAUCGCAGCGUGGUCUGUAUGAACAAUCACUCACGAACCGACUAGGUACUGGCGGAAUUUUUCAAAUGCAUAGACUACAGCAAGUAGUUCUUUUUCUGUUGUUGCAUAAUUCCUUUGUACCUCAUCGAGUGUUCGACUAGCAUAGUAAACAACAUGAAGUUUUUUGUCUUUCCUUUGGCCUAGAACUGCUCCUACAGCGAAAUCGCUCGCAUCGCACAUAAUUUUGAAAGGAAGAUUCCAGUCAGGUGCUUGUACGACGGGGGCAGUUAUCAAGGCUUUCUUUAUUCCUUCAAAAGCCUUUACGCGUUCUGGUGUAAAGUUAAAUUUAACUUCUUUACAGAGGAGGGUUGUUAGUCGUCUAGCGAUUUUGCUGAAAUCAUGUAUAAAACUCCUAUAAAUCCGGCAUGCCUAAGAAAACUUCUCACGUCUUUUACUUUCAUGGGUGCAGGCAAACCGGUCAUUUCCUCAAUUUUUGUUCGAUCUACUUCUAUACAGCAGCGAACAGGUUAUGUCCUAGGAUGAUUCCAUCAUUCACCACGAAGUGGCAUUUUCUCCAAUUUAGAACGAGGUUCUUUUCUUCACAUCUUACCAAAACUUUACGUAGGUUAUUGAGACAGUUUUUGAAACUGGAUCCAUAUACUGUGAAAUCGUCCAUGAAAUCUUCUAUCAUAUCAGUAAAGAUUGACAUCAUGCAUCUUUGGAAAGUGGCAGGGGCAUUACAAAGACUGAAUGGCAUUCUGCGGUAUGCGAAUGUUCUGUAAGGGCAUGUAAAGGUGGUUUUUUCUUGAUCGUCAGGAUGUAUAGGGAUUUGGAAAAAUCCAGAGUAUCCGUAAAGAAAACAAUAGUAUUGGCGAUUUGCCAAUCUUUCCAGCAUUUGAUCAAUGAAGGGUAAAGGGAAGUGAUCUUUUCUGGUGUCAGCGUUUAGCUUCCUAUAAUCGAUACACAUUCGAUGUCCAGUGACAGUUCGCAUGGGAAUGAGUUCGUUUUUAUCAUUCUUAACCACUGUAAUUCCGCCUUUCUUAGGUACAAUAUGCACGAGGCUCACCCGGUUGCUAUCUGAAAUUGGGUAGAUUAUUCCAGCAUCUAGAAGUUUGAUAAUUUUCUUUUUAACAACUUCUUUCAAGUUUGGGUUUAGCCUUCUUUGAUGUUCUACUAACGAUUUGGAAUCGUCUUCUCAGUGAAUUCGGUGCAUUGUUGGGGUCAAAAUCGGUCACGACGGAAUCAAUGCCUGAAAGUCCGUAAAAAUCGGCAUGAACGUUUUUACGAAACGUAAUCUUCGUAAAGAAAUCUUUACAAAGAGCCUCACGAUAAAACCUUGUUCAAGUCUCGAUUGAAUUAAAUACCGGCUGUCCCAAGGCAACUGACACGUAUCUAAACCAGCCACGGACAAGCUCGAGUAUGGCGAUCAGACCACGGACAAGCCAAGCACGAUCGCUACGAAGCGACCAAGCAUGCACACUGAUAUCCCUUGAAAGCUUGAUGCAAAUAAACAAAGUUUUGUUCCCGCUUGGUCGCCAUGUUGUUGGGGUCAAAAAUGGUCGCGACGAAGUUAACACUCAAAACAUCCGAAGAAGAAAAAUAAGAACUGUCUUCGACAAAUACUUUUUCGGAAAAGAUUCAUUCUUACGAAGAACUUUGCGGAGGAAACACGAGACAUCGGAGAAAAGCCCGAAUAAGGUCGCACGGUCGCUACAUAGCGACCAAACGCACAUCCCGCUCGGUUGCUAUGCAGUGACCAUAAGACAUGACUCGAGGCCCAAUUUACGAUUUCUUAACCCACAGCCCGUAAGCCGCAUGACGGUUUAUUCUUGGUUCGCAAGUAAAGAUAAAUGUCAAGUUUCCGCAGAUAAAUACGAAAUUUUGAAGAUAAUUACGAAGAUCGGGAAAAUGGAAUAUCCCCAUUUUUAUGCUAUGACGGCUUAAGGGCAGAAGGGGAAAAGCGUAAACCGACCUAGGAGCGAGUAUAUAAGGAGUCCUAGGCGAGAGGCAUGAAGAGGGACUUUUUCAGAGAAAAACUUAGCACUUAGAGCAAUUAGGCAACUUUCCGUUUUUGUAAUUUCGAGCUGCGACUCAAUUAGGUUUAGCCGUCUUAGGGUUGCUAGAACUAGGAAUCUCGCCGACAUCUCUCGAGCCCAGGCUUAUACCUUGUUGUAAACGCUCAUACGCAAACUCGGAAUAAGACUUCUCUUUGCUCUCUUUUUACGAUUUUUAUACUUUGUCAUUGUUAUCUCGUGUUUUUAUUGCUUAGCGCGUGGUAUUAGCAGAAAUCUGGGACCUCUGGGAAAUUAGGGUUUUCCUACUUUCCUAAUUUAAACGGAAAUCGACAGUGCGAAUUUCGGUUCCCACAGUUUGGCGCUAGAAGGAGGGGGGCGACGGAUUACUCUAACUCAUAGCCGCAAAACGCUUGAUCAAAACAAUGUCUGGAAAUACGAAAGACACUCAGUUCGCAGUAACGAUGAUCGAAAACCUUGCGGCGACUUUUCGCCACAAGAACCGCAAUGAAACGAGCUCGCGAUUUCGCUUUCGAAACAUAAAGGGAAACGAUAAAUCUUACCAAACCCCGUAAGUUUGGCUCAUUAAUGAACAAAAGAAAUCUCAAUGCGUAACGGUUUUACCAAAACACGUGUUCCGAAAAUAUUUCGGAUGGGUAAAACUUUUUCUCCCAAAAACCGCAGAAAACCCCUAGGUUAAUCGCGGAAAAAUGAAGCGCAACAAAUCGAUUACGCAGCUCGGUCACUACGUAGCGACUGAGCACGCACACAGCUCGGUAGCUACGUAGCGACGGAGCACGUACACGGCUCGGUCGCUACAUAGCGACCGAGCUCGUACACGGCUUGGUCACUACGUAGCGACCGAGCUCUCCGUCGCUACGUAGCGACCAAGCUCAAGCCAAGCUCGGUCGCUACGUAGCGACCAAGCUCAAGCCAAGCUCGGUCGCUACGUAGCGAUCGAGCACACACACAGCUCGGUCGCAACGUAGCGACCGAGCUCAAGCCAACUCUCAACUCGCUACAUAGGGAACUGACAGGCCUCAGAAAGGUCCUCCUCUGCAUUCUCUUUUGAAUCCUCAUCGAAACGCUUUUCGUUUCGUCUCAAUCGGAGUUUCGGUUGAGAUUUUACGACGAAAACAAGUAGGACUCUUGUUGGUUUGCUUCUACUCGCUAUGUAGCGACCUGUCAGACCUCCACUCGCUACAUAGCGACCUGUCAGGCCUCAGAAAGGUCCUCCUUUGCGUUCUCUUUUGAAUCCUCAUCGAAACGUUUUUUGUUUCGUCUCGAUCAGAGUUUCCGUUGAGAUUUUACGACGAAAACAAGUAGGACUCUUCUUGGCUUAUUUCUAGUCCCUACGUAGCGACCUGUCAGACCUCCACUCGCUACAUAGCACCCUGUCAGGCCUCAUAAAGGUCUUCUUUCCGUUCUCUUUUGAAUCCUCAUCGAAACGCUUUUCGUUUCGUAUCAAUCGGAGUUUCCGUUGAGAUUUUACGACGAAAACAAGUAGGACUCUUCUUGGCUUACUUCUACUCGCUACAUACCGACCUGUCAGACCUCCAGCUCGCUACAUAGCGACCUGUCAGGACUCAAAAAGCUCCUCCUUUGUGUUCUCUUUUGAAUCCCGAUCGAAACUCUUUUCGUUUCGUCUCAAUCAGAGUUUUCGUUGAGAUUUUACGACGAAAACAAGUUAGACUAGUCUAAACUCCUUGGCUUGCUCGCCCUUACCUCCAUCUUUGCGUUCUCCUUCGAAUCUCGAUCGAAACAUCUCUUGUGUCGUCUCGCUUGGAGUUACCAUUGAAAAUUUACGAUAAAAAAACCCGCAAGGAAUUGUUUUCUCGCAUGGAUUCAAAUUAACCGUAUAAAACGGCAUCGGUCAACUUAACACCUUAGCCGCCUCAACUAUACGAUUACGAUUGAACCUUUUUAUAAAAAUUGACGUCGUUUCUAAGGAGAAGAUAACAGUCAAGUUCGGAAGAUAAAUGUCAAGUUUCGAAGGAUAAACACCAAUAUCGAAAAUGGCGAACAUACACGAGAAGAGGAAGGGGAAAUAAGCAAGGAAAACUGAGAAGAGACAAAACUGCAUCUUUAAGAGAACUAAGGUAUCUCCGACUUGAAAUUUUUUAAAUCAGACUUGGAAUUUUCGUAGGAAAUUACUAAGAAAUAAAAACGCGUUAGAGACUGCCACAGAACUUUAGGGAACGUAAAACCUAGGUGGAUAGUCUAGCGAACUAAGUCUUAGGCGAUUUUUCCUGUCUCGAUGUAUCGUUCCAUAACUGUUCAGCCAGAUUUUGCAAACCGAUCUAAACUCUUCGAAAAUCGAGAAACGAUCGCCACUUAUAUCAAGCUCGCUUCCUAAAGAGAGAAAAAACUAGAGACAUGAACGUCGUCUUAAAACCGAUUCGCUACUAGUAAUUUUCUCGGAACCGACAUAUUCCAAGUCGUCAACGUGGAAACAACCAAAUCACAGUCCAAGCGUCGUCUUUAAAUCGUCCCAAAUAGGCAAACGACAUUCUAAAAUUCGUCUAAACGCUAGCAACAUAUCCAAACGAUCAUGAACAUAAUCUCAAAGACUAUACAUCAUUUCUUGUCACAAUCAUGCGUACAGAAAACCUGUACCAAUAUCAAACUGAAACUCGACGAUUAGCCAAAGUAUUGAAGCCCUUUCCGGCUUUAAAAAGCCAGUUUCGUAAAUCUUCAUUCACCAAAGCAUUUCUUUCAGUUUCCGUUGUACCAAGUGAGUCACGGAAAAGCAUCGAAAACAUUUGCGACGAAGAAAACUCGAGCAUAGAUGUAGCAUCGUGCUCAUUAAAAGGAGCACUUUCCUUCCGAUGGUUGGCUAGAUCCACCUCUGGUUGACCAAUUUGUUCAAGAAACGAAUGUGUCAUGAGAAUCCUCUCAAAAAACCUAUGAAAAACGUUAUGCGACUAGAUCGUAUUGAAAUAAACUUCGGUAACACUCCAUGAGUAACUCCAAGCAACAUUCACCUAAGAUUGAAAUCACAGCAGAAACGUUUCUCGAAAAACCCGCAGAAACAACGCUACUUUGACAUAUGUAUACAUAUCAGCGAUUUACAACCUUCGUAAAACCGGUCCCCGUUACUUACGCAAAAAAUCCUUCGUACAAUCAGACCAAGUCUUACGAAGAAACUUUCUAAGUUAACAUAACAGGCUUUAUGAAGAACCAUGCGGCUCGCUGGCUUCUGCUUUUCUUUUCCCUCGGUCACAUCCAAGAAGGCAGUCGUCCCGCCACUAUCUCCACACUGGUUAUGUAGCAAACCUCUUGGGCUUCGUCUUCCUCAGAAAAAAAGACUCGAUUUUCAUAAGAUUAUAGGUCACAUUAUACGAAAUAUUCGUCGUAUAACUGAAACCUAGAGCGGAGAAUCGUUUUCUACGACUAUCGGCCAUAUCAGAAUGGAUACCCAGGCAAACUUAGCCUAUCAAUCUCGACAAGCGCUCUUUGGCCCUCGGUCAAUUACGCCUUCCACUAACUUCUGCUUUUCUUUUCUCUCGGUCACAUCCAAGAAGGCAGUUAUCCCGCCGCUGAGUCCACACUGGUUAUGUAGCAAACCUCUUGGGCUUCGUCUUCCUCAGAGAAAAAAGACUCGAUUUUCAUAAGAUUAUAGGUCACAUUAUACGAAAUAUUCGUCGUAUAACUGAAACCUAGAGCGGAGAAUCGUUUUCUACGACUAUCGGCCAUAUCAGAAUGGAUACCCAGGCAAACUUAGCCUAUCAAUCUCGACAAGCGCUCUUUGGCCCUCGGUCAAUUACGCCUUCCACUAAAGGUCCAAACCAAUAUUUGCCAUCCCCUUUAAGGACGAUCGUAAACUAACAUGGCCGUAAAUGUUAAAGUACCAUGGUCUAAUCCUUGACCUACAACAUCCUUGGCUAUCUGAGUGAACACAUCCCUCACGCCAAGCCAAACUAUUUGAGAAACCAUCGCUCCAUGACUUAACGGCUAAACAACAAUCUACCAUUUGUCUAAAAACAUCUUGUGACUAAUAAGAGAAUAAUUAUCGUAUAGCCCACGGUCGGAAGUCAUAUGAUAAAUUCUUCAUAACGAAACUCAGUCCUAACAACCAAACGGUUAACGGAAAAUCUAAACUUUUUGAAAAUUGGCCGCGUUCAAUACGCUCCACAAUUCACUUUAAGCCCGCAACGUUUUACCCAUAAUACGCAGCAUUUAAGGAAAAAUUCAUAACAAAGCUUCUAGAGCUAUACGAAACAUCCUCAAAACUGCACGAAAUAGAUCUCGGAAGGCCAACACUUCACAAAGCACUAUGAAGGAAAAUGCUUCUUCCCAUGAAACCCAAAAUAUUUGGUCAGCACUUCCUGGAGGCUUAAAAAUUGUCCUUGGAGAGAUGCUCGGUUCCAACCAGACAAGUCAUAUAAGCCGAGAACCUAUCGCAGAUUUUAAAUCGGUAUGGAAUCAGGAUGAAACUGAAAGGGGAUACGUAAGUCGAAUUAGUCAUCGCACCCUUUAAAACCAGGAGUAAACCUAGGUCUUGCCCUAAACCCAGCGCACUGGUCUCUAACAUCUCUAGACAUAGGAUCAAACACCCUGAUACGAGAUCCCAAAAUUUGUCUCUUUUCUAAUAUUCGAUCGUCUUCAGAAAUCCCGCAAGUUUACACACUGCGGAAAAUUCUCGAAACAGAUCACGGAUAUAGCAGUUCACACAGAGUUAGAUUACGAGAUGACAACUCGUAGUCUUCCUUCUACACCCAUAUAAAAUGCCAUCGGCAGCAACACGCCUGAUAACCUCCACAUAAAAACUAGACUAUAAAGGUCUCGCUGGAAAACUAGUCAUAAGAACCUUAACUCCAAGACGAACUACGAAAGGCUUGAUCCCUUCAACAAGGGUACGUAGGCAGCCGUCAUAAGGCGCAGCCCCAAUCUUAUCGCGUUCUACUUUUAGAGCGAGAAGACAGCUUACCACGGACUUUUUCGACCAUUAAUUCCGCCUAACUCAUCUAACUUGCCUCACUUGCCAAGCCACUCGCUAGAACCUCACGCUAUAAGCUCAUGGUUCUAACGAGCUGGAGGGUUAACUGUUGGGGUCAAAAUCGGUCACGACGGAAUCAAUGUCUGAAAGUCCGNNNNNNNNNNNNNNNNNNNNNNNNNNNNNNNNNNNNNNNNNNNNNNNNNNNNNNNNNNNNNNNNNNNNNNNNNNNNNNNNNNNNNNNNNNNNNNNNNNNNNNNNNNNNNNNNNNNNNNNNNNNNNNNNNNNNNNNNNNNNNNNNNNNNNNNNNNNNNNNNNNNNNNNNNNNNNNNNNNNNNNNNNNNNNNNNNNNNNNNNNNNNNNNNNNNNNNNNNNNNNNNNNNNNNNNNNNNNNNNNNNNNNNNNNNNNNNNNNNNNNNNNNNNAAACUUGGCCUAUCAAUCUCGACAAGCGCUCUUUGGCCCUCGGUCAAUUACGCCUUCCACUAAAGGUCCAAACCAAUAUUUGCCAUCCCCUUUAAGGACGAUCGUAAACUAACAUGGCCGUAAAUGUUAAAGUACCAUGGUCUAAUCCUUGACCUACAACAUCCUUGGCUAUCUGAGUGAACACAUCCCUCACGCCAAGCCAAACUAUUUGAGAAACCAUCGCUCCAUGACUUAACGGCUAAACAACAAUCUACCAUUUGUCUAAAAACAUCUUGUGACUAAUAAGAGAAUAAUUAUCGUAUAGCCCACGGUCGGAAGUCAUAUGAUAAAUUCUUCAUAACGAAACUCAGUCCUAACAACCAAACGGUUAACGGAAAAUCUAAACUUUUUGAAAAUUGGCCGCGUUCAAUACGCUCCACAAUUCACUUUAAGCCCGCAACGUUUUACCCAUAAUACGCAGCAUUUAAGGAAAAAUUCAUAACAAAGCUUCUAGAGCUAUACGAAACAUCCUCAAAACUGCACGAAAUAGAUCUCGGAAGGCCAACACUUCACAAAGCACUAUGAAGGAAAAUGCUUCUUCCCAUGGACAAAUUUACACGACACCUCAGUCCUAAUUCCUCGAUCGCAAAUCAAAUUAUUAGCAUCCAAACAGGAACAACAAUUUUGGCUUCGAACAUACGUAGUCAAACCAGAAUGUUUCUCAAACGCAGGGCUAAGAUUAAACCCUUGCAACAUCGCGAAAUAUCUUCAACCCCGCGAACAUUUCAAGUACGAAACGCGGCAUACGAAAGAAUAACAAAUCUUCAGCAUCGCGAGACGUCGCAGACGCCUGAAGAUUCGUUCUUCGACGAAAUUUCCUUCCUCGAUAAAAACACCUUCUUGGAAGACCAGACAGUCAUACGCACUAACAUCUUCUCAAAACAUAUCUUUCGCGAAGACUCAAAAUGGUAAUUUUUACCAUUAAGUUUGUUGCUGAUCACAACAAACUCUUAACGUCCUAAACAGACUUAGCCAUCUCGUAGAGAUGACUCUCGUACAUCCGACACAAGGAUAAUAGCGCUAUCAAUGAAACCCAAAAUAUUUGGUCAGCACUUCCUGGAGGCUUAAAAAUUGUCCUUGGAGAGAUGCUCGGUUCCAACCAGACAAGUCAUAUAAGCCGAGAACCUAUCGCAGAUUUUAAAUCGGUAUGGAAUCAGGAUGAAACUGAAAGGGGAUACGUAAGUCGAAUUAGUCAUCGCACCCUUUAAAACCAGGAGUAAACCUAGGUCUUGCCCUAAACCCAGCGCACUGGUCUCUAACAUCUCUAGGCAUAGUAUCAAACACCCUGAUACGAGAUCCCAAAAUUUGUCUCUUUGCCAAUAUUCGAACGUCUUCAGAAAAUCCCGCAAGUUUACACACUGCGGAAGUCUACUUUUAGAAGACAGAGAAGACCACUUACCACAGACCUUUUCAACAAUUAAUUCCGUCUAACUCACCUAACUUGCCAAACUUGCAAGCCACUCGCUAGAACCUCACGCUAGAAGGUCAUGGUUCUAACGAGCUGGGGGGCUACUUGUUGGGGUCAAAAUCGGUCGCGACGGAAUCAAUGCCUGAAAGUCCGUAAAAAUCGGCAUGAACGUUUUUACGAAAAGUAAUCUUCAUAAAGAAAUCUUUACGAAGAGCCUCGCGAUAAAACCUUGUUCAAGUCUUGAAUUAAUCAAAUACCGGUGUCCCAAGGCAACUGACACGUAUCUAAACCAGCAACGGACAAGCUAGAGUAUGGCGAUAGGACCACGAACAAGCCAAGCACGAUCGCUACGAAGCGACCAAGCAUGCACACUGAUAUCCCUUGAAAGCUUGAUGCAAAUAAACGAAGUUUUGUUCCCGCUUGGUCGCCACGUUGGUGGGGUAAAAAACUGUCGCGGCGAAGUUAACACUCAAAACAUUCGAAGAAGAAAAAUAAGAACAGUCUUCGACAAAUUUUUUUCGGAAAAGAUUCAUUCUAACGAAGAACUUUGCAAAGGAAACACGAGACAUCGGAGAAAAGCCCGAAUAAGGUCGCACGGUUGCUACAUAGCGACCAAACGCACAUCCCGUUCGGUCGCUACGUAGCAACCGAGCGUGCGUCCCGCUCGGUCCGCUACGUAGUGACCAAGCUCGAGCCAAGCUCGGUCGCUACGUACCGACCGAGCGCGCGACCGAGCUCUUCUGAAGCGUCGAUACGACGCGAGUCCAUGCAUUCUCGUCUACCCUUCGAUGCUAUCUCCCAAAGACCGUAGCGAACCCAUUUCAUGUUUUCCGCCAUUCGAAGUCAUCUAUCAAACUUUGCGGGGAAAACCACGGAAAGUUCGUUCUUUAUCGAAAGAAGCCGUAAUAAACGCUUCGAGUCAAAAGACGGCCCAAAGGGACCUAAGACAUGACUCAAGGCCCAAUUUACGAUUUCUUAAACAACCGCCCGUAAGCCGCAUGACGGUUUACGCUUGGUUCGCAAGGAAAGAUAAAUGUCAAGUUUCCGCGGAUAAAUACGAAAUUUUGAAGAUAAUUACGAAGAUCGGGAAAAUGGAAUAUCCCCAUUUUUAUGCUAUGACGGCUUAAGGGCAGAAGGGGAAAAGCGUAAACCGACCUAGGAGCGAGUAUAUAAGGAGUCCUAGGCGAGAGGCAUGAAGAGGGACUUUUUCAGAGAAAAACUUAGCACUUAGAGCAGUUAGGCAACUUUCUGUUUUUGUUAUUUCGAGCUGCGAUUCAAUUAGGUUUAGCCGUCUUUGGGUUGCUAGAACUAGGAAUCUCGCUGACAGCUCUCGAGCCCAGGCUUAGACCUUGUUGUAAACGCUCAUAACCAAACUCGGAAUAAGACUUCUCUUUGCUCUCUUUUUACGAUUUUUAUACUUUCUCAUUGUUAUCUCGUGUUCUGAUUGCUUAGCGCGUGGUAUUAGCAGAUAUCCGGGACCUCUGGGAAAUUAGGGUUCUCCUACUUUCCUAAUUUAAACGGAAAUCGACAGUGCGAAUUUCGGUUCCCACAUGCAUGCACAUAUACCAUGAAUAUUCUCGAGAGAGUGUCUGAGGACUUUCCUAUACUUGCGCAGUUUAUUCAAUAAGAACACAAGUUCUUCGUUGGUUAGGUUGGCGUUUACGAUUACGGGGUAGAGAAAAGCAUACCUGUGUCCGGCGGGCAAUUGCUUUAACUCAAUUUUUGGUGCUUUUUCGGAAUCCCAAUUUUCUAGAGUGGAUGGUUGUCAAACGACGGCUUUUGAAUAUCGAUCGACGUUAAUUUCCAAAUCGUCAUCCUCCACAUCAUCGACAUUUGCUAUUUCUACACUUGCGUCCAUCAAUCGCGCGUAUUCAUCAGCUCUGAUGUCAAUGCUAAAUGUUUCCUCUUCGGUAGAUGUGAGCACUUUUUUCAGGGGAUCAUCUGAUCAUUGAUCUAUGAAGGAUUAUUCAGCCAACUCAGAGAUAUCAUCCAUAUUAGAGGUUUGUUUAUCGAUUAAGGGUUGCUUUAUCAGUCUUUCCAUAUCGAUGGUCACUGGAAUGUUUCCAUUGUUUAAACAUAUCCGACUUCCUUGACGUCGGUGAUUGAACCAGUGGUUGCUAGAAAUGGUCUACCUAAGAAGAGGGGAUCGUUUGGUGUAUUCUGGUAUUUCAAUACAACGAAAUCCGUUGGUACAUGACAGUCGUUAAUUCUUAUCGGCACGUCAUCUAGUACUCCCUCAGGUACUCUAACUGUUCUAUCAACAAGAACCAAAGUUAUUUUGGUUGGCCUAAACUUGUUGUAUCCCAGGGAUAUCGCGACAGAGUGUGGCAUGAGAUUCACGUUGGAUCCUAGGUCACAAAGGGAUCUAGGAAAACUCUUAUUUCGUAUGUUGCAAUCUAGAACAAAAAUGCCCGGAUCAGGUCUCUUGAUCGGAGUUUCGCCUUGGAUUAUUGCACUCACUUCCUCCGAAAGUAUCAUGACGCUGUGUUCAGCAGCUGGGAGGCUGUUGGAUACCAUAUCCUUUACAUAUUUCUUAGUGGCAUUUCCAACGUUAUUUUAUCGAAUGCUUUCCUGCAGAUCGCUUUAUCCAAUUCUCGCUUAGUUUGCGUCUUGUUAGGAGGAAAGGGUAGCAAAGUCCUAUACACUCUCUCUACUUCCAGCUUGGCCGUAGUCGAGUGUCAAUUGACAUUGCUUUCAUUAUGUCCAUUGAUAUUUACCAUAGUCGGUCGAUCGACAUCUUUCCCUUCUUGUCGAUCGUUAUUUACCGUAGUCGGUCGAUCGUCAUUAUUCCCUUCUUUUUGAUCGAUUUCCACAUCUUCUUCCGACUCCUCCUCUUCUUCAUCUAGGUUAAUCGUUGCUUUCUUAGCUUCAGGGGGUUUUCUGCGGAAGUGAUUUCUGCAGUGUUCGGGGUAAGGCAUUUUCCGCUCCUUAGCAACACAACACAAACUUGACGUCUCGGGUUGGUGUCAGUUCUUCCACGAAGAAUCCUUCAUCCCUUCUGACAAACCCAGCGUUAUGCGCAACUUGGCUAUCCAAUUUCUUGACAUGGUCACUCAAAGUUUCAAACUUAUCAUGUAAAUCUGAAUACGCAGAAUACACUUUUCCAUCGAGAACCGCACUCAUUUUCUGCUGCCCUUUUAGAACUUUUCCCAUCAUAGAUUCCAGCUUGCUCUUAUGAGUGUUUUCUUACUUGUAGGUCCUUGUGAAUUUCGCUGCUGAUCGGCAAGUCUUUGUUUGCGAAACCCAGUUUCAUCGAUGAGGUCUACAUGCUCUUCUUCUCUCCUCCACGUAGAAAGGUCUGACUCUCAUCGGUAAACCGAACUUGCUCAUCUCCACGUAGAAAAGCAUGAACUGAAUCUAACGUUUCUUUCACAUCAGAUAUCCGAUCUCCAUUCGAAUUAUCGGCCAUCUUCCUCGUCUCGAGAUCAGUCUUCUUGGCACUAGUGCUAGACGCCACAUUUUCAAUGAGCCAUGUAGCUUCUUCAGGUGUCUUGGUUUUGACGAUUCCCUUGACUUAGUAUGUCCAGUCAAGACCUCCGAAGAAAUUAUUAAGUAGCUGGAUUUCGGGAAAACCAUGGCACGGGCAGUCUCGCUGGUAUGCUUUGAAUCUCAACCAAGAAGCCUUAAAAGACUCAGUAGUGCCUUGAGAAAAGUUAUAGAUCUUAUUCCUAAAUUCCUCGGUUCGUGCAUCAUCAAAGAAGUUGUUGAGGAAGACGCUUUUGAUGUCACUCCAGCAAGUCAAAGAUCCUCGCUGCAAUUGUUUCACUCAGUUAGUCGCAUCUCCAGCCAAGGAGUGCGGGAAGAGUUUGCAAAAUAGGUAGUCUUCAGAGACUCCAUGCACCUUGAUAUUAGACACAAAGUCCUCAAGUGCUUUGAUAUGGUCUAUGCGGUUUUCAUUAGGAAGACCAUGAAAGGGGUGCUGACUUACUAGAGAAAAAUAUUUGGGUUUCAGUUCAAAGUCUUUUCUUUGAAUUGCUGGAGGAUGGAUAGCAGACCUGUUAGUGUAGAACCGAUCAGGUCUGUUGCAAUCUCCAAUAGGAAUUGGAGCAUUCAAAUUAACAGCUAUUCCAAUAGGAAUUGGAGCCCCAUGUCUCUAAUUGAUUUGGUUUGAUGCAUUGCAUACUCGACCUUUUUGAUCUCGUAGAACUACUUUUCCAUUAUUGAAAUAGGUAAGAACAUACUUACCUGCUUCCGGCAGGAUGGCGUCGAUCGAUAUUGGUAGUGGAGUGUCGAUCGACUUUUCUGUGCACCCGUCGCUCGAUGUUGUUGUCUCAGCGUCGAUCGAUUUCGGGCCAAAAUUCAUGUCUUCCAUCUUAAGUACUUGUGUCAGCAGGGAAAGGAAAAAUUUAGCAGAUUCAGUAACAAAAUCUAGAGUAUAUUCUAAACUUAAUCUAAUGGUAAUAAGAAAGAGUCCCCGGCAAUGGCGCCAAAUUUGAUAUCACUAAAAUUACCCUAAGGAGUGAAUUACUCUCUCAAAUAGAUGUUCAGAUGCAGUACUUAGGGAUCAAAUCCACAGAGACUCUAGGAUUACACAAUAGAUUUAUAGUCUUUGAAAUAAGGCUAGAUUAAUAGGUUUAUAGGUUUUAAAGCAGUAAAUGAAUUGGUGAGCAAGGUUAUUGCUCGAUUGGUUUGUUUUGAGGUUUGUAACAGUUGGGAGAAUAGCUAGAUUCAGGUAUAUUCUCAGCUUUGAAAAGUAAAUAACUUAAUUUGGGUUUUUAGGGGUUUAUUGAUAUUAAUUAUUCUUGAAUUCAAACUCAUAUAUAAUCAAUUUUAUUAUCUAAUGUGAAUCUCGGAUUUCAACUAUCGUACAUUAAUCGCGAGAAAGUGUCGACCGAUGAUUCGUUAAGAAUAUCGAUCGAUACACCUUUCAAAAUAUCGAUCGACAGAACUAUCGCUGCGUCGAUCGAUGCUUCUUCCAGAAAGCUUUACGGACAUGUUUGAUUUAUAUUCUCUAACUUACUAGAUCAACUCUCCUUUGUAUCUAGUUAGUUAGAUCAUACUAGUUUAUUUUCAGGUAUUGAGUCAAGCAAUGGCUUGAUCUCAAUUAAUCCUAAGAUCUAAGAUUUAGGGUUUAUCAACCCUAAGCUUAGUAGUAAGAACAACUAGAUGAAGCGUAGCAUCCCCGAUCCUAGAUAGGAUCGUUCGGGAUGAGACAUGGUGCGAGGAGACGCACCUGUCAGGUCAUCAGACCUAAAGACAAGCGUAUCAUGGCUCAAAGAAAUGGUUAGGGGCAUGAUAGGGCUGAGACUUAACCAGGACAAGGCAAAGACAAGCUCAACGGAGCUGGACGAGUGAUCCGGUAGCUAGGCAAGGCAAUGGCCGAGCUCGGUUAGCUUGGGGAAGCUCGAUGGUAGCUCAGUCAGUACACAUUAGCUAGUGGAGAUAGACUAACUCACUCAGCUGAAGGUAGCUAGCAAUCAGAUCAACUCAGCUGGGCUGAGUGUUCAUGUUCAAGGCGGUUAGGCGGUUACAUGAGCGGUUAUGGCGGCUUGGCUAGAUGGUGUGGCCGUGGUGUUGGACGAUCAGUCUAAGGGUUCACGCCUUGGAGCCAGGCUUGAAAUCGACAGGAAAAGGACCAGUUGGAGGCAGUUGGGAUGCGGCCACAACUCCCACCCCUUCGCCCCUUGGGCGGUUCUGACCCCCUCACUCUCUAUAAAUUCAAGGCCUUGGGGUCAGAUUUCUACACACAAUUUCUUAGGGAAACCUCUGCCAAAAUCGUGAGAGAGAAUCCCAAAGAAAGAAAGAAAGAGAGAGAGACCGGCGGUUGAGAGAGAGACCGGCGGUUUAGAGAGAGAACCGUGGGAAGGCUUGGCUGUUUCGGUGAGAGUCUGAUCGUGGGAGACAAGGUCUGAAGAGAUGGAUACCAGACAAAAAGAGAAGGAGAAAGACAAGGAGAAGGAGAUGGCGCCAGGAGAGAGAACGCCUAAGGUCAGUGGUGUACACGGCAAGCAAACGGCCCUAGCUGGCGGUUGUUCCGAUCGGGCUUGUGGCUGAUUUGAGAGCCAGUUACAUCAUCUCUUCUAAUUCAUAUUCUCUUCUAUAUAUUGUGGUUGUAUGUGGAUUGAUCAGACAGGGAAUACUGAACCCAGGCAUUGGCUGGUUCAGGAUCAGAAACCUUGGCCUUUAGCUGGACUGUUCAUGAUCAGAAUCUAACACUUCUUGGCCGAUUUGUUGGAAUCUGAUUAUGGGAAUCUCUUAGUUGGGAUUUAUCAGGGAUUAUCAUGAAUUUUAAUUAGUUUUUGGGAAUUUAUCUGAGUAUGUCAUUUUGGGACAGAACCUAGUUCUUAAGGAACCAAACGAUGCAUGAUUAGAAACUGAUGUUAGGAUAUCAGAUUGUUAUUGAUUGAUGUGUAUGGAUUGGUUUCAGGAUCUGACUUGGAUCGUGGUAAAGCUAAGGAAUCAUGAAGACUCAGGCCUUGGGGAGAUGUGUGGUGUAUGGGUAGACUUUGUUAGGAAUGAACUUAUGAUAGCCUAUUGUGCAAACUGAAUGAUAUGAACCUAUGUAUGAAUUUCAUUUGAUAUUAAUACAACUGAUUUGCCCCUUAUGCUUCAUUCUGUUUAUCUGAUUGUUUAUGAACCUCAAUGGACUUGAAAUGAACUUAGAAAUUAUGGACUUAAAACCGGAAUCAACUAGAUAAGUAUAAGGCAUGAAGGCCGCAGAUCAGUUUGGGCCUAAGGGCCGGGAUCGGGUCUUACAAGUUGGUAUCAGAGAAUGCUUGAUUCUAGGAUUUGUUUGGGGUUAUGUGUUCACCACACGUCCGGCUGCUGAGUCUCAUGGUUUGGUUGUUAUGUUUGAUAUUUUGCUUUGUCUUAAGGAUUACAUGAGGUUUAUAAGUUUGGACUAACCUUGUGUGUUUUAUCCUAAGGGUACUAAGAGGAAUAAGUCUCGGAAAGGAAAGGAAGCAGCUGGCGCAUCCGGACAGGCAGUGGCGGAUGGUACCAAUCCGGCCCGAGUGUUGCCAGCUCAGACUGGAGUGGUCAACAAUGAGAUGGGAGAGCCUGAAGUGCCGAUCAUUCUUACUGAGGUUCAGGUUGAUGAUGUUGAUAAUCAGCAGGAGCUGAGAGAUUAGGAGGGAGUUGAAUCCUCCCAUGCUGGGGAAUGGGCUGGUCUGAACAGAGGCGCGAAAGAGUUGAUUGAGCCGUCCAUGAAGGACGUGUUGGCCGCGGUCCAGAUGAUUGGCACGCAAGUGCUGGCUUUGACUAGGGCGUUCACUCCCUUGGUGAAUUCCUCAGUAGGCAAGGUCACGCCAGCUCAGACGACAGCUCAAGAAACUCAGACGGUAGCUCAGACAGCUCGGGUUGCAGCUCAAGUAGCUUAGACAGCUGCACAAGGAGCUCGGACAGCUGCACAGACGGUCGAGGAUCGAGCUGUGGAUGAUGUAGAGGUUAUGGAUAUUGAUCCUCCUGCUGCUAGACCAGCUAGGCGAGUGGAUUACCUCAGUGUGCUAGCUCACAUAUCUAAGCUAGGCACUAAGCAGUUCUCGGGGAGUGUUGAUCCCCUGAGGUAGAGAGUGGAGGAGCCGGCUGGUUCGCAAAUUCAGCUCAACUCGUUGCCCUGAGGACUACAAGAAGGACAUUGCGGUUCACUUCCUGGAAGGUGACGCACACAACUGGUGGUUGGCUCUGGAUAAGCGGACCAACUGAGCUAUUGAACGCUUCCCUGAUUUUGAGGUUGAGUUCAACCACAAGUACUUUCCAGCUGAGGCGUGGGAUCGCCUAGAGGCUAAGUUCUUGGACCUGGUCCAGGGUUGCAAGACAGUUCGUGAGUAUGAAGAGGAUUUCAACCUUCUCAGACGUUACGUGGGUAAGGAGCUGGAGGACAAGACAGUUCAGGUCCGAAGGUUCAUCAAGGGCCUAAGGGUCGAGCUCCGGACUUACUGCUCCGUCCGCACUUUCCACACAGUGUCCGAGCUAGUUGAAAGUAUGGCCAUGACGGAGACUAACCUCGCUGAGGAGGCCAAGCUGAAAUCUAGGAGUCAGACAACCUCUAGUAGUCACAGUGGUGACCGGAAACGCAAGAGGGACCAGACUGAGGAGGGUAAGACCUCAAGUGGUAGGCCUGAGUGUCCCAAGUGUGGUAGACACCACGGCGGUGAGUGCUGGAAGGCUAUGGGGGCCUGUACCCAUUGUGGUAAGAUGGAUCACUCAGCUCGGGACUGUCCAGGGCUGGAGUAUGGUCGCAGGCAAGGGUCAAGUGGUGAUUCCAGAGGAUGCCACUACUGUGGUCAGGCGGGACACUUCCGUAGGGAAUAUCCUAAGUUGCUUGCGGAGCAGGGCAAGGGACGUGGUGAGGCCAGCAAGCUGAGCCAGAACCAAGGCCAGACCUCCCUGCCGCGAGUCUUUGAGCUGUCCAAGGACACAGACGCGACAGGACCAUUCAAGGCGAUCACUGGUAAUGAUUCUUGACUUAUGCUUUUUCAAUUCAGUAGAAUUGCAUGGUACGGAACCUAGAACGGAUUAGAUACUUAGACUAGGUAUUUGUAGGGACCCUAAGUAUUGGUGGUGUGGAAACACACAUACUUUUUGAUACUAUAGCUACACAUAGUUUUGUGAGUCCAGAGUUGAUCGGAAAGGGUUUGGACCAGAUUGGAACGGGGUAUGAUCCCUGCAUAGUGAGUGCGGCUGGAGGGCAAAUGAUGCAUUCACUAGGGCUGGUAAGGGAUGUCCCAGUGAUGAUCCAGGACAGGGUUGUGCAUGUGGAUCGGGUUGUCAUCCGCCUUAAGAAUCACUAGGUGAUAUUAGGCAUGGACUGGCUUGGAAAGAAUCGGGCCACAUUAGACUGUCAUCGAAGAAGGGUGCAGUUUGAUAGUGGGUGUGGACCUCCGAUCAGGUUCCAAGGUGUGUGUCCGACCUCUAGGAGCUUAGUGGUUUCAGCAAUCCAAGCGGAAAGGAUGCUUGCCAAGGGUUGUGAGGCUUAUAUAGCCACAAUCACCACUAAGGAGGUCGUAGGGGGUGGUGACCCAGAUAGGAUUCUGCUGGUCAGAGAGAUUGAGGAUGUGUUUCGGGGGCUACAGGGCAUUCCCCCUGAUAGGGCUGACCUGUUCAUAAUAGAACUGGAACCAGGGACGGUGCCAUUGUCUAAAAGUCCCUAUCGUAUGGCUCCUGCCGAGAUGGCCGAGCUAAAGAAACAACUGGAAGAGUUGUUGGACAAAGGGUUUAUACGCUCGAGUGUCUCGCCUUGGGGAGCACCAGUCCUGUUCGUUAAGAAAAAGGAUGGUAGCUUUAGGCUGUGUAUUGAUUACCGACGGUUGAAUAGGGUGACUGUGAAGAAGAAGUACCCAUUACCCCGGAUUGAUGAGUUGUUGGAUCAACUCAAGGGAGCCAAGUGGUUUUCCAAGAUUGAUUUGGCCUCAGGGUAUCAUCAGAUCCCAAUUGAGCCCAAUGAUAUACGGACGACGGCGUUCCGGACCAGGUACGGACACUAUGACUUUGUGGUUAUGCCAUUUGGUCUGACAAACGCCCCAGCAGCGUUCAUGAAGAUGAUGAAUGGUAUAUUCGGAGACUUUCUGGAUGAAUUUGUAAUCAUCUUCAUAGAUGACAUACUAGUAUAUUCCAAAAGCAAAGAAGACCAUGAGAGGCAUCUCAGGGUGGUGUUGGAACGGCUCAGGGAACAAGAGCUCUUUGCUAAGUUGAGCAAGUGUAGUUUCUGGCAGAGAAGUAUUGGCUUCCUUGGACACAUUGUUUCGGAUCAGGGUGUGUCCAUAGACCCGGAAAAGAUUAUCUCUAUACGGGAAUGGCCAUAACCUAAGAACGCUACUGAGGUUAGGAGUGUUUUGGGCUUGGCUGGUUAUUGUUGGAAGUUUGUCAAGGGGUUCGCGAGCCUGGUUCAGCCCAUGACACAGCUAACGGGAAAGGACGUGAAGAUCGCCUGGUAAGAUGGAUGUGAGGAUAGCUUCUCUGCAUUGAAGAACAUGUUGACCUGUGCACCAGCCCUGGUCUUGCCGGAGGUGGAUCAGCCAUAUGUGGUGUACACAGACUCGUCCAUCACAUGAUUAGGAUGCGUUCUGACUCAACAUGGAAAGGUGAUUGGUUAUGCCUCCAGACAACUAAGGAAGCAUGAGGGUAAUUACCCAACACACGACCUGGAGAUGGCGGCCGUGGUGUUUGCGCUAAAGAUAUGGAGAUCAUAUAUGUACGGAGCUAAAGUACAGAUUCUCACCGACCAUAAGUGUUGGGGAAAAAUACUCAGGUAUCAUUUUCCUCUGAACCCCAGGCAGGACCCUGAUCUCCGGAUCCCCGUUCCAGAAGCGUUCUGGGUCCCCAGUAUCGAGUACCCCGUAUCGGUUCCAGGAACCGCCUCCAGCUCCAAGAAAAGGCAAAUUGCCGAUAAGGGGAAUCUUCCAUAUUUUCGAAUAUGGAAGACUUUCAUCUACUCCAACCGACAAGAACCGACCUAUAGAUGACUAUAUAAAGGGAACCCAAACCCUUUUAGGCUUAGAGAUUAUACUUAGACGACUAGGGUUAGGGUUCAUACCAAAAAUACUUGUAAUCCUUGCUUGUCUACUCAAUAAAUAUCUCUUCAAGUCUCUUUUUCUCUAAUCUCUCAUAAAACCCUUACGAAAUACCUAUAAAUCUAUACGAAACCAAGCUUAUCCAUCGUUCCGUAGUACUCUGAAAGAUCCUACACAAAAAAUCCCCUAACAGUUUGGCGCUAGAAGGAGGGGAGUAAUCUAAACUACGUGACGAUGGCGGUGGAUGACCAAGACAACACGUCAGAAUCUACUCCUAGAGAAGCCGAGCUACAAAGGCAACUCGAUGGAUUACAAAGCCAUGUAACCGAAUUGCGCAAGGAUCGGGAAGCUACGGAGGACCCUGAUCUUUCCUCCGAAGUUCAGAGCUUAAAGGAAAAGCUAGACGAACACUCGAAGCAGCUGGAGCAAAGUGCUGAGAAGCUUACUCAGCUCGAAUCUGAAAACCUUGUUCUCCGAGACAAGAAUCAAGCCCUCAACACGACAAGCAACAAGAAGUGUUGCUUCCGCACACAGGUCCGAUCCAUGCCAAGCCUGGUCACACCCAACACCGCAGGAAGUACCGCUCGACAGCCUUCAGAUGAAACCGGGGCAUCAUGAGAAAAAGCUGGAGAUUCCCAAGUCCAUGAAACAAUAUCCAGCAACUUCGAGCCAGACGCCGAGAAAGAAACAUCUGAAGGAGCCGCGGCAUUGCAGUCCUCAUUGACCACCAACCUGGAUCAGAUGUUCUCCAAGAAGCUUGACGCCAUGCAAUCUAUGGUAGAAAGGCUUCCCGGGGUGGCACCUCUGAUUUGGAAAAGUAGUCUCGGUUCUUACGCCGAUACUCCUUUCACAGAAAACAUUGCCCUGAUCGAAAUGGCGAGAAAAUUCUCUUUCCCCAACAUAAAGAUAUAUGACGGAACCGGCGACCCAGACGACCACAUCGCUCAGUACAAACAAAGGAUGCUAGCUGUAGCACUCCCAAGGGAGUUUCGCAAGGCUACCAUGUGCAAGGGAUUCGGCUCAACCCUGAUCGGACCCACAUUGCAUUGGUACAUCAACCUACCCAUCGGAUCCAUAUCUUCAUUUGCGGCCCUCAGCGAUAAGUUCGUAGAGCAGUUCGCAAGUAGCCGGAGCCUGGAGAAAACCUCGGACAGCCUCUACAAAAUCCUCCAGCAUCGGGUCGAACCCCUUCGUGAUUAUAUAGCUCGCCUCAAUCAGGAAAAGGUAUCGAUCCCCGAAUUCAACAUCACUACGGAAAUCUCAGCCUUCAAAAGAGGCUUACUCCUAGACGAGGAUCUCUAUAAGGAACUAACCAAGUACCAGUGCAAGACCAUGGAAGACGUAUUGUCUCGAGCAUGGGCCCAAGUGAAAUGGGAAGAGGAUGUCGCAAGCCGCGCCAAGGCUUAACAGAAACAAGAUCAAAAAGCAGCCAGGCAAGACCGAAACGAUAGAGACGAGAGGUCCUCCCAAAAACCCCUGAAAGAUCAAGGAGGAAGGAACCGGGGCAGGUACAUGAGCCAUCCUCUCGAGAGAGCGGAAGGGAAGUCGGUGUCUACCUGGCCAGAUAUCUCACACUUGUCUGUAUCCCAACCAGAGCUAAUCAACGCCUUAAGGCAGAUGGGUCAACAUGUUAAAUGGCCCCCGAAGAUGAGGGCACCCCAUUCCUUCUGGAACCCCGACCUCUGGUGUGAGUUCCACCUUGACCAUGGUCACAAGACGGAGGAAUAUGUCCGGGAAUAUCUCCGGGAAUUCCUCUCAGAAAAGGCGAAGAACCUCUUAAGCAAGGAGACACCCAGGAAAUCUGCUGAAACCAAGCCCGCCUCACCACCUCGCCAAGAUAGAGUAAUCCAUGUCAUAUCUGGAGGUUCAGAGAUAAGCAGCAUAAGCCAUGCAGCUGCAAAGAUAAGCGGCCUAAGACGUCUAAAUAAAAAUGACUACUCUUGGGAACAGACGAGAUGAGCUUCACGGCGAAGGAGCAAGAGAAGGUCCUGGCUCCCCAUCAUGACGCUCUAGUAGUAUCGCUUACCGUAGCAAACUGCUUGGUAAGGAGGAUCCUAGUAGAUAACGGAAGCUCCAGCAACAUCAUCUUCCAGGCUGCCUAUCAGGACCUGGGGUUGGAUGAAAGUGCCAAAACUGGAAAGACAACCCCGCUCGUGGGAUUCAGCGGAGAGGUGAAUCAAACCGCCGGUGAAGUGGUCCUUCCAGUCUAUGCUGAAGGAAUCAACAUGUCAACUAAGUUCCUCCUCGUCGACUACCAAUCAUCCUACAACAUGAUCUUGGGAAGACAGUGGAUCCAUGAUAUGGGAGCUGUCCCCUCAACACUCCAUCAAAUGGUGAAGUUCCCUACUCCCUGGGGCAUCAAGGUCGUCAGGGGUGAUCAAGAAAAUUCUCGAUCCUACUACCAGACCACCUUAAAGGGGAAGACAAAGGUCUUAUAGCAAUUACAGCAUGGGUCCCGAGCUCCACACGUAUUGGGACCAGAGACUAACAACAAGAAAGGUACGCGACGAGUUAGAAACGAGAGAAGGAGGCCGAGGAAUUCUCCCCGGCUUAACAUCGAUCGCUUCGCAUGGUCUCUUUUGUAUUCGAAUCGAGCUAGUUCGAAGGUAGUCAAAACCCAAAGUCCUUUCGAUUCAAGGCCCGGAUACGAAGCAUCAUAUCUGGAGAACCGGAUACCCGCGGCGAUAACCCCAAGGAAGAGUUCAGGGUCGAGCAUCCGCGCUAAACUCAUAAGCUCCAGCAGGUUCGGCCCAGAGAAGCUUCAUUCCCCAGCUCGGAGAGGGCGACGGUCCGCAGGUGUCAUCUCCACAUGUUGUCAGAUACCUAGGCACCCCGAAAACUCCAUCCAGAUAAGGAGUACCUAGAAGCAUGAUGAGAUACCUCAUUUUCCUCGUAAAGGACCACUCGGGAGACCAAUCUUCUGCGUACACUCGGAAGGGAUCAGACCUCAGAAAGCUUUCGAAGUCCUCAAUCAACCAGGUGGAGACGAUCGCAGACCCUGUCCAACGAAUCCUAAAUCCCCGACGACACCUUGGCCAUUCCAAAGGAGGGGCACGCACAUCGAAGCAGGAUCAUCCAUGACGCCGGGGCAGAAGAUCUCUUAACCCCCCAAGGUCCCGAAGAAAAUAGCUACUUGUAUAGGAUCCCUGGGGCAAGCUCAACCUACGAGCAAUGCAAGGACCCAUAGAUUAGAAGAGAACCCGAUAAGCCCUGGGAGAAAACUAGUAGACAAACCACAUGGAGUACUCGAUCCCCGACUGGCUAUCCCCCAGAUGUUGAAAGGAGGAACCCUCUCUGCAUUGAGCACAACCCCAAGGAUCAUCAUCGAGGAAACACCAAGCUGUCGGCCCGGGACCAACCCAACCGAUGGCACACAACCAGGGGCCAUGCUGAGCAAGCUGAGACGGGGAUCUCCCACCAAGGGGACGAGGUUCUACGACAGGACAGAGUCUACGAGCUAUCAAAAAGCAAAGGUAAAACGUAGUCUACCUAUUUGGAACACCUUGCAACCUAUUAUUCUAUAUUAGGAUCCCCAGAUCUCGAUUUAUAUUACUCUAUUAUCUAUUGUUUAAGCAUUUUGGUUUCCUAGUUAUAUGUAUGCUAAGAGUCUCCGGAGAAAUCUUAUAUAAUGAAAUAGUUCCGACUAUAAAAGUAGUGGGAAAGCCACAAUACUUAAAGGGGCAUAUAGGGCUGGAUCAGGUUCCACGAAACCUUCGAAUCCCAGCUCAACCUCACUGAUACGUGGUAUUUCCAUGUGAAAACAAAUGGGUAUGAGACAUAAAGCAGAAAUUGGUUUGCACAAACCUGAGUAUGCUUUCGAUACUACCUAAAACCUCUGUAUAACCUAAGGCAUAUCGGGGUCCCCAAAAAUCAUACGAGCAAGUACCUGUAUUAAAACGCUCUAGGCUAUACAAUACAUGGGACGCUAUAUAAGUGCCAAAGUAUUGUGACAUACAUGGAGCACUCGACUGCUUGACCAGACGUGGAGAGUUGUAAAGUCUGGCACUUGGAUUUUCAUCCACACCAGCAAAACUUUAAUAUGUCUGAUAGUGGCUUCUGCAGAGGCAGCAUGCAGCACGGGAACUCGAUAGUGACCAGCUUCCAAGCGGUAGAAUGCGAAAUCCCUACAGGUACUGGUAGUAGUCUCUCUUAGGGAGGCGGAAUACGGUCCCUGAGAAACGAUAAUUCCGGGUCAACACGAAACCCGGGUCUAAGCCCACAGGUCCUAUGACAAAACUUUCACGAGAAAUCCCAAGAACUCUCGAAAUAUUGAAAGACCUCAGGGUCCAAAUAAACUACGGACCCAAGGUCGAUAAUCAUGCUAGGAUUCCAGGGGUCGGUCCCAGGAACCCAUAAACUUCAGGGUCCAAGGCCGACCGGAUCCCCCUGGAAUCAGGAGUGAUUCCCACCAUGAAACGAUUCAACACGCAAAGUAGGGGCUAAAGAAUCAAUUCAACGAAAACGCACAAAAGGAGUCAAAAGCAACAAUCUAUUAAAAAGGGACCGCAAAGGAUCUUCAUUCGAAACAGUAGUAGACAUUACUCAAAAGAAAAAAGCUCAAAACACCAGCAUAAAAAGAAAAAAAGGCAUCUCUAAACGUUAAAAAAGACGGAUCUCCAGAGUAUCGCGAUCCCGCUGCAGAUCCCGAGGUAGCUGCUUGAACCGGUCCUCCAGUCAUCAGCUGGUCAACUCCUUCAGCCCAGAAUAGGUAACAGCGAUAUUCUUCUUCCUGAUUCCAGUGAUCCACUUCCUUCUCCAGCCACUCCUUCAUAAGCUCCCAUCUAGCCGUUAGCUCUCGCCCAGAGGACUGAUUGGUCCCAAUGGAACGCCAUACCCCGCACUUGGUUACGAAGGAAAAAAAAUUCGGUGAGCAAUCUCUGAUGAACAACCAUAGGAGAGAUACGAGCGGGUGGAGCUUCAGUAGCAGCCAGAGAAACGAAAGAAGGACCAGAGACCAACGAAGCAGCUCUAACCUGUCUUGGGGGAGGAGUAUAAAAGGGUUGUCUCUUUCGGGUCUUUGCCUUUUGAUACUCAUCAUAGAUAAUCGAAACCGGAAGCCUCGCAACGUUCCCUCAACGUUCCCUGAUGAAAGACAGCACAGAAAAUUAGAAGAAAGAAUUGCAGCAAGAUGAAAGCAAAGAACGGAAUCUCACCCCACACACGACUAUGACGUAGAGCCUCCUUGUUCAUCAGGAAGUUCACCCACCGGAAUCGUUGAGGAACUCCCAACACGAGCUUCGCCACUACCUCCCCGAUGAAAGACACUGGACGAGCUACAUAUGUCAUCAUAAUAAAACAUCAGUUCCGGACAAGCAGCAAAAACAAGACGAAGAAGGUAACUUACCCACGGUACGCCAAAACGAAGGAUAUGGAGACGAUCCUUGAAUCUUCACAAAUGAAAAUACCGUUUGUCCCAAUCGUCUCAAAAGGGAUAGUUACCCUUGAUUCCCCUUGAAGGCUCCUCUACCAAAGGAGUACCAUCGCGAGACCGAAGGUGAUAGAAUCCCAGCCUGCUCACCAAUGGAGCGAAAUAGUAGGAGUACAAGAUCUCAUGUACUCCAACGACAAAGCCAUGAAAUUCCCCAAGAACUUAAAUAGCCAUUAGAGUUCUCCAGGUCAGGGGAGUAAGCUGAGAAGGAUAGAAGCCAAAGAAUGAAGACACCUCGGCAACGAUAGAGGGGACACCAACUCGGAAACCUGCCUCCAGAUACGCUUCAUAGUUGGCUAUCUCAUCAGAUCCUCCAUCCGGAGCCGUUCAAACUCGGAAGGACAUCUCAUCACACCGAGGGAGGAAUCACACACUUCUUCCGGAUAUUGAUAAGGCUCUCCUUCUGGAUCUCAUAACGCCGGCCAUCAUCGAGGAAGUAGGAGCAACGCUGCCUCAGGGGUGCCAUCGGAACUGCCUCAUUAUCAGCUUCUGAAAUCUCACCCAGACGGAGGUAGGAGAUGAGAAAGGGUUGGCGGAGAGAUGACGCGGUCUUGUACGUCCACCCACGAACGAAGACGGGAAAGCUGAGGUAUCGGUAUUCAUCUCAGAAGAACAGAAGAUCAGAAGCUCAAGACGGGUUGGAGCUACUCGAAUGCGUUGCAAAUCUUUAUAUACACCAAGUUUCUCUUCCCCUAGAGCUGAAAAAAGGAAAUAUUCAUAUUGUCCGAUAGUCUGAAGGAUCGUCAAAAGUGACCAGGCCUGGAAGAAAAGGAAAGGACGAUCUUCACGAAAAAAGGACUACGCCGCGAAAAAGGAAAUUCUAUGCGAAGGAAUAAAGGCCGAAGAUGUCCUCUUCAAGAUAUCGGAUCUCAAGAAUCUCCAGAAGAGAUCAUCGAAACUCCAGACUAUGUCCUCCAUGUCAGAUUCAAAGAACCUGAUGAAACACUACCAAGGCUGGGUCCUCUAUAGAGAAACUGUCUCUCACUUGGGUCCGAAGAAGAAAUUCCAGCCUACGAAGAACCCAAAAGAUGAGCUCCUGGAAUGCUGUCCUGCCCGAGGGAUACCUGCUGAGAAUGAGCAACCCCGGUUGACUUGAGUGCAAAGGUUAUUCACUGAAAUCGAUGAUGAAAUCGAGAAAUAAGGGGCAAACUGUUGGGGAAAAAUACUAAGGUAUCAUUUUCCUCCGAGCUCCAGGCAGGACCCUGAUCUCCGGAUCCCCGUUCCAGAAGCGUUCUGGGUCCCCAGUAUCGAGUACCCCAGUAUCGGUUCCAGGAACCGCCUCCAGCUCCAAGAAAAGGCAAAUUGCCGAUAAGGGGAAUCUUCCAUAUUUCCGAAUAUGGAAGACUUCCAUAUACUCCAACCGACAAGAACCGACCUAUAGACGACUAUAUAAAGGGAACCCAAACCCUAGAAUAAGGGAUCGACACUUUUAGGCUUAGAGAUUAUACUUAGACGGCUAGGGUUAGGGUUCAUACCAACAAUACUUGUAAUCCUUGCUUGUCUACUCAAUAAAGAUCUCUUCAAGUCUCUUUUUCUCUAAUCUCUCAUAAAACCCUUACAAAAAACCUAUAAAUCUAUACGAAACCCAGCUUAUCCAUCGUUCCGAAGUACUCUAAAAGAUCCUACACAAAAAUCCCCUAACAAUACGAGCCUCAAAUAUAUUUUUACUCAACCUGAGUUGAAUUUGAGGCAGAGGAGAUAAAUGGAGUUCGUGGCUGACUGUGACCUGGACAUAGCUUACCAUCCCGGUUAGGCUAAUCUCGUGGCCGACUCAUUGAGUUUGAAACGGGCGGAAGUAUCGGCCGAAUGGGAACCUGAUGUGCUGGAAGGAAUGGUCUCGUCUCUGCACCUAAACACAUUGGCCAGCGAGAACGAGCCUUUGGGUCUGGUGGCGUUGAACCAGGCUGAUCUUCUUACCAGGAUCCGCCAUGCACAGGGCUUGGACGAGAAUCUACAAGAGGUUGCUCGUAACUAGUUUUCCGAGUACAAGAUCACACGUGAUGGAACCAUUCUGGUGCGAGGUUGAGUAAGCGUGCCCAGUGAUUAGAACCUGAAGGAGGAGAUUAUGAGAGAUGCUCAUAAAUCAAAGUUCUCGGUACAUCCCGGUGCCACAAAGAUGUAACAGUAUCUCAAGAGGUAUUAUCAUUGGAUACAGAUGAAGGUAGAGAUAGCUGAGUGUGUGGCUAAGUAUGCUACCUGUCAGUUAGUCAAGGCGGAGCAUCAUGUCCCGAGUGGGUUGCUGCAAAGGAUUUUGCGGUUACAUGGUGUUCCGCCCAGCAUCGUGUCGGAUAGAGAUCCGAGGUUUGCAUCUCGUUUCUGGAAGGCUUUUCAGAAGGCCAUAGGGUAAUAGUAGACAAGCUCACCAAAUCAGCACACUUUUUGCCUUUGAAGAAGUCGGGUGGAGUCGACCAGAUUGUAAUCCGGUACAUGGAGGAGAUUGUACGGUUACAUGGUGUUCUGCCCAGCAUCGUGUCGGAUAGAGAUCUGAGGUUUGCAUCUCGUUUCUGGAAGGCUUUUCAGAAGGCCAUAGGGUAAUUUGAGUGAUAUCAGGUAAUCUUGUAAAUCGGUGAAGACUUGGGCUUCAAGUCGGCUGUGACCAAACGAGCUUUCUGCGCGCUUCGCUGUUGAUCGAUGUUAAGAUAUGAACAUCGAUCGAUUAUUCCUCUUCAAUAUCGACUGAUGGUCGAGCUCGAUGGUCAUCUCGGGUGCUUGCUCUAAAUAUCUCCAAAAUGCUCCAAAAUCAUCACUUAUCUCCAAAUCACUCCUGAUCCUAUAAAUAUACUAGAUAGACUCUAUAGUAUAAUAAUUAAAAGUUUAAACACUUAUAAACCAUGGGUAAAACUGGGUCAAAUCCAUGGUUCUCAAGCAAAACAAACAUGCAUUCUCUCUGAAAGAGGUUUGAAAACAGCAGGGACUCACAUGAUUUAAAACUUAGAAUCAUCACCUCUACAAUAUUGCAAUCCACAUCUUAAAGUCCUAAUCACAAAAGCACAUUAUACAAUAUCCUAGCAUAUCAACCAAGUUCAUCUAGCCAACAACUUAGCAAAUCUUGUCUGACAUUCCCCUCUACCAACCUCAUUUCUUAGCAUAAAUAAAAGUGCAGGCUUUACCCUGGGGGUAUCGAUCACAUGAUGCAAGGACAUUCAAACAAGUAUCUGGACCUGCAGGUAAACAUUUGUUCUUAUCCUCUCUCUCUCUACUAAUUUUCUCUCUUAGUCAAAUUCUGCUUAUAUUUGCAAGAUCAUCGACCAAGAUUAGACACGCUUCCAUGAAUCAAGCCUUAAUGGUGGUUGCCACCAAGUCCUGUUCAAUUCUUUUUGACAUAUAUCCUAGGAUUAUUUGUGAAGCAAGCCAUAAUGGUUGUUGUUGAGGAAAAAUACCCCGGUAUCAUUUCCUCCAGCCUCCAGGCAUGACCCAGCCCCCCGGGUCCCCAAUAAAGGAGCGCUCCAGGUUCCCGUUGAAAGGAACCCUGUGACCAGUCCCAAGGACCGACCUCCCUUCCAAGAAAUGGAAGAUUUCCGAUAAGGAGAACCUUCCAUAUUUAUGAAUAUGGAAGAGUUAAACCUAAAUCAAACCGACUUCAAAGCGACUAUAUAAGGGCUCCUAAGUCCCCAAAGCAAGUGAUCAACUUCUCCAAGGCUUAGAGACUAGAAUUAGACGGCUAGAAAUAGGGUUCUUACCCAAUACCUUGUAACCUCGCUUUUUCUUGCUUGUUCUACCUAAUAAAAGUCUCUUCAAGCCUAUAUCUUUAUUAUCUUAUCAAAUACCCAUGAAAUAUACACAAACCCUUAACAAAAAACCAGCUUAUCCAUCGUUCCGUGGUACUCUAAAAGAGCCUACACAAAAACUCCCUAACAAUUUGGCGCUAGAAAGAGGGGAGUAAUCAAACUAUGUGACGAUGACGGUGGACGAGCAUAAUGAGCCGUCCGAUGAUGCCCAAAGAUUAGCUGAACUCCAGAAGCAAAUUGACGGCAUGCAGAGCAAGAUAAUCGAGAUGAAUCGAACUCGAGAAGAAGCCGCAGAAAACCCCAACCUCUCUUCAGAACUCCAGAGUCUGAAGGAGAAACUUGACGAACACUCCAAGCAGCUGGAACAAAGUGCCAAAAAGCUCAGACAGUUGAAGUCGGAGAAUACGGUCCUCUGGGAUCAAAACCAAGCCCGCAACACGACAGGCAACAAGAAGCGUCGUUUCAACACCCAUGUUUGACCUAUGGGGAAUCUAAACACUCCUAACUCUGGAGAAGGUGUGACCGAUCCAUCUCCUACGUCAGGCGUAGCCGGGGCAACUCCCAAAGGGGCUGAGAAUCCUCAAGUCCACAGCCUGGAGGAGAGUGAUUCCGAACCAGAAUAUGAUAAGGAGACACCCGAAAAGAUAUCAGCCACGGAUUCAUCUAUGACUGCCUAUCUCGAGCAGAUGUUCUCCAAGAGAUUCGACGCCAUGCAGUCCAUGGAGGAACGCCUACCAGGAGUAGCCCCCCCCAAUCCGAAGGAGUAACCCGGACUCCUACGCCACCCCCUUCUUGGAAGGAAUCGCCUCGGUUGAGAUGCCUAGUAAGUUUUCCUUCCCCAGCAUAAAGAUGUACGACGGGACAGGUGACCCCGACGAUAAUAUCGCUCAGUACAAGCAGCGGAUGCUCGCGGUUGCACUCCCAAUAGAGUCCCGCGAAGCUACAAUUUGUAAAGGUUUUGGCUCCACUCUGAUCAGACCUGCCUUACAAUGGUUCAUCAACCUACCCACCAGGUCCAUAUCCUUUUUCGCGAGCCUCAGCGACAAGUUUGUGGAGCAAUUUACGAGUAGUAGGAGUUGGAGAAGACCUCAGGCGGUCUCUACGAGAUUCUUCAGCAUCGGGUAGAACCCCUGCGAGAUUACAUAGCCCGCUUCAACCAAGAAAUGGUGGCAGUUCCCGAGUGCAGCAUCCCUACCGCGAUCUCUGCCUUCAAAAGGGGCCUUCUUCCAGACGGGGACCUCUACAAAGAACUAACCUUAAAUCCCUGCAAGACCAUGGAAGACGUGUUAUCCCGAGCCUGAGCGAAAGUUAAGUGGGAAGAGGACGUCGCUAGCCACGCUAAAGCCCAGCCAAAGCAGGACCAAAAGUCAGCCUGAUCAGAUCAAGGAAGUCAGGAUGAAAGAUCCUCCUAAAGAGCGACCAAGGACUCCGGGAAUAGAAACCGGGGCAGGUUCCAAUACCGACCCCUGGAAAAGGAGGAAGGAAUGUUGGUAUCCACUUGGCCUGAUAUCUCCCAUCUCUUGAUAUCCACACUGGAGCUAGUCAACGUCUUGAGGCAGAUGGGCCAACAGGUCAAGUGGCCUCAAAAGAUGAAGGCGCCUGACUCGUUCCGGAACCCUGGUCUUUGGUGCGACUUCCAUCGCCACCACGGUCACAAAACUGAAGACUGCGUCGCUUUAAGGAUCGAGGUCAAUGAACUACUCCAAAAAGGGCAUCUCUGGGAGUUCCUCUCAGAGAAAGCCAAGAACCAUCUAAAUAAAGAGGUGUGGGUGAAAUCCGCUGGAGCUGUACCCGCCUCGCCACCUCGCCGAGACCGAGUAAUCCAUGUCAUAUCUGGAGGCUCAGAGAUAAGUGGCGUGAGUCAUGCAGCUGCCAAGAAAAGCACCCUCAACGCCAAGCACGGUCUGGAGACGACCAAACCAAAGCGCUUGCUCCUAGGUACCGACAAAAUAAGCUUCACAGCCAAGGAGGAGGAGAGGAUCCUGGCUCCCCACCACGAUGCCCUGGUUAUCUCACUCACCGUAGCAAACUGCUUGGUGAAAAGAAUACUAGUGGACAACGGUAGCUCCAGCAACAUCAUCUUCCAGACUGCGUACCAAGACCUCAGGCUGGAAGAGAGAGUGCCUUGACGCGGAAAAUAACUCCACUCAUCGGUUUCAGCAGUGAAGUUAAGCAAACGGCCGGAGAGAUCACUCUCCCAAUAUACGCUGAAGGGAUCAACAUGUCCACCAAGUUCCUGGUCGUCGACUGUCAAUCAGCAUACAACAUGAUCCUGGGACGACCCUGGAUUCAUGACAUGGGAGCAGUCCCUUCAACCCUUCAUCAAAUGGUGAAGCGCCCUACACCCUGGGGCAUCAGAAUAAUCAAGGGAGACCAAGAGAACUCUGGAUCCUGCUACCAGACCACCUUAAAGGGAAAAACCAAGGUCUUAUAGCAAUUACAGAAGAGACCUCACGUCCAACGAAAUCAGGGACCAGAGGUCAAGAAGACAGGCGAAUGGCGUUCGGUUUAGAGGAUGCGGACCCCAAAUCACGAGAAGGGCCACCUAAGGACCGAUAUCGACCGCUUUGCAUGGUCUCACUCAAGGUCCUCCAAAGCGAUACCUGCUCGGAAGAGACGGAUCUCGCAAGAUCCUUGACCUCCACCCCGCAUGGAUCUCAUCAGCUAUCAACUAAUGGUCUCGCAAAUGAAGAAGCGGGGCAUAAGCACCCUGAGGAGACCUCCUCCAAAAUCAUACCGGAAGGAUCUGGGGCAGAAGGCACCCCGCCAAAAAAGAACGGAGAAACCUAGCACAGCCAGAGCUCUUCAAAUCUGGUCGCUCCGGUGGAUGAAUGCGACUGCACAUCUCAUGGUCAUGCUGAAAACCUUCAUCACCAAGAAACACCGGCCGUGGAUCCCCAGUAACAAGAAAAUCUAUGGAAGCCGGGGCACGAGACAAAUCUCGGUCACGGUCCCCGGACCCAAGGGAGAAGCAGUACCCAACAAUAAAGAGAGGGAUGACGCGCCAAGGCAGAACUCAUAUAAUCCUCAACAAACCGACAUGAAGUCCACCUCCCAGGAGGAAAGCGACAGACGGAUCCACAGAACCUAGAGGACUGGUCCCGACCACGGAGUGCCGCCACAGACCGCAGCAAGAAAAAGGAAUCCUCCAGCAGGGGCACUCACCCAAACAGAGCCUAAGGGCUACAUAACAAAGGUAAAACAUGGCCUAACCACUGGGGUACCUCGCAAGAUAAUGUCUUGUACGGUCUCCGGACCAUGAUUUUUAUUACUUAUUUAUUAUUUAAGCAUUAUGUUUUCCUACUCCUAUGUAUGCUAAAACAUCUCCGGACAAAAGCUUAUGUGAUAAAAUAGUUCUGACUAUAAAAGAGUAGUAGGAAUACCAUAAUACUUAAAGGGGCAAACGAGCUGGAUCAGGUCCAAGCGACCUCCGAUCCUGGCUAACCCUCAAUGAAAAGUGGCUAGACCACAGAAAAACAAAACGGGUAUGAGACAUAAGGUAGGAAUGGAUCUGCGCAAGCCCGAGUAUGCCGUAAAUACUACCUAAAACCUCUGUAUAGCCUCAGGCAUAUCGGGGUCCCAAACUAAAUAAAUACCCAAACGUGAAAAGUACCUGUAUUAAAAUGCUACAUGCUAAAUAAUACAGGAGACACAAGGUAUAAUUGCAAAAAGUACUGCAAUAGCAGGGAGAAAAUGUGCAUAAGUUCGGGAGCACCCUAUAAUAUCCUGCUUCUCCAGACAUGGAAAGCAGCAAAGUCUGGCACUGUGGUUUUCACCCAUACCAGCACCCUCUAAGUCUGAUAGUGGCUUCCUGCAGAAGCAGCGUGCAGCACGAGAACUCGAUAGUGGCCAGCUUCCGAGCGGCAGAAUACGAAAUCCCAACAGGUACCGAUAGUGGCCUCGCCUAGAAUGGCAGAAUACGGUCCCUUAAAACUAAUAUUCCGGGUUCUGAGAAAGAACUCCGGGCUCAAAAAGGCCCAAGGUCUAGAACCCACAUGUUCCUAAAAAAUGACCUCAGGGUCCAAAGACUACGAGUCCUGUCAAAGACCUCAGGGUCUCGAACCCACGGGUUCCCUAAAAAAUAACCUCCGGGUCCUGAACCCAUCAAUUCCCCAAGCGGUCCUAGGAUCCAAGACAUAGGGGACAAGCCAAGAUUCUCAAACCCAGCAUCCAAAACCCAUGCGGCUCGGAUCUUGCAAGAAGAUCUUUGGAGAGCUUCCUCCGCACCAACGCUUAGAUUACUCACACAGUAUUCAUCAGCUCUCUAAUUCAUCUCCAUGAAUCAAGCUUCGAAACCCUAGAAUCACUCCGCAACCUACAAAGAUGAGCAGUCAAAGAAGCAAAGCCAAACUGCGGGCUUAAAGGACGAAAGGCCCAUCAAGCCUAAGCGGCCCAUUCCUACAAAAGGUUCCAAAAAAUUCAUCUCAGUCAGUCCCAGGGACAGUGCGAUAUCCUAGCUCAGACCACCUCGAAGAAACCAGCACCAAGAGAAUCUCGAGUGAUAUGGUCACGAAGAUCAAAGCAAAUCGCGAAACUUAUGGACCUAAAGGAUUCUAAGUUCAAAGGACCCCGUAAGGAAGGAUAAAGAAAGAUGCAAACCCAAAAAGCAUUCUUAAAAAGCCACAGCCGGGCCAUUAUUCAAACACAACAAAAUAAAAAAAGCACAAGGGCCCGAUUCGAAGUCUUAAACCCUCACCAUGGGCAGUUACAAAAUAAAAAGAAACCCCUUCAAAGGGUCAAGAGUUCGGAGGAUAGAGAUUGAAAUCAGUUGGUAGGAGGGUCAUCCACAGCGGGCUCUAGCUGUUAUGGGAUUUUUGUGUAGGCUCUCUGUGAGUACUACAGAACGAUGGAUAAGCUGGUAGUAUGUAUGUAUUUUGUAAGGAAUUAGAGAGGAUAAUGAAAAGAUAGGCUUGAAGAAUUGUUUAUUGACUAGAUGAAACAAGAACAAGAGAGGUUACAAAGUAUUCAAUAAGAACCCUAGUUCUAGCCGUCUACCCUUAGUCUCUAAGCCUUGGAGAAGUCGAUCCCUUGCUUUAGGGUUUUAGUAGUCCUUAUAUAGUCGUCUAAGAGUCGGUUUCCUUAGGUUAAACUCUUCCAUAUCCACUGAUUGGCCCUCCUUCAGUGAUAGGGGCUGAGGAAGUCGCGGUUUGGAGGAAGAAAUACGAGCUUCCUGAUGAUGUUGUUAUUUGAGUACCUGAUCCGGAAGACAGGGUUUCGAAUUUUGGUGUGGAUGAGGUUCCUAUCUACGAGGGUUACUUCACGUCUGGUGUUAGGGGAUUUUUGUGUAGGCUCUUUGUGAGUACUACGGAACGUUGGAAAAGUUGGUAAACCAAGGAUAUUUGUGUGUAUUUCGUGAGGAUUUAGAGAAUACUAAAGAGAUAGGCUUGAAGAGACGUAUUAUUGACUAGAUGAAACAAGAACAAGAGAGGUUACAAAGAUGAUUCAAUAAACCCUAGUUCUAGCCGUCUAGCCUUAGUCUCUAAGCCUUCGAGAGGUCAAUCCCUUGCUUUAGGGUUUUAGUAGUCCUUAUAUAGUCGUCUAGGAGUCGGUUUCCUUGGGUUAAACUCUUCCAUAUUCGGAAAUAUGGAAGGUUCUCUUUAUCGGAAGUUUUCCAUUUCUUGGAAGGGAGCUCGGUUCCAGGAACCGAACUCAGGGUUCCUUCUAGUGGGGACCUGAAGCAUUCCCUUAUCGGGGACCCGAGGGUCUGGGUCCUGCCUGGAGGCUGGAGGAAAUGAUACCGGAGUAUUUUUCCCCAACAGUUUGCCCCUUUUUUCUUAAUUUCAUCAUCGAAGUCGGGGAAUAACCUGUGCACUCAAGUCAACCGGGGUUGUUCAUUCUCAGCAGGCUCCCCUUAGGCAGGACCCCGUUCCAUUGAUCUUGCUAUCAUGGGUACCACUCAAGCCAGGACUCAUUCUGAACCCAGGUGAGGAUCGGUUCCUUCGUGUUUGACCAGAGUCUAGUAGUAGUUUCUCUUAUCUUCUGGAGAUGAUGAGGCUGGAGCUCUGAAGUUGAGCUGCGUGCAGUCUGGAGAAGUUCUUCGUUAGAGGGAUUCUGGGGGUCUUUGAGGCUAGGACCCUUUGCUUUGAGGACAAGCCGGAGUGCUGCAGAGAUGAGGGAGUUCCUAUUGGAGAGGACCGGAACUUCUUGAGGCUAAAGUUCCUUGAGCCGGGGAAAUGGUAAGGGGGGAUCCUUGCGGUCCCCGUAUUUUGGUCCAGAAUUUUGGCGGGAAAAGGGGAAGCUCCUCGAUGUCUGUCUCGAGAUUCGUAUUCACGCGUGGUCUUUUCCCUUCGACGCGUGUAAAGUGCCUCUAGGGUUUUCGAUUCUACCCCUCCAAUUCUUUCACCUGAUUCCUUUAGUUUCCUUUUCUCUUCCUCUCAAAAAUUUCUCGCGAUCUCUGUAUCUCGACUUGGGUCCUCAUUCUGCAGGUAACUUAUCCUUCUCUUUCGCUUACUUUUGAAUCCUUUCUUCCUUCUGCUCCUGAGAUGAGGACUGAGUCGGGUCUCUCUCCAGAUUCUUCUUCCAUAGGUAGUAGAGUUAGAUCUAGUAGAUUGAGGGUUGCUCCGACGGAAUCUAUGGAUUCUUCUGAUUCUUCUCUAGAUCUGACCGCCAAAGUAGAGAAUCCCAGAGCUAUCGUUGCUAGUAGAACUUCACAGGUAGGGGGAGCCGAUAUCCUCCGAUUGGCCCUCCUUCGGUGUUAGGGGCCGAGGAAGUCGCGGUCUGGAGGAAGAAAUACGAGCUUCCUGACGAUGUUGUUAUUCGAGUACCUGAUCCGGAAGACAGGGUUUCAGAUUUUGGUGUGGAUGAGGUUCCUGUUUAUGAGGGUUACUUCGCAUCUGGCUUCAGGGAUCGAAGUCCCUCUCUGGUAGCUACGAUAUCUGAAACCCUAGAGAUUUCCCCAGGUCAGCUAAACCCUCCGGCUUUGAGGACACAAAUAGCUCUGCAGAAUUUGGGUGAUCUCAACGGGCUUGUGAUUGGAGUAGCUGAGGUCCUGUGCUCUUAUUCUGUCUCUACUCUAAGUGGCGCAUGAUGUUAGGAGUUUUCAAGGCUCCUAAUCAAAUGUUGUAGUAUAAAAGAUUGUCGAACCAAUCCUAGGUGAUUCUAAAGCAAAGGGAAUGCAAGUUCAUCCUUAAGCUAAGUGCAAUCGGUUUAAAAGAUGGUAUGAACUAAGAAUUAAUAAGCUAAUGCAAUAAAGUAAUGAUCUUUCUUUCUCAAUAUGAAGCAAGAGGACUCAUGGGGAUAGGCAUUUGAUCUUGGGUGAUGUAGAUCCAAUCUAAGGGUGGCAAGCUACCAAUCAAACACUUUCCUUAUGCCUAGACACUAAGCUAAACAAGCUCUAUCUCUAGAUGAAUGUUCUUUUGGUAAAGCAACUCAAGCAUCUAAUCUCUUAGGUUCAAUGUUACUAAAGCAAACAUGGAUAACAAGUCUAAUAGGAAUCUUAACUCCUUUAGCAACUAAUCUCUUCGGUAAAGCAAGCUAAAAGAAUUGAAAAGCUGGUUAAGGCAUUUCAUCAUACACCUUGUGGGCAGCAAAUGCCUAUAGAUCUAUUUUAGUAUGAUCAAGACUAAAAUAGCAUUGAGAACCCUCAACAAGCAUGGAAACAAGUAGAUCUAACACUAAACACCCUAGAUCUUCUCUAAUCACCCAUAAUCACCCUAGCCCAUGAAUCAAAGAUUAGUGUACUCACUAAUAGACAUGAAUAACCCCAAAAACCAUGGAUGCUUCAUGGUUAAACAUGAUUAAAGAGCAAGAUAAUCAAGCAAGGAUAAGAAAUUAUGAUCAAGAUUAGAUCUUUUUCCCAAAAAUGGCUUUUGAUUAGAUAGAAAACCAGGUAAGUCCUAAUUUUAGGUUUAGAGAGUAUUUAUAGGACUCCUAAAAACCUAGUGGGCCUCAAAAACAAGUAUGAAAAGGUCCAGCAAAACAUGAAAAAUCGACCAAAUAUAUAUCUUGCGCGCGGGUUCAUGACUCCGCUCCAGUGGGUCGCUCCAGCUUCACAGCGGGUUCGCCACCUCGCUCCGGAACGUCGCUCUGGCUUCCUUUGCACUUCAUGGAUUUGGUGCGCGAUGUACCCACAUCGCUCCGUCUUGCUCGCUCCGGUUCUUGAAAGUUGUCGACGGGAUGUUGGGCCCAGAGCGGGUACGCUACGUCCCUCCACAAAGUCGCUCCAGGUCACAGCGGCUACUUGACCCCGCUGCGCUCGCCCGCUCCAGAUCAUGCUCGUAUCGCAACGAAAUGCCGAGCGGGUUGAUGAUGUUUCUGCGAGAGGUCACUCCAGGUUAGAGCGGGUUGCUCACCUCGCUCCAGUAGAUCGCUCCAGCUCCUCUACUCGCCCAAUGAUCAUUUUCUACUUCUUUUUGAAUCACAAUGCUCCCAAACAUCUCCAAUCACUCCAUAGCACUCUCCAACACCUAAUAAAGACAAUGCAUGCAAUAUGGACUCUAAAGAUAUGAUCAAGUAUGCAAGUGCCCAUAUGCAUCAUUCAAGCCAAGUUUAGAUUGGAAUUGAUCUUAAGAACAAUGCCAAUAUCAAGCAAGCAAACAAGUUUCAUUUUGAAAACCCAAGGAGGAGAGAUACAAAGAUGGGAGCUUAGCCAAAAGAAACACAACGUCGCUCUGGCUUCCUUUGCACUUCAUGGAUUUGGUGCGCGAUGUACCCACAUCGCUCCGUCUUGCUCGCUCCGGUUCUUGAAAGUUGUCGACGGGAUGUUGGGCCCAGAGCGGGUACGCUACGUCCCUCCACAAAGUCGCUCCAGGUCACAGCGGCUACUUGACCCCGCUGCGCUCGCCCGCUCCAGAUCAUGCUCGUAUCGCAACGAAAUGCCGAGCGGGUUGAUGAUGUUUCUGCGAGAGGUCACUCCAGGUUAGAGCGGGUUGCUCACCUCGCUCCAGUAGAUCGCUCCAGCUCCUCUACUCGCCCAAUGAUCAUUUUCUACUUCUUUUUGAAUCACAAUGCUCCCAAACAUCUCCAAUCACUCCAUAGCACUCUCCAACACCUAAUAAAGACAAUGCAUGCAAUAUGGACUCUAAAGAUGCCUAAUUCCUAAUCUAUAUGAUCAGAAUGUACAAGAUAUGAAGGCUAAAAACAUGUAAAUAUGCAAGAUAUCAACUCCCCCACACUAGUCCUUUACUUGUCCUCAAGUAAACUUUUCAAAACACAAGGAGGAGAGAUACAAAGAUGGGAGCUUAGCCAAAAGAAACACUCAAUGCACUCAACUUGACAUCCUAAAGAAACAUAGCAAAUAGCAUGAACACACUCUCUUAUUAUACUCUAGCUUCUCUAGGCCUAUAAAUACUCUUAUGUCUCUACACAAGUUGCAAUACUCAUCAACUAACAUGUUCUUUAAACCAGCUCUCACAUUGAUUCACACACACACACACAAGGUGAAUUCUCACAAAUUGGCACAUGAUCUCAAUCAUUUGGCUAGGUAAGCAAUGGUCUAUUAUGAAUGAAGAGAAGGAUUCAAAUGUUGUCAUUUCAAGGUGGUUAUCACUCAAGAACAAGGAGCUUGAUCAUUAUGCAAAAUUUAUCUAAGACUAGAAGCAACUCUUGCAUACAUAGAUUCAUUCUCAUCAUUCUACCCCUUUUUAUAAGUGAUUACAAGUUCUACCCUUUUAUCAUCAUCUCAAAACCAAAAUAAAACCCACUCACAUCACUCACCCAAUGAACAACUCUCUUUUUCUUUUGACUCAACCAACUAGGGACUUUAAUUCACUUUUUACAACACUUAGUUCGAACUCUUUCUCAUUUCCCUUCCCACCUUCUCUUUGAUUCUUUUCUCUUUUUUUUUUUUAUAAGGGGGAAGGUUCUUUUGUACAUAAUCUAGAGCUUCAUACUUUCCUUUUGUCCCUAGAGUUUUCUUUUCUAAUGACACUCUUUUGUUCAUCUUUCUCAUCUUUCUCACUCCCCACACCCAAAAUAUUAACAUUUAGAAUACACAAACCCCUCUCACCAUCCCCAAAUGCUAGCUCAUUAUGCCAGCAAGAGAUGAGAACAAAUCUAUGUCGCCUCCAAUACUCUCAAGAUUUUGCACAUGACAAGCUAUCAAAAGAGGCCUCACUCAUGCAAUUCAAUGUUUGGUCUCAAAGAAUGGCUAGGGUUGUAGGGUAUGGAGUGCCAUUUGGGUUAACAAAGAUUGGUAUAAAGGAAUAAGAUAACCCAAAUGUGUAUGAGAUCCAUGAUCAAGUAUGCAAGUGCCCAUAUGCAUCAUUCAAGCCAAGUUUAGAUUGGAAUUGAUCUUAAGAACAAUGCCAAUAUCAAGCAAGCAAACAAGUUUCAAGAAGAGUUUUUAAGGCUCGAAGCAUGCAAGCCUUUCAAAAGAUGCUUAAGCUACUUGAUAAUUCAGUGCAAACCAGUGUUCUAUACAAGGCAGUAUCAAUCAGCCGCUCCAUAUGCAAGUGAAUGCAUCCUAUAUGCUCUAGACUCAAUCUUAAGAAUGCAAGUGAUGCAACUACAUGAUUCAAAAAUUUGAAAUUUUUUUGGUUUUUCUAUGCAUAUAUGUAUGUACAAUGCAAUGCAUGAGACUCAAAAUCAUCAAAGCAAACAUGAUCAAAUACUUGGUACCUCCCCCACACUUAAAUCACACAGUCUCUGUGUGAGUAAGGGAGAGAUACUCAAAGGAAAGCAAUAUGCAAAGAUAAACUGGUAUGUACAAGAUUAAGGUGGAGGAGUACCUCUGAUGGAGUGUUGGAAAAGGCAGUGGUGUCUAGGGAGCAUUGUCUGGCCGCUUUCCUCCUUAGCCCAAGGGUCUUAAAAACGAAGAUCCUACUGAUAUGUACAGGGAUAGUCACGGGACUUCCUCCCAAGUGAGCUUGUUUUAAGUCUCUAGCUUGACUUUCCUUCCUUUGGCUAGUGAGAAGGAGGGUCCUUCCCACCUUCAAGAGUGAUGGUGAGGACAUGGGAGAGAAGCUCUUGAAGCUUGAUUGGAUCAUUCUGGAGCUGAGGAGUGAUGAUGGCCCUUGCACUUGAGAAUGGCUUAGACCUUCCCUUGCACUUGAUUUUGUACUCAAUGGCCCCAUCCUUAAGCUUUAUUGGGUGGAGAGUGAGGGUGUAAGGAGUCUUAUCAAGAGGUGGAGGAUGAGGUUCUUUCACAAGCUUCUUCUUAUCAUGAGCAGCCUUUGUGGCUCUACUCACCUCCUUCUUUUUAGCACUGUCCAAGUGCUCAUCACACAGCUCUUUAGAGGACUCUCCAGCAAGACCUUCUUUCUCAAUACCAACCCCUUCAUCCUUGCUCUUCUCAAUGGAGGAUGCUCCACAAGUGAUUGUUCCACAAUACUCAGCAUUCAUCUUUGGGGAUUGUAGUGGAUAGGAGACAGCUUUGUUCACAUUUAGGAGUGUGACCUUCUUGUUGGCAAAGUCUAUGCAAGCUCCCACUGUUGUGAGGAAUGGAGUGCCAAGGAUCAAUGGGACUCUCUUCUCAGUUGCCAUCUUCAGAACAGUGAGGUCUAUAGGAAUGGUGCAUGCUCCAAUCUUCAAAGGGAAGUCCUUGAUGAGACCAAUAGGAGUUGUAGAAGAGGAAUCUCCAAACUGUAGGAAAGAUGUGUUUGGCUCCAUGCUCUCAAUCCCUAGACUCUUCAUCAUCUCCAUUGAGAUCACAUUCACACUUGCACCAGAAUCAACAAGAGCAUCAUCAAAAGUGAGCUUACCAAGGUAGCAAGGCAAGGUGAACAUCCCUUGAGACUCAAGCUUAGGGAGGGACUUUGGAGGGAUUGGUGGAUCAAUCUUCAGAAUGGAGAUGUCCAAAAGCUCGGCCACUUCAGCUUGGUGGUCUAGAAUGUCGUUGAUGAGCAUCAUCUGGACAUGAGCUUCACGCAUACCCGAGAUUUCUGGAAGCCUGACCCCAACAUCACUAAGAUCUUUCCUGAACUUGGAGAGCACCUUCUUCUAAGCUUUGGUGAGAACUCAUUGGGGGAAUGGGAGCUUAUCAUAGGGUGAUAGCUCACCUCAGUGGCUUCCUCUAGCUUAACUUCUUUCAGCUUGUUGUCAGCUCUCUUCUCAACUUGUUUCUCAGCCUUGAGCUCAGCUCUUUGCAGAUUCAUUGCUUCAACCUUCCUGGCAGCGUCCUUCACAAUCUGUGCUUCAGCUGUGACCACAACAAAUCUCUCAACUUCCUCAAACUCAGUUCCAAAUACCAGUCUUUCAAUCUCAUCCUCCUCUUUCUCAUGAUCACUCAGCUCAAUAUCUGGAGAAGCAGUGGAGAAGUUAACAUUGCAAGACUCCUUAGGGUUCUUUUCUGGUUUCGCUGGUAGAGACCCCAUUGGCUGCUUGGAGGAUGAAGGUCUAGAAGCAACUUGACUCUCCAAAGCCUUGAGAUGAGAGGCAAGUUGCAUGUACUUGUUGUUGAGGUCAGAAUAGUUCCCAUUUGCAUGGAUGUUCUUGAACUCAUAAAUCAUGGUCUUCUCGUUUCUGGCCUAAAAUUCCAAGAGUUGCUUGAACAUAGAAUCCACACUUGAAUCUGGAGCUUGAGCUUUAGAAAAGCUUCAUUGAGUCUGAGGAGACUGGUUGGCUUGAGGAUAGUUCUGCUUGGCUUCGUAACCUCCUUGCUGAUUGUUGUAGUAAGACCUUUGCUGAUAGUUAUUUUGGUACUGAAAAUUGGGCUCUUUCCUAUGCCAUGUGCCAUUAGCAUUGAUGAAGCACAGCUCCUCUUGGCCUUCUAAACCAUCAACCUCAUUGACCUUAGGAGGAACCUCUUGACUAGGACCACCCACAAAGUUCAUCUGCUCCUGUUUAACUUGGUUGGAAAGAAGCAAAUCCAUCUUGUCUUGUAAGGACUUGAUCUCUUUCUUUUUCUGCUGAUCAUCACCUCUGUUGACCCUAUCAUGCUCCUCACUGUAGACUUAGUCACUCUUGGCCAUGUUCUCUACUAGUUCUUAUGCCUCUUCCUCAGUUCUUCCCAAAAAGAAACCAUUGCUGGCAGUAUCAAGCCUGUUUCUGCACUGUGGUAGAGCUCCUCUAUAGAAGGUGCUAAGCAAACUCUCCUUGGUGAAGACAUGAUGUGGGCAUUGAGACCAAUAGCCCUUGAACUUCUCCCAUGCUUCACUAAAUCCCUCUAGGUGCUUCUGCUGAAAGCUAGAGAUCUCAUUCCUGAUCUUGGCUGUCCUCAAGGUAGAGAAGAACUUCUAUAGGAAUGCCCUCUUGCACUCAUUCCAAGUUGUGAUAGAGUCACUUGGAAGAGCCUUCUCCCAUUGAUGUGCUUUGUCUCCCAAAGAAAAAGGGAACAGCUUCAACUUGAAAGCAUCUUCAGAAACACCAUUUGUCUUGGACAAGCCACAAUAUUUAUCAAACUUGUACAAGUGAUCAAAAGGGUCUUUAGCAGCAAGGCCAUGAUACUUGUUGUUCUCUAUGGUGUUGAGCAGCCCUGACUUGAUCUCAAAGUUGUUGUUCUCCACAGCUGGUGCUCUGAUUCCCAACCUAUGACCAUGAAUGUGAGGUUGAUCAUAGGCUUCAAUGGCUCUAGCUUGGCGCUGUGGAUGUUGUGGCCUAAGGUUUGCAGCUCCUUGGGCCAUUCCAUCAUGAGGCUGAUUCUGAUUGUGCUCCUUUUCAAACCCCAAUCUCUGAAAGUGAGCCUGUUGCUCUUCUUCUCUUCUCUUUCUUGCUACCUCCCUCUCAAGUGCAACUAUGUCUUCAACUCUUGGAACUAGGCUUGAUGAACCUCUGCUCCUCAAGUUCAUACACCUGAAAUGCAAAGGGAGAGGAAGAAGGAGAACCAGUAACAAAAUAAAAGAAAAAUGACUUAGUCUCAAGCAAGUGACUAAAUCUCAAUGUCACAAUCAACCUAGAACUUGGCAACGGCGCCAAUUUGAUGUUAGGAGUUUUCAAGGCUCCUAAUCAAAUGUUGUAGUAUAAAAGAUUGUCGAACCAAUCCUAGGUGAUUCUAAAGCAAAGGGAAUGCAAGUUCAUGCUUAAGCUAAGUGCAAUCCGGUUUUAAAGAUGGUAUGAACUAAGAACUAAUAAGCUAAUGCAAUAAAGUAAUGAUCUUUCUUUCUCAAUAUGAAGCAAGAGGACUCAUGGGGCUAGGCAUUUGAUCUUGGGUGAUGUAGAUCCAAUCUAAGGGUGGCAAGGUAUCAAUCAAACACUUUCCUUAUGCCUAGACACUAAGCUAAACAAGCUCUAUCUCUAGAUGAAUGUUCUUUUGGUAAAGCAACUCAAGCAUCUAAUCUCUUAGGUUGAAUGUUACUAAAGCAAACAUGGAGAACAAGUCUAAUAGCAAUCUUAACUCCUUUAGCAACUAAUCUCUUAGGUAAAGCAAGCUAAAAGCAUUGAAGAGUUGGUUAAGGCAUUUCAUCAUACACCUUGUGGGCAGGAAAUGCCUAGAGAUCUAUUUUAGUAUGAUCAAGACUAAAAUAGCAUUGAGAACCCUCAACAAGCAUGGAAACAAGUAGAUCUAACACUAAACACCCUAGAUCUUCUCUAAUCACCCUUAAUCACCCUAGCCCAUGAAUCCAAGAUUAGUCUACUCACUAAUAGACAUGAAUAACCCCAAAACCAUGGAUGAUUCAAGGUUAAACAUGAUUAGAGAGCAAGAUAAUCAAGCAAAGAUAAGAAAUUAUGAUCAAGAUUAGAUCUUUUUCCCAAAAGUGGCUUUUGAUUAGAUAGAAAACAAGAUAAGUCCUAAUUUUAGGUUUAGAGAGUAUUUAUAGGACUCCUAAAAACCUAGUGAGCCUCAAAAACAAGUCUGAGAAGGUCCAGCAAAACAUGAAAAAUCGACCAAAUAUAGAUCUUGCGCGCGGGUUCUUGACCCCGCUCCAGUGGGUCGCUCCAGCUUCACAGCAGGUUCGCCACCUCGCUCUGGGAUGUCGCUAUGGCUCCCUUCGCACUUCAUGGAUUUGGCGCGCGAUGUACCCACCUCGCUCCGUCUUGGUCGCUCCGGUUCUCGAAAGUUGUCGACGGGAUGUUGGGCCCAGAGGGGGUACUCUACGUCGCUCCACAAGGUCGCUCCAGGUCACAGCGGCUACUUGACCCCGCUGCGCUCGCCCGCUCCAGAUCAUGCUCGUAUCGCGACGAAAUGCCGAGCGGGUUGAUGAUGUCGCUGCGAGAGGUCGCUCCAGGUUAGAGCGGGUUGCUCACCUCGCUCCAGUAGGUCGCUCCAGCUCCUCUACUCGCCCAAUGAUCAUUUUCUACUUCUUUUUGAAUCACAAUGCUCCCAAACAUCUCCAAUCACUCCAUAGCACUCUCCAACACCUAAUAAGGACAAUGCAUGCAAUAUGGACUCUAAAGAUGCCUAAUUCCUAAUCUAUAUGAUCAAAAUGUACAAGAUAUGAAGGCUAAAAACAUGUAAAUAUGCAAGAUAUCAACUCCCCCACACUAGUCCUUUACUUGUCCUCAAGUAAACUUUUCAAAACACAAGGAGGAGAGAUACAAAGAUGGGAGCUUAGCCAAAAGAAACACUCAAUGCACUCAACUUGACAUCCUAAAGAAACAUAGCAAAUAGCAUGAACACACUCUCUUAUUAUACUCUAGCUUCUCUAGGCCUAUAAAUACUCUUAUGUCUCUACACAAGUUGCAAUACUCAUCAACUAACAAGUUCUUUAAACCAGCUCUCACAUUGAUUCACACACACACACACAAGGUGAAUUCUCAUAAUUGGGCACAUGAUCUCAAUCAUUUGGCUAGGUAAGCAAUGGUCUAAUAUAAAUGAAGAGAAUGUUUCAAAUGUUGUCAUUUCAAGGUGGUUAUCACUCAAGAACAAGGGGCUUGAUCAUUAUGCAAAAUUUAUCUAAAACUAGAAGCAACUCAUGCAUACAUAGAUUCAUUCUCAUCAUUCUACCCCUUUUUAUAAGGGAUUACAAGUUCUACCAUUUUAUCAUCAUAUCAAAACCAAAAUAACACCCACUCACAUCACUCACCCAAUGAACAACUCUCUUUUCCUUUUGACUCAACCAACUAGGGACUUUAAUUCACUUUUUGCAACACUUAGCUCUAACUCUUUCUCAUUUCCCUCCCCACCUUCUCUUUGAUUCUUUUCUGUUUUUUUUUUUAUAAGGGGGAAGGUUCUUUUGUACAUAAUCUAGAGCUUCAUAUUUUCCUUUUGUCCCUAGAGUUUUCUUUUCUAAUGACACUCUUUUGUUCAUCUUUCUCAUCUUUCUCACUCCCCAAACCCAAAAUAUUAACAUUUAGAAUACACAAACCCCUCUCACCAUCCCCAAAUGCUAGCUCAUUAUGCUAGCAAGAGAUGAGAAUAAAUCUAUGUCGCCUCCAAUACUCUCAAGAUUUUGCACAUGACAAGCUAUCAAAAGAGGCAUCACUCAUGCAAUUCAAUGUUUGGUCUCAAAGAAUGGCUAGGGUUGUAGGGUAUGGAGUGCCAUUUGGGUUAACAAAGAUUGGUAUAAUGGAAUAAGAUAACCCAAAUGUGUAUGAGAUCCAUGAUCAAGUAUGCAAAUGCCCAUAUGCAAGAGAGAUUAAGUUCAUUCAAGCCAAGUUCAGAUUGGAGCUGAUCUUAAGAACAAUGCCAAUAUCAAGCAAGCAAACAAGUUUCAAGAAGAGUUUUCAAGGCUCGAAGCAUGCAAGCCUUUCAAAAGAUGCUUAAGCUACUUGAUAUGUUUAACUAGGGUGUCAAAUUCAGUGCAAACCAGUGUUCUAUACAAGGCAAUAUCAACCAGCUGCUCCAUAUGCAAGUGAAUGCAUCAUAUAUGCUCUAGACUCAAUCUUUAGAAUGCAAGUGAUGCAACUAUAUGAUUCAAAAAUUUAAAUUUUUUUUGGUUUUUCUAUGCAUAUAUGUAUGUACAAUGCAAUGCAUGAGACUCAAAAUCAUCAAAGCAAACAUGAUCAAAUACUUGGUACCUCCCCCACACUUAAAUCACACAGUCUCUGUGUGAGUAAGGGAGAGAUACCCAAAGGAAAGCAAUAUGCAAAGAUAAACUGGUAUGUACAAGAUUAAGGUGAAGGAGUACCUCUGAUGGAGUGUUGGAAAAGGCAGUGGUGUCUAGGGAGCAAUGUCUGGCCGCUUUCCUCCUCAGCCCAAGGGUCUUAAAAACGAAGAUCCUACUGAUAUGUAUAGGGAUAGUCAUGGGACUUCCUCCCAAGUGAGCUUGUUUUAAGUCUCUAGUUUGACUUUCUUUCCUUUGGCUAGUGAGAAGGAGGGUCCUUCCCACCUUCAAGAGUGAUGGUGAGGACGUGGGAGAGAAGCUCUUGAGACUUGAUUGGAUCAUUCUGGAGCUGAGGAGUGAUGAUGGCCCUUGCACUUGAGAAUGGCUUAGACCUUCCCUUGCACUUGAUUUUGUACUCAAUGGCCCCAUCCUUAAGCUUCAUUGGAUGGAGAGUGAGAGUGUGAGGAGUCUUAUCAAGAGGUGGAGGAUGAGGUUCUUUCACAAUCUUUUUCUUAUCAUGAGCAGCCUUUGUGGCUCUACUCACGUCCUUCUUUUUAGCACUUUCCAAGUGCUCAUCACACAGCUCUUUAGAGGACUCUCCAGCAAGACCUUCUUUCUCAAUACCAACCCCUUCAGCCUUGGUCUUCUCAAUGGAGGAUGCUCCACAAGUGAUUGUUCCACAAUACUCAGCAUUCAUCUUUGGGGAUUGUAGUGGAUAGGAGACAGCUUUGUUCACAUUUAGGAGUGUGACCUUCUUGUUGGCAAAGUCUAUGCAAGCUCCCACUGUUGUAAGGAAUGGAGUGCCAAGGAUCAAUGGGACUCUCUUCUCAGUUGCCAUCUUCAGAACAGUGAGGUCUAUAGGAAUGGUGCAUGCUCCAAUCUUCAAAGGGAAGUCCUUGAUGAGACCAAUAGGAGUUGUAGAAGAGGAAUCUCCAAACUGUAGGGAAGAUGUGUUUGGCUCCAUGCUCUCAAUCCCUAGACUCUUCAUCAUCUCCAUUGAGAUCACAUUCACACUUGCACCAGAAUCAACAAGAGCAUCAUCAAAAGUGAGCUUACCAAGGUAGCAAGGCAAGGUGAACAUCCCUUGAAACUCAAGCUUAGGGAGGGACUUUGGAGGGAUUGGUGGAUCAAUCUUCAGAAUGGAGAUGUCCAAAAGCUCGACCACUUCAGCUUGGUGGUCUAGAAUGUCCUUGAUGAGCAUCAUCUGGACAUGAGCUUCACGCAUACCCGAGAUUUCUGGAAGCCUGACCCCAACAUCACUAAGAUCUUUCCUGAACUUGGAGAGCACCUUCUUCUGAGCUUUGGUGAGAACUCUUUGGGGGAAAGGGAGCUUAUCAUAGGGUGAUAGCUCAACCUCAGUGGCUUCCUCUAGCUUAACCUUUUUCAGCUUGUUGUCAGCUCUCUUCUCAACUUGUUUCUCAGCCUUGUGCUCAGCUCUUUGCAGAUUCGUUGCUUCAACCUUCCUGGCAGCGUCCUUCACAAUCUGUGCUUCAGCUGUGGCCACAACAAAUCUCUCAACUUCCCCAAACUCAGUUCCAAAUACCAGUCUUUCAAUCUCAUCCUCCUCUUUCUCAUGAUCACUCAGCUCAAUCUCUGGAGAAGUAGUGGAGAAGACAACAUUGCAAGACUCCUUGGGGUUCUUUUCUGGUUUCCCUGGUAGAGACCCCAUUGGCUGCUUGGAGGAUGAAGGCAUAGAAGCAACUUGACUCUCCAAAGCCUUGAGAUGAGAGGCAAGUUGCAUGUACUUGUUGUUGAGGUCAGAAUAGUUCCCAUCAAUCUUUGCAUGGAUGUUCUUGAACUCAUAAAUCAUGGUCUUCUCAUUUCUGGCCUGAAAUUCCAAGAGUUGCUUGAACAUAGAAUCCACACUUGAAUCUGGAGCUUGAGCUUUAGAAGAGCUUCCUUGAGUCUGAGGAGACUGGUUGGUUUGAGGAUAGUUCUGCUUGGCUUGGUAACCUCCUUGCUGAUUGUUGUAGUAAGGCCUUUGCUGAUAGUUGUUUUGGUACUGAAAAUUGGGCUCUUUCCUGUACCAUGUGCCAUUAGCAUUGAUGAAGCACAACUCCUCUUGGCCUUCUAAACCAUCAACCUCAUUGACCUUAGGAGGAACCUCUUGACUAGGACCACCCACAAAGUUCAUCUGCUCCUGUUUAGCUUGGUUGGAAAGAAGCAAAUCCAUCUUGUCUUGUAAGGACUUGAUCUCUUUCUUUGUCUGCUGAUCAUCACUUCUGUUGACCCUAUCAUGCUCCUCACUGUAGACUGAGUCACUCUUGGCCAUGUUCUCUACCAAUUCUUCUGCCUCUUCCUCAGUUCUUCCCAAAAAGAAACCAUUGCUGGCAGUAUCAAGCCUGUUUCUGCACUGUGGUAGAGCUCCUCUAUAGAAGGUGCUAAGCAAACUCUCCUUGGUGAAGACAUGAUGUGGGCAUUGAGACCAAUAGCCCUUGAACUUCUCCCAUGCUUCACUAAAUCCCUCUAGGUGCUUCUGCUGAAAGCUAGAGAUCUCAUUCCUGAUCUUGGCUGUCCUCAAGGUAGAGAAGAACUUCUAUAGGAAUGCCCUCUUGCACUCAUUCCAAGUUGUGAUAGAGUCACUUGGAAGAGCCUUCUCCCAUUGAUGUGCUUUGUCUCCCAAAGAAAAAGGGAACAGCUUCAACUUGAAAGCAUCUUCAGAAACACCAUUUGUCUUGGACAAGCCACAAUAUUUAUCAAACUUGUACAAGUGAUCAAAAGGGUCUUUAGCAGCAAGGCCAUGAUACUUGUUGUUCUCUAUGGUGUUGAGCAGCCCUGACUUGAUCUCAAAGUUGUUGUUCUCCACAGCUGGUGCUCUGAUUCCCAACCUUUGACCAUGAAUGUGAGGUUGAUCAUAGGCUUCAAUGGCUCUAGCUUGGCGCUGUGGAUGUUGUGGCCUAAGGUUUGCAGCUCCUUGGGCCAUUCCAUCAUGAGGCUGAUUCUGAUUGUGCUCCUUUUCAAACCCCAAUCUCUGAAAGUGAGCCUGUUGCUCUUCUUCUCUUCUCUUUCUUGCUACCUCCCUCUCAAGUGCAACUAUGUCUUCAACUCUUGGAACUAGGCUUGAUAAACCUCUGCUCCUCAAGUUCAUACACCUGAAAUGCAAAGGGAGAGGAAGAAGGAGAAGUAGUAACAAAAUAAAAGAAAAAUGACUUAGUCUCAAGCAAGUGACUAAAUCUCAAUGUCACAAUCAACCUAGAACUUGGCAACGGCGCCAAUUUGAUGUUAGGAGUUUUCAAGGCUCCUAAUCAAAUGUUGUAGUAUAAAAGAUUGUCGAACCAAUCCUAGGUGAUUCUAAAGCAAAGGGAAUGCAAGUUCAUGCUUAAGCUAAGUGCAAUCCGGUUUUAAAGAUGGUAUGAACUAAGAACUAAUAAGCUAAUGCAAUAAAGUAAUGAUCUUUCUUUCUAGCCCAUGAAUCCAAGAUUAGUCUACUCACUAAUAGACAUGAAUAACUCCAAAACCAUGGAUGAUGCAAGGUUAAACAUGAUUAGACAGCAAGAUAAUCAAGCAAGGAUAAGAAAUUAUGAUCAAGAUUAGAUCUUUUUCCCAAAAGUGGCUUUUGAUUAGAUAGAAAACAAGAUAAGUCCUAAUUUUAGGUUUAAAGAGUAUUUAUAGGACUCCUAAAAUCCUAGUGGGCCUCAAAAACAAGUCUGAGAAGGUCCAGGAAAACAUGAAAAAUUGACCAAAUAUAGAUCUUGCGCGUUCGUGACCCCGCUCCAGUGGGUCGCUCCAGUGGGUCGCUCCAGCUUCACAGCGGGUUCGCCACCUCGCUCUGGGACAUCGCUCUGGUUUCCUUCGCACUUCAUGGAUUUGGCGCGCGAUGCACCCACAUCGCUCCGUCUUGGUCGCUCCGGUUCUCGAAAGUUAUCGAUGGGAUGUUGGGCCCAGAGCGGGUACGCUACGUCGCUCCACAGGGUCGCUCCAGAUCAUGCUCGUAUCGCGACAAAAUGCCGAGCGGGUUGAUGAUGUCGCUGCGAGAGGUCACUCCAGGUUAGAGCGGGUUGCUCCCCUCGCUCCAGCAGGUCGCUAUAGCUCCUCAGCUCGCCCAAUGAUCAUUUUCUACUUCUUUUUGAAUCACAAUGCUCCCAAACAUCUCCAAUCACUCCAUAGCACUCUCCAACACUUAAUAAAGACAAUGCAUGAAAUAUGGACUCUAAUGAUGCCUAAUUCCUAAUCUAUAUGAUCAGAAUGUACAAGUUAUGAAGGCUAAAAACAUGUAAAUAUGCAAGAUAUCAGCGCAGAGUGGAGAGAUCACCUUCGUCCUUGAGGCAAGGAACCCCCAGUUAGGGAAAUCCUUAAGAAGGAGAGAAAAUGGCUUCUGGCCUUUGAGGGAAACUGGACGCAAAAAUUCGCCUUUAUGCAUCUUCCGGGCUAUUCGUCUAUUUGGCGGUUGGAGGGUAGGCUAGUUGUAGGAAUCAAGAAGAUUAUCUUGACGUUAGGAUACUAAUGAUCUUUUGUCUUCUUGAUGCAGAUUUGCAUCGUGUUGAUUGUUCUUCGGGGAAGGAUACCAUCGAGCAGGUGUUGAACCUUCCUCUUGAGCGACGUCAGAUUCCUUUUCUCGUGAGCAAAGCAUCGUUAAAGCGUUGCAGUAUAUGGGGUAAACUUUCCAUUUUCUUCCAUGCCUCUUCUUAUAGUUGCUGACUUUACAUUUGUGUGCUAGGUGAGAUGUCAGGAUCCAAAGGUGACAAGGCUUUGGCAGAGUACAUGAAGGCUCUUGACGUGAUGUCCGCAAGGAAAACUGCCCCCAAGCGAGUUGCUCCUGCCGAAGAUGAUGACGAGGUGCAGAUCAUCAGGAGUGGAAAACGACAGGCGGUUUCUGCUGCAGCUCCUUCCUCUUCCAAGAAGAAAUCCAAGGCGUCGGGCUCUUCUCCUGAAGGUUCUCCCUCUGCCCCUUAUGAUUGGGCCACAGUGCUCACGAACCUCAACGCGAAGGUGUUUCCUUCGACUCCAGUGCUCUUGGCGUCGGAAGAGGAUUCUUCCAUGGCUAUUUAGUCGCUUCAAGGUGACUUGCUUCAGGUAAUACUUCAUAUGAUUCUUUGGUAUUUUGGUUCCGGCUGCUGAUCAGAGUUUAUGUGUAGGUGGCGUCUCAACUACACCAUCUCGGGGAGAGGAUGGAAGGUGCAGCUUCUACAAAAGUCGAGAUGGAUGCUCUGGCCUCUCAGUUGCGCGAGGAAAAAAUGCUUCUCUGGCCAAGGACAAGGAGAUCAAGGCAUUGAGGCUCAAGGUGAGGAACCAAGAGGAAGCAGGAGAGCUGGCGGCAGCGGAGAACGUCUCUCUGAGGAGCCAACUGAAGAAUAGGGAGGAGGAGCUGAACGAUCUGAAGGAUGCCGCGGAAACCUUUGUGGCUGAGAAGGCCAUGGCUGUGAACGGUGCCAAGGUUGAGGCUCGAUGAGAGCUGAUGCGGGAGUGGCUCAGUGGUCAGACUGAUAGUUGGGAUCCCGUGAGUACCUUAGAACAGUACAAGGUGGUGAAGACCACAGAAGCCGAGCUCUUGGGACUCCCACCUCCUUCUUUUGAGUACGAACCUCAGGUCCCAAGUGGGGAAGUAGUGAAGAAGGCGCUAGAGCCCGAUGCUGAUGAUCCUCCAGCUGAAUGAUCCGAUCUCCGUUAUUUGUACCCCGCGAAGGGGUUUCUUUUUAUUUUGUGGCUGCCCUCGAUGAUGGUUUAAAACUUUGGAUUAGGCCUCUGUGCCCCUUUUAUUUUGCUGUUUCAAUUGAUGGCCCUGUUGUGGCCUUUUGAUUGCUUGCUUAUCCUUCGUCUUCAGGAUCUUUUAGCUUUGUAGAUGAUAUUUGUAUUGCUUCUCUUUCAAAAGAAUGCAGGUUGUAGGAUGACCUCAGGGUCUUGACUUGCGUUUGGGACGAGCGUCCUUGCUGGAGGGUCUCUUAUAGGACCUGGGCCGCAUGGGCUCUAGAUAUCAUGGUCGUCGAAGGACCUAUGGAUCUUGGGUGCUUAGAUUCUUUGGAACCUUUAGACCCUGGAAUGAUUAGAUGACCCUGUGGGUCUUCGCGUAAUUGGAUCUCCUCUAGGACUCUGGACUCACUUGGAGAGUUUUAAUAAGUUUAGGACCCGAAGUUCAUUUUGGGGAACAUGUGGGUUCCGGACCCUGAGGUCUUGAGUUGGACACAUGGUCUUUGGACCCUAAAGUCUUUUUAGGGAUCCAAUAGGUUUUUGGCCCUGAGGCUUGUCUGAGCCCGGAGUUCUUUUGGAAAACCCGGAAUUAAGGUUUUAAAGGGACUGUACUCUGCCAUCCUAGGUGAGGCCACUACCGGUACCUGUUGGAUAUCGCAUUCUACCUCUCGGAAGCUGGUCACUAUCGAGUUCCCGUGCUGCAUGCUGCUUUCUGCAAAAAGCCACUAUCAGACUUAGAGGGUGCUGGUGUGGGUGAAAACCCAAGUGCCAGACUUUGCUACUUUCCACGUCUGGAGAAGUAGAAUAUUAUGUGGUGCUCCCGGACUUUUGCACUUGCUCAAUGGCAAUUAUACCUCGUGUCCCCUGUAUUAUUUUAGCACGUAGCAUUUUAAUACAGGUACUUUCACAUUUUUGGUAUUUUUGUUUGGGACCCCGAUAUGCCUGAGGCUAUACAGGGGUUUUAGGUAGUAUUGACGGUAUACUCAGGCUUGCGCAGACCCAUUCCUACCUUAUGUCUCAUACCCGUUUUGUUUUUUCGUGGUCAUACCACUUAUCAUUAAGGGUUGGCCAGGAUCGAAGGUCUCUUGGACCUGAUCCAGCUCAUUUGCCCCUUUAAGUAUUAUGGCAUUCCUACUACUCUUUUAUAGUGGGAACUAUUUUACUAUGUAAGCUUUGUCCGGAGACGUUUCAGCGUACAUAGGAGUAGGAAAACAUAAUGCUUAAAUAAUAGAUAAGAUAAUUAAUAGAAAUCAUGGUCCGAAGACCGUACAAGAUAUCAACUUGCGAGGUACCCCGGUGGUUAGGCCAUGUUUUACCUCUUGUUGCUAGGUGACCCGCAGGUUUUAACUUGCGUUUGGGACGAGCGUCCUUGCUGGAGGGUUCCUCCUUCUUCUGCAGAGUUCUGCCUCUUUCUUGGGUCUAGGGACCGUGGUCGAGACUCGUUUCAUGCCCCGGCCUUCAAUAUUCGGGGACCAAUGUUUCCUACUGAUGAAGGUUUUAAGCACCUCCAUGAAACGUGUAGUCACAUUCAUCCACUGGAGCGACCAGGUUCGGAGGUCUCCUGCCUGGCUAAGUUUCUCGAUCCUGUGUCAGCGGGGCACCCUUUGCUCCAGGCUCGUCUGAUGCAUUCUAUGAGGAAGUCUCCUUGGAGUACUCGUGUCCCACUUGCUUAUCCGUGAGAUCACUGGCUGAUACCUGGUAAGGUUCUUGGUGAUCUUGUCUAUGUGAGGUGGGGGACGAGGGUCCUGAGAGGACCGGGUCUUGCGAGCAGAAGAAACUUUGGAGGGUUUCGGAGGAGACCAUGCGGACCGGUCGACAUAGGUUCUCCGAGGAUUCCUCGGGUUCUUGGAAUGAUCCAGAGUCCGGCUUCUCUGGAACGAUCCCCAAUUUCUAGUAUCUUUGACCUCUGGUCCCUGAGUCCGCGGGGUCCGAGGUCUUUUCUGUAAUUGCUAUAAGACCUUGGUCUUCCCCUUCAAGGUGGUCUGGUAGCAGGAUCAAGAGUUCUCCUGAUCUCCCUUAAUUUUUCUGAAGCCCCAGGGUGUAGGGACUUUUACCAUCUGAUCAAGGGUUGAAGGGACCACUCCCAUGUCGUGAAUUCAGGGUCGUCCAAAGAUCAUGUUGUACGCCGAUUGACAAUCUACGACCAGGAAUUUGGUAGAUAUGUUGACCCCUUCAGCGUAUACUGGGAGGAAAACCUCUCCGGCAGUUUGCUUGACUUCGCUGCUGAAGCCGAUGAGGGGGGUUACCUUGCGUGUCAGAGUGUUUUCCUCCAGCCCUAGAUCUUGGUAUGCCAUCUGGGAGAUAAUGUUGCUGGAGCUGCCGUUGUCUACUAGUAUUCUUUUCACCAAGCAGUUUGCUACGGUGAGAGAGAUAACUAGGGCAUCAUGGUGGGGAGCUAGGAUCUUCUCUUGCUCUUUAGCUGUGAACCUUAUCUCGUCGGUGCCUAGAAGUAGGGCUUCGGUUGGAUUGUUUCCAGACCAUGCUUAGCGUUACGUGUGCUUUUCUUUGCGGCUGCGUGGCUCACUCCGCUCACUUCUGAGCCUCCGGAUAUGACGUGGAUCACCCGGUCCUGGCGAGGUGGUGAGGCUGGUACAGUUCCUUUGGAUUUCCCUGCUGUCUCUUUGCUGAGGUGGACCUUGUCUUUCUCUGAGAGGAAUUAUCGGAGAUGCCCCUCUUGGAGUAGUUCGUUGACCUCGAUCUUCAGGGCGAUGCAAUCUUCGGUCUUGUGGCCAUGAUCGUGAUGGAAGUCGCACCAAAGUUCCGGGUUCCGGAACGAGUUAGGUGCUAUCAUCAUUGGAGGCCACUUAACCUGUUGGCCCAUUUGUCUUAAUGUGCUGACUAGCUCUGGUGUUGAUAUUGAGAGAUCGGAGAUAUCGGGCCAGGUAGAUACUGACAUCCCUUCUUCCUUCUCCUGAGGCCGAUACUGGAACCUGCCCCUGUUUCUACUACCAGAGUUCUUGGAUCCUUUUUGGGAGGAUCUUUCGUCUAGGUCUCCUCGAUUUGAUCGGGCUGACCUUUGGUCCUGCUUUGGCUGAGCCUUGGCGCGGCUGGCAACAUCUUCCUCCCACUUUACUUGCGCCCAGGCUCGGGACAUCACAUCUUCCAUGGUCUUGUAGGGAUACAUGGUCAGCUCUUUGUAUAGCCCUCCUUCUGGAAGUAGAACUCCCUUGAAGGCAGAGAUCGCAGUAGGGAUACUGCAUUCAGGGACCACCACUUUCUCCUGGUUGAAGCGGGCUAUGUAGUCUCGCAGGGGUAAAAUAAAAAAAUAAUAAAAUGGGGUGCAACACGAGGACUUCCCGGGAGAUCACCCAUCCUAGUACUGUUGGAGGAUCUCGUAGAGGCCAUAUCUCCAGGCUCCUACUGCUCGUGAAUUGCUCCACAAAUUUGUCACUCAGGCCCGCGAAGGAGGAUAUGGACCUUGUAGGGAGAUUGAUGUACCAUUGCAAGGCAGGUCCGAUCAGAAUGGAACCAAACCCUUCAGCGGAAUACUGCAUCGAGGUUAAUGGCGUUAAGAAAGCAUCAAAAACAACCUGGAAAUCCGAUUGGGAUCCUUUUAUACGUCCCUUACCUUUCUGCAGCCCUUUUGAGGGUCAAAACGGCUGAAUUUGGGGCCGAAAAUUGUCACGCCUAUUCACCGCCCUUUAUGGUUUCUGGGCGUUUCCAAAAUGGUGCUAUGGGCGACGUAGUUCCUCACGGUUCAAAAGUUAUGAGGUUUCCAAGUUUAGACUCGUUUUAGGCCGAAAAGUAAAUAAAAAAUAAAUAAAAAGGGGUGCAACACGAGGACAUCCCGGGAGGUCACCCAUCCUAGUACUACUCUCGCCCAAGGACGCUUAACUGCGGAGUUCUGAUGGGAUCCGGUGCAUUAGGGAUGGUAUGAUCGCACCCGUUAGUACAUCACUCGCGUUUCCAUAUAUCUUUUGUCUCGGCCAAUCCAAGUGUAAGGCCGUGGGGCCCACAUGAUUUUCUGACUGUUUUUUUUCCAGUGGAAUAGUGCAUCGAGGUUAAUGGAGUUAAGAAGCAUCAAAAACAACCUGGAAAUCCGAUUGGGAUCCUUUUAUAUGUCCCUUACCUUUUUGCAGCCCGUUUGAGGGUCAAAACGGCUGAAUUUGGGCCCGAAAAUUGUCACGCCUAUUCACCACCUUUUAUGGUUUCUGGGCGUUUCCGAAAUGGUGCUAUGGGCGACGUAGUUCCUCACGGUUCAAAAGUUAUGAGGUUUCCAAGUUUAGACUCGUUUUAGGCCGAAAAAAAAAUAAAAAAAAAGGGGUGCAACACGAGGACUUCCCGGGAGGUCACCCGUCCUAGUACUACUCUCGCCCAAGCAAGCUUAACUGCGGAGUUCUGAUGGGAUCCGGUGCAUUAGUGUUGGUAUGAUCGCACCCGUUAGUACAUCACUCGCUUUUCCAUAUAUCAUUUGUCUCGGCCAAUCCAAGUGUAAGGCCGUGGGGCCCACAUGAUUUUCUGACUGUUUUUUUUCUAGCAGAAUAGUGCAUUGAGGUUAAUGGCGUUAAGAAAGCAUCAAAAACAACCUGAAAAUCCGAUUGGGAUCCUUUUUUACGUCCCUUCCCUUUCUGCAGCCCGUUUGAGGGUCAAAACGGCUGAAUUUGGGGCCGAAAAUUGCUAUUCCUAUUCACCGCCCUUUAUGGUUUCUGGGCGUUUCCGAAAUGGUGCUAUGGGCGACGUAGUUCCUCACGGCAGCCUGUUUGAGGGGCAAAACGGCUGAAUUUGGGGCCGAAAAUUGCUAUUCCUAUUCACCGCCCUUUAUGGUUUCUGGGCGUUUCCGAAAUGGUGCUAUGGGCGACGUAGUUCCUCACGGCAGCCUGUUUGAGGGGCAAAACGGCUGAAUUUGGGGCCGAAAAUUGCUAUUCCUAUUCACCGCCCUUUAUGGUUUCUGGGCGUUUCCGAAAUGGUGCUAUGGGCGACGUAGUUCCUCACGGCAGCCUGUUUGAGGGGCAAAACGGCUGAAUUUGGGGCCGAAAAUUGCUAUUCCUAUUCACCGCCCUUUAUGGUUUCUGGGCGUUUCCGAAAUGGUGCUAUGGGCGACGUAGUUCCUCACGGCAGCCUGUUUGAGGGGCAAAACGGCUGAAUUUGGGGCCGAAAAUUGCUAUUCCUAUUCACCGCCCUUUAUGGUUUCUGGGCGUUUCCGAAAUGGUGCUAUGGGCGACGUAGUUCCUCACGGCAGCCUGUUUGAGGGGCAAAACGGCUGAAUUUGGGGCCGAAAAUUGCUAUUCCUAUUCACCGCCCUUUAUGGUUUCUGGGCGUUUCCGAAAUGGUGCUAUGGGCGACGUAGUUCCUCACGGCAGCCUGUUUGAGGGGCAAAACGGCUGAAUUUGGGGCCGAAAAUUGCUAUUCCUAUUCACCGCCCUUUAUGGUUUCUGGGCGUUUCCGAAAUGGUGCUAUGGGCGACGUAGUUCCUCACGGCAGCCUGUUUGAGGGGCAAAACGGCUGAAUUUGGGGCCGAAAAUUGCUAUUCCUAUUCACCGCCCUUUAUGGUUUCUGGGCGUUUCCGAAAUGGUGCUAUGGGCGACGUAGUUCCUCACGGCAGCCUGUUUGAGGGGCAAAACGGCUGAAUUUGGGGCCGAAAAUUGCUAUUCCUAUUCACCGCCCUUUAUGGUUUCUGGGCGUUUCCGAAAUGGUGCUAUGGGCGACGUAGUUCCUCACGGCAGCCUGUUUGAGGGGCAAAACGGCUGAAUUUGGGGCCGAAAAUUGCUAUUCCUAUUCACCGCCCUUUAUGGUUUCUGGGAGUUUCUGAAAUGGUGUUGUGGGCGACGUAGUUCUUCACGGUUUAAAAGUUAUGAGGUUUCCAAGUUUACACUCGUUUUAGGCAGAAAAAAAAAUUAAGAGGGGUGCAACACGAGGACAUCCCGGGAGGUCACCCAUCCUAGUACUACUCUUGCCCAAGAACCCUUAACUGCGGAGUUCUAAUGGGAUCCGGUGCAUUAGUGCUGGUAUGAUCGCACCCUUUCUGACUGUUUUUUUUCUAGCGGGAUAGUGCAUUGAGGUUAAAUGCGUUAAGAAAGCAUCAAAAACAACCUGAGAAUCCGAUUGGGAUCCUUUUAUACGUCCCUUACCUUUCUGUAGCCCGUUACGCCUAUUCACCGCCCUUUAUGGUUUCUGGGCGUUUCCGAAAUGGUGCUAUGGGCGACGUAGUUCCUCACGGUUCAAAAGUUAUGAGGUUUCCAAGUUUAGGCUCGUUUUAGGCCGAAAAAAAAAAUAAAAAUGGGUGCAACACUAGGACUUCCCGGGAGGACACCCAUCCUAGUACUACUCUCGCCCAAGCACGCUUAACUGCGUUGUUCUAAUGGGAUCCGGUGCAUUAGUGCUGGUAUGUUCGCACCCGUUAGUACAUCACUCGUGUUUCCAUAUAUCAUUUGUCUCGGCCAAUCUAAGUGUAAGGCCGUAAAAAAAAAAAUGGUUGCAACACGAGAACUUUUCGGGAGGAAACCCAUCCUAGUACUACUCUCGCCCAAGCACGCUCAACUGCGGAGUUCUAAUGGGAUCCGGUGCAUUAGUGCUGGUAUGAUCGCACCCGUUAGUACAUCACUCGCGUUUCCAUAUAUCAUUUGUCUCGGCCAAUCCAAGUGUAAGGCCGUGGGGCCCACAUGAUUUUCUUGCCGUUUUGUUUCGAGCGAAAAAGUGCAUCGAGGUUAACGGCGUUAAGAAAGCAUCAAAAACACCUUGAGAAUCCGCUUUCGAUCUUUUUUACGUGCCAUAACUUUCCGCAGCCCGUUUGAGGGUCAAAACGGCUGAAUUUGAGCCCGAAAAAUUGCGCCCCCUAUUCACCGCCCAUUAUGGUUUCUGGGGCUUUCCGAAAUGGUGCUAUGGGCGACGUAGUUCCUCACGGUUCAAAAGUUAUGAGGUUUCCAAGUUUAAACUCGUUUUAGGCUAAAAAAAAAUUAAAAAAUAAAAAGGGGUGCAACACGAGGACUUCCCGGGAGGUCACCCAUCCUAGUACUACUCUCGCCCAAGCACGCUUAACUGCGGAGUUCUGAUGGGAUCCGGUGCAUUAGUGCUGGUAUGAUCGCACCCGUCAGUACAUCACUCUCGUUUCUAUAUAUCCUUUUCCCGGCCAAUCCAAGUGUAAGGCCGUGGGGCCCACAUGAUUUUCUUGCCGUUUUGUUUCGAGCGAAAAAGUGCAUCGAGGUUAACGGCGUUAAGAAAGCAUCAAAAACACCUUGAGAAUCCGCUUUCGAUCUUUUUUACGUGCCAUAACUUUCCGCAGCCCGUUUGAGGGUCAAAACGGCUGAAUUUGAGCCCGAAAAAUUGCGCCCCCUAUUCACCGCCCAUUAUGGUUUCUGGGGCUUUCCGAAAUGGUGCUAUGGGCGACGUAGUUCCUCACGGUUCAAAAGUUAUGAGGUUUCCAAGUUUAAACUCGUUUUAGGCUAAAAAAAAAUUAAAAAAUAAAAAGGGGUGCAACACGAGGACUUCCCGGGAGGUCACCCAUCCUAGUACUACUCUCGCCCAAGCACGCUUAACUGCGGAGUUCUGAUGGGAUCCGGUGCAUUAGUGCUGGUAUGAUCGCACCCGUCAGUACAUCACUCUCGUUUCUAUAUAUCCUUUUCCCGGCCAAUCCAAGUGUAAGGCCGUGGGGCCCACAUGAUUUUCUUGCCGUUUUGUUUCGAGCGAAAAAGUGCAUCGAGGUUAACGGCGUUAAGAAAGCAUCAAAAACACCUUGAGAAUCCGCUUUCGAUCUUUUUUACGUGCCAUAACUUUCCGCAGCCCGUUUGAGGGUCAAAACGGCUGAAUUUGAGCCCGAAAAAUUGCGCCCCCUAUUCACCGCCCAUUAUGGUUUCUGGGGCUUUCCGAAAUGGUGCUAUGGGCGACGUAGUUCCUCACGGUUCAAAAGUUAUGAGGUUUCCAAGUUUAAACUCGUUUUAGGCUAAAAAAAAAUUAAAAAAUAAAAAGGGGUGCAACACGAGGACUUCCCGGGAGGUCACCCAUCCUAGUACUACUCUCGCCCAAGCACGCUUAACUGCGGAGUUCUGAUGGGAUCCGGUGCAUUAGUGCUGGUAUGAUCGCACCCGUCAGUACAUCACUCUCGUUUCUAUAUAUCAUUUUCCCGGCCAAUCCAAGUGUAAGGCCGUGGGGCCCACAUGAUUUUCUUGCCGUUUUGUUUCGAGCGAAAAAGUGCAUCGAGGUUAACGGCGUUAAGAAAGCAUCAAAAACACCUUGAGAAUCCGCUUUCGAUCUUUUUUACGUGCCAUAACUUUCCGCAGCCCGUUUGAGGGUCAAAACGGCUGAAUUUGAGCCCGAAAAAUUGCGCCCCCUAUUCACCGCCCAUUAUGGUUUCUGGGGCUUUCCGAAAUGGUGCUAUGGGCGACGUAGUUCCUCACGGUUCAAAAGUUAUGAGGUUUCCAAGUUUAAACUCGUUUUAGGCUAAAAAAAAAUUAAAAAAUAAAAAGGGGUGCAACACGAGGACUUCCCGGGAGUUCACCCAUCCUAGUACUACUCUCGCCCAAGCACGCUUAACUGCGGAGUUCUGAUGGGAUCCGGUGCAUUAGUGCUGGUAUGAUCGCACCCGUUAGUACAUCACUCGCGUUUCCAUAUAUCAUUUGUCUCGGCCAAUCCAAGUGUAAGGCCGUGGGGCCCACAUGAUUUUCUGACUGUUUUUUUUCUAGCGGGAUAGUGCAUCGAGGUUAAUGGCGUUAAGAAAGCAUCAAAAACUACCUGAAAAUCCGAUUGGGAUCCUUUUUUACGUCCCUUAACUUUCUGCAGCCCGUUUGAGGGUCAAAACGGCUGAAUUUGGGCCCGAAAAAUUGCUACGCCUAUUCACCGCCCUUUAUGGUUUCUGGGCGUUUCCGAAAUGGUGCUAUGGGCGACGUAGUUCCUCACGGUUCAAAAGUUAUGAGGUUUCCAAGUUUAGACUCGCUUUAGGCUGAAAAAAAAAAUAAAAAAAAUAAAAAUGGGUGCAACACGAGAACUUUUCGGGAGGACACCCAUCCUAGUACUACUCUCGCCCAAGCACGCUCAACUGCGGAGUUCUAAUGGGAUCCGGUGCAUUAGUGCUGGUAUGAUCGCACCCGUUAGUACAUCACUCGCGUUUCCAUAUAUCAUUUGUCUCGGCCAAUCCAAGUGUAAGGCCGUGGGGCCCACAUGAUUUUCUGAUGGGCGACGUAGUUCCUCACGGUUCAAAAGUUAUGAGGUUUCCAAGUUUAGACUCGUUUUAGGCCGAAAAAAAAAUAAAAAUGGGUGCAACACUAGGACUACCCGGGAGGACACCCAUCCUAGUACUACUCUCGCCCAAGCACGCUUAACUGCGGAGUUCUAAUGGGAUCCGGUGCAUUAGUGCUGGUAUGAUCGCACCCGUCAGUACAUCACUCUCGUUUCUAUAUAUCCUUUUCCCGGCCAAUCCAAGUGUAAGGCCGUGGGGCCCACAUGAUUUUCUUGCCGUUUUGUUUCGAGCGAAAAAGUGCAUCGAGGUUAACGGCGUUAAGAAAGCAUCAAAAACACCUUGAGAAUCCGCUUUCGAUCUUUUUUACGUGCCAUAACUUUCCGCAGCCCGUUUGAGGGUCAAAACGGCUGAAUUUGAGCCCGAAAAAUUGCGCCCCCUAUUCACCGCCCAUUAUGGUUUCUGGGGCUUUCCGAAAUGGUGCUAUGGGCGACGUAGUUCCUCACGGUUCAAAAGUUAUGAGGUUUCCAAGUUUAAACUCGUUUUAGGCUAAAAAAAAAUUAAAAAAUAAAAAGGGGUGCAACACGAGGACUUCCCGGGAGGUCACCCAUCCUAGUACUACUCUCGCCCAAGCACGCUUAACUGCGGAGUUCUGAUGGGAUCCGGUGCAUUAGUGCUGGUAUGAUCGCACCCGUCAGUACAUCACUCUCGUUUCUAUAUAUCCUUUUCCCGGCCAAUCCAAGUGUAAGGCCGUGGGGCCCACAUGAUUUUCUUGCCGUUUUGUUUCGAGCGAAAAAGUGCAUCGAGGUUAACGGCGUUAAGAAAGCAUCAAAAACACCUUGAGAAUCCGCUUUC
rnacentral:lncRNA from 1 species